rnacentral:lncRNA from 1 species
CCCGUCACACAUGCGCUUUCUAGCCAUUCAUUUUUCCACCGUUACGUGCCUGAGAGCAUCUCCAGUCGUUCGGUCCCUUGGAUGACCGUCCGAAACUCCGCCGGUCACAUCAACGAGCCCACUCACACACCGCUUCAGCUUUCCUUAUCCCGUCACACAUGCGCUUUCUAGCCAUUCAUUUUUCCACCGUUGAAUGCCUGAGAGCAUCUCUAGUCGUUCGGCCCCAAGGGACGUGAAAUAUCUGUUUAGAGUAGAACGAGAGACAAAGCAAAAUGAUUCAAGUGUCAUCUUUAUUGAUCAUGUUCACGUAUAUAUACAAUCGGGAAGGAUGCAUCCAAGAGAAGCGUCCGUUGCAAAAGGCGUCGAUCGGGAGGAGACGAGCAACCUUUGGGCAGUUGCCAAAGUGGUAACCGCACGCAUGGUGCGGGAAUGCGGGGAUUCCCCUAACUAACCGCUGAGGUUAAUUAGUUUUAACACUCCCCCUAAUCACCGCUUAAUUGUGUGUUUGAUCAUCAUCUUGAUUAAGUCUCCUCAAAAACCCUGUGGGAAAAAUGUGAGGAGUAUAGUAUUUGAUAUGUUGCCAAAACUCCUACAAACCCAGUGGGAAAAAUAAGGAGAAAAUUAUGCAACAUAUAAUGGUUAUUGUCUCUUUCAACUCAAUACGAGAAAACUCAUAGAAUCAAGAGGACAAUAAAUAUGUCGUUUAUACUUUCCUAAAAACCCGGGUGGGGGAAAACAAAAAGUAUGACAUAUGAUCUCAUGUUGACAUUACCUCAUUAAAAACCUUUAUGAGAACUUGUAAAGUAAACUCAUGAAGGAAAAAAGAGUAUAAUAUGAUGCUUUGAACAGGAACAAUUCAGGAAGAUACUCCCCCUGAUUCUUGCAAAUUCCAAAGCUGUCAGAUACCAAUUCCAUGAACAUGUUUCUGGAAUGUAAAAGUUGGUAGAAACUUGGUGAACAAAUCAGUUGCAUGAUUUGACUUGCAAGAUAUGCAAUAUAAAGAUAUUGCUUAUUAGUAACCUGUUUGCAUCCGGACAACACAAGAAACAUUAUCGUUGAGAUAAUGGUUGAUGGAUGUAGGCAUGAGGUCUGUUUCCAAGACUCUCCAUGAGAGGGCUACCACACCUAAUAGGAACACUAAGCUUGUCUACGAUCCGACAUAGUGGGAUCUGAUCGAUGUAUCCAAUGAUAUCGGAGUUCACAUUCCUGUGAAGCUGAAAACCAGGACAAGAUGUUUGAUGCCUUGGAGAUAUCGAAAGAUAUUCUUGAGUACCAACCAAUUGUGUUUGGUGGAUCCAAUGGCAUUAUGGAACAUUGAGUCCCAAUAUCUCAUUUACAUCAUCUCUUGGUCUAAAUAGAUCUUUCUCUACAUCUAGAGAAUGAACUACCAUGAGAGUUAUGGAUGGAUAAGAUUUGUCCAUAAUGAGUUUCUCCAAUAUGUUUUGGAUAUAGACAACAUGGUGUACCAUAAUGUAUGAAUGAAGGUGCUCAAGUUGUAGUAACGAGCAGUGUUUUGGUUUACCCAGAUCCUUCAUUUUAAACUCCGUCAUUUAGAUGAUUACAUGUGUCGUCAUUGCAGACACACAAACAUGGAUAAUCAUCAUCGUAGGAGUAAUCCUUGUGGAAAGGAACUCACUAAGUCGGCUAUACCAAAUGUACCGACAACAAUAAGUCGUAUGGUGACUUACUGAUUUUACACAAUGUAUGUUGCAUUUUGUAUUUCGAUUCAGAAUUGAGAUUCCAUCGGGAAUCAAUCAUAUAUGUCUGAAUCUAGUGAUGCACAUGGAUAUGUAAUCACUACAUCUAUCUGUUGGAAAUAUGCCCUAGAGGCAAUAAUAAAAUGGUUAUUAUUAUAUUUCCUCGUUCAUGAUAAUUGUCUAUUAUUCAUGCUAUAAUUGUGUUAUCCGAAAAUCGUAAUACAUGUGUGAAUACAUAGACCACAACAUGUCCCUAGUGAGCCUCUAGUUGACUAGCUCGUUUAUCAAUAGAUGGUCACGGUUUCCUGACCAUGGACAUUGGAUGUCAUUGAUAACGGGAUCACAUCAUUGGGAGAAUGAUGUGAUGGACAAGACCCAAUCCUAAGCAUAGCACAAGAUCGUGUAGUUCGUUUGCUAGAGCUUUUCCAAUGUCAAGUAUCAUUUCCUUAGACCAUGAGAUCGUGUAACUCCCGGAUGCCGUAGGAGUGCUUUGGGUGUACCAAACGUCACAACAUAACUGGGUGAUUAUAAAGGUAUACUAUAGGUAUCUCCGAAAGUGUCUGUUGGGUUGACACGGAUCAAGACUGGGAUUUGUUACUCCGUAUGACGGAGAGGUAUCUCUGGGCCCACUCGGUAAUGCAUCAUCAUAAUGAGCUCAAAGUGACUAAGUGGUUGGUCACGGGAUCAUGCAUUACGGUACGAGUAAAGUGACUUGCCGGUAACGAGAUUGAACGAGGUAUUGGGAUACCGACGAUCGAAUCUCGGGCAAGUAACGUACCGAUUGACAAAGGGAAUUGUAUACGAGAUUACUUGAAUCCUCGACAUCGUGGUUCAUUCGAUGAGAUCAUCGUGGAACACAUGGGAGCCAACAUGGGUAUCCGGAUCCCGCUGUUGGUUAUUGGCCGGAGAGUCGUCUCGGUCAUGUCUGCGUGUCUCCCGAACCCGUAGGGUCUACACACUUAAGGUUCGGUGACGCUAGGGUUAUUAGGAAGACUUGUAUGUGAUUACCGAAUGUUGUUAUGAGUCCCGGAUGAGAUCCCGGAUGUCACGAGGAGUUCCGGAAUGGUCCGGAGGUGAAGAUUUAUAUAUGGGAAGUUGUCAUACGGUCACCGGAAAGGUUUGGGGGCAUAUCGGUAUUGUACCGGGGCCACCGGAGGGGUUCCGGGGGUCCACCGGGAGGGGCACCUCUCUCGGAGGGCCUCAUGGGCCGUAGUGGGCAGGGAACCAGCCCCUAGAGGGCUGGGCGCAUUCCCCCUUGGGCCCAUGCGCCUAGGGUUGGGGGGAGAGCCUAGUGGGGGCGCCCCCUUGCUUGGGGGGCAAGCCCCCUCCCCUUGGCCGUCGCCCCCCUCUAGAUCUCAUCUAGAGGGGGCUGGCCCCCCUUCCCCCUUCCCCUAUAAAUAGAGGGGCGAGGGGAGGGCUGCACACCACAUCCAAGGCGCAACCCCUCCCCUCCCCAACACCUCUCCUCCUCCGUUAAGAGCUUGGCGAAGCCCUGCCGGAGUACUGCCUCUCCACCACCACCACACCGUCGUGCUGCUGCUGGAGCUCUCUUCCUCAACCUCUCCCUCCUCCUUGCUGGAUCAAGGCGCGGGAGACGUCUCCGCUCUGUACGUGUGUUGAACGCGGAGGUGUCGUCCGUUCGGCGCUAGGAUCUUCGGUGAUUUGGAUCACGACGAGUACGACUCCCUCAACCCCGUUCUCUUGAACGCUUCCGCUCGCGAUCUACAAGGGUAUGUAGAUGCACUCCCCUCUCUCGUUGCUAGAUGACUCCAUAGAUUGAUCUUGGUGAAGCGUAGAAUUUUUUUAUUUUCUGCAACGUUCCCCAACACUGUCAACUGCAGAGAUAGAUGAUUUUGUACUGCCAAUGAUAUAAGUUAUCGGAAAGAGAUUCCACCUCUGGAGUAUAGUUGGGUAUCUGCGUGAACCCUUAUGCUACAAUACUUGCUCUUUGUUUUCACCACCUCGUUGUUCUCAAUUCUAUUCCCAGAAGAAAAUUGGUGUAGGUAUUGCUUAUGAAUACCUUCCCAUUAUUGAGCAAGAUCAUUUCUACCUAGAUUAUACCCUUUGCUUGAGCUCAGUCCGAGUGUUGUUCACACUUUGCCAUGGCCAUGGUCUUUGGAUCUGAAUCAUUCGAAAGGUUUUUGCAAUCUAGUUGAGAAAUGUAUGUCGACAAUUUGUAGACUUCCGGUUAUAUGAUUCUCCAGAAUCUAUAUAUCAAUAUAUAGUUCAUGGAAAUAUCGUUACCCAUGGUGACUGCUCGCGAUUUCCUAACGCGAUUGAGUCGAGUAUUCCGAUGUCCCGGUCAUUGUGUGCACUAUGACCUGGGUUGGUGGAGGUUUCCCGUCCAUUGGGUGUAUACUACCCAUUAGGUGUCUCUCAACGUGAAGUUGACUUGCAUUUACUGAUUCACAGGCCUUGACAUCCUUGCUUGCGAGAAGCUGAAUCCUGAUAUAUUUCUGCCAUACAUCUCCCCCUGUUGCUUUGAACGGGGAGUGAAGUGGAUUUUGCUGGUACCUCCACUCUUUCAGGCGUACUUUUACAUGAUUGUAGGAUUGUGUGACACCUUUAUAGUCAGUAAAUGAAUCUGGCAGGUUAUUUGCAAUGUGUUGCAAAUCUUCUGAACGCAUGGUUCAGAUCUUUGAGUACGUGGAUUUGAGGCAGAAAUGUGUUGAACAUUCCACUAAUUUCCUGGCAUUCUUUAUGGUACUUGAAAUCUCCCCCUAAUGCCUGGAAAUGUUCCUCAUUGAAUUAGCAUACUGGCCUUGAAUAACUCCCCAUGCGAGGGGCUUGAGGUAUUGACAGAAAUAUAGUUAUUCCUCACAUAGAUCCCAACUAUAUGUUGAGGGGCCAAUGAUGUAUGUCGGGUGGUGAUAUCGGUAUGCAACCGAAUUACCGCAGAUGGAAAAUACUUGGUAGAUUUCCACGCAUCAAAGAUAGAGGGGAAUAAUAUUAUGCAGUUCUGUCAUGAGCGUGUAAAACUGCAUGACUCCAACGUAAAGUUGGUAAGUUGCAAUUCCAAAGUAAAGAUAAUGCAAUGAGCUUAACUCUUUGGAUAGGAUUCUACCAAACCAUUUUUAGUCUAGACAUUAGGACAAAUCGCUAAACUUCAAUCCAAGGCCAUAGAGAAGGCACUCAAGGAGAAUUAUGCAAUGCUAUCCAUUCGAUUUGCUUGAAAUCAAUGUCAGGAUAAUGAGCCAACAGUUUCGUGUGAAUAAAGCACACACUUAAGACCAUCAUGUAGAUAUGUCUUUUAGAACCAUGGAGUACCUGAAUAGUCUAGUCAAUGGAUGAGAAGAGCCACUUACCUCAACUUGAUGUAUUCAAGGAGUCUGAGUGGUUCAGCGUAGACUUUAAGGUGUGCGAGCCUUAAAAUUAGCUUCCCUGUGUCACUUAUAGUGCACAUAAAAUCCAAAUGUUAUUAGAAUUUAGCAUCAUAAUAAUCAUAAACUAUUGGAAUUGCUGAUAGUUUCGGUUUCAACCCAAUGUCUCGAUGACCAAGGCGAGUAUGCCAAGUUUGUCAUGUACAAGACACUCUGAAAAACUAUCUUGUACACAACAUGUGCUACGGGUUGUGUCGUAUGUGCAGUACAAUCCAGAUGAUACACAGAGAAUGUGCUUGCCAUGUCCGUUGCAUAUGUUAAAGAGAAGUUAGUCCUCUUUGUUGUCAUCAUAAGUUUUGCUAUGGAAACUAUUUUGACGGAUACCUCUAUAGUUUAGUAGGGUACGAGUUAAAUCGGGAAGCAAUAAAGCAUCCUCACGUUACUCGAGUACCCACAGGAAUAGUAAAUAUGACUCAAGUUGAGCCAAAAAAUACCUCAUCGCGUCUAGCGAUUUUAGAAUAUGCCCUUUCUCUCAACGAGAGCGGAAACAUUUACUUCCCUGAGUAUAGAGUUCGUGGUGCAUAUGUCCACAAGGCACAAGUCAUCUUUCAUCAGAUUGACCCCCGUAGAAAUCUAUAUAUAGACAUGAAGAUUCUCAAGAAAAUCACUGUCAAAUAUAUAUAAUACAUACAAAUGUAUUUGUACCAAAGUGCUGAUACAAUAUAUUGUGAUAUACAAUAUAUGAUGACAACAAUAAUCAUGUUCAUAUUAGAACAUCAGAAAUGGACAUAAAUAAAUUGAUCACUAAGGAGAUUGAGGGACUAAAUGUAGUCUCCAAACAUGUCAGUUGAUGCAUAUUCAACCUUCAUGUUCUCCGUGCCCAUAGGGUCUCGUGACAGCAGGGUAGUCAUUUCAUUGCUCGGUUCUAGAAGAACAUUAUGCAAACAACUGACUUCCAUGAUGGUGUCAGGUUUAAGGUUUGAAGUGAGUUUCAAACCUUUACCCUUGAGGUUCUUUGCGUCCCGGUGGUGUGGCUUGGAUUACACGCGCUAUCCCAUGGGAGGCAAGACUGAUCUUGAUGUCCAUGACCUGCUUAAGUAAGUUGUAGCCAUUAAGGACAAGCGCCUCAAAUUACUUAGCCAUCAAUUACUUAUAGGGGCAAACCAGAGAUAAUUAAUUUACGAGUAGUAAAUUAAAAACCAUCAUGGUCAGUGUUGUAAUGAAUUUUGCAAAAUUAAUGGAUAUUUCAAGAACUUAGCUUGAAACCAAUAGUGUGAAUCUCAAAUUGCUAAGUAUGACACCUUGAAGAUAAUCUUCAAAAUGGAGUAGAUCUCGCAGCACUAUGGAGUAUAAUCUGAUGAAAUCAGCAGAUACUCACUCGUAAUGCCUUAUGUCACGACAUAGUAAAAUAUGUGGGAGAGCACUUUGUCAAGCAAUCAUAAUGUCAAAAUGACAAAAUGUAGGCUUUAACUGUAGUGGUGAUAAUCUGCAAAGCAGUAGAUCUACACACUACCUUGUGAUCUCAAUACAUCAAUUUGAGGAAAUCACUAAGAAUUUUGCAUCUGUAUUUGCAAGAAAUUGAAAAUCUCAAUUGCAAAUAGACGUAUUAAUCUCGACAUGUGUUUAACAUGGAGAUAGAUACAUCAUAGAAAUAUUUCAAAAUACAUUGUACUCAACGGAGAAACAGUACUGUAGAAAUACUGAAUUUAUGUAUGCAAGAGAUUAAAAAUUUCAAUUGCAAAUAGAUGUAAUUAAUCUCGACACGUGUUAAACGUGAAGAUAUAUAACAUCAAUUUAGGAUCUGGAAUACAUUGAUAUUCAACAGAAGACAGUACUAGAUGUACUGAUUUUAACAGUUUAAAGCGGGAACUAACCAUCGCUUAAAAAUACUGUUAAAGCACAAAUAAACUAAAAGCUGAAAUGUGCUAGACGACAUGUUUUAGCCGCUCGUGGGCCAUGGCUUAAUUACCAGCCACAUGCGCGUAUGCCACGUGAAGGCAUGUGUGGCAGCCCACGGUCUGGUCAACCAAAGAGAUAAGGAAACAAGUCCCCACUAGAGAUGAAAUCUCCAGCGCUGGAUCCCUCACUCACGGAGACUACCAUAGAAAUCCUCUCGCUCUAGGAGGAGAAGGCCGAUAAGACGGCGGCGGGCGCCGGAGCGUGGCGCAGGCGGAGGAGUGGCGGGUGUCGGGGACGGCAGGCGCGACGGCCGGCAGUGUCCGCGUCGACAACCACAUCGCUGGCUUCAGCUUCAACAACCGCAUGGGUUGGAGACGGUAGCGCUGCGGUUUCGUCGUCGUCGUCGAUAUGACGACGUCGUCCGGCUGGACGGUGCUCAAGUCCCGGCGCAGCGGUCGAUGGCGGCCAUGGUGCGGCCGUAAAGCCUCUCCGCGAGCCUGCUCCAGCCCGCGUUGGCGUCAGCGUGUUCUGCGAAUGCCACGGGCACGAAGNNNNNNNNNNNNNNNNNNNNNNNNNNNNNNNNNNNNNNNNNNNNNNNNNNNNNNNNNNNNNNNNNNNNNNNNNNNNNNNNNNNNNNNNNNNNNNNNNNNNNNNNNNNNNNNNNNNNNNNNNNNNNNNNNNNNNNNNNNNNNNNNNNNNNNNNNNNNNNNNNNNNNNNNNNNNNNNNNNNNNNNNNNNNNNNNNNNNNNNNNNNNNNNNNNNNNNNNNNNNNNNNNNNNNNNNNNNNNNNNNNNNNNNNNNNNNNNNNNNNNNNNNNNNNNNNNNNNNNNNNNNNNNNNNNNNNNNNNNNNNNNNNNNNNNNNNNNNNNNNNNNNNNNNNNNNNNNNNNNNNNNNNNNNNNNNNNNNNNNNNNNNNNNNNNNNNNNNNAAGGCGCAAGUCCGGCGGUGCGGACGGGCGCGUGAGCGCGGCCGACGCGGUCAGACGGCGAUGGCGCAAGGCGUGGCGUGGCUGGGCGAAGCCGGCCACGGCCUGGCGCGGGCGGCAUGCGGAGGCCGGGGAGCGGCGUUGACGCGGCCAGGAACGGCCACGGCGCGUGCGAACAUGGCCACGGCCGGCGACGAGGGCGCGAGGUGCGGCCGUGCGGCAAGUUUUGAGGCCUGGUGCUCUCGGUUACGAGCGUGCUGAUAACGUGUUUAGAGUAGAACGAGAGACAAAGCAAAAUGAUUCAAGUGUCAUCUUUAUUGAUCAUGUUCACGUAUAUAUACAAUCGGGAAGAAGGCAUCCAAGAGAAGCGUCCGUUGCAAAAGGCGUCGAUCGGGAGGAGACGAGCAACCGUUGGGCAGUUGCCAAAGUGGCAACCGCACGCAUGGUGCGGGAAUGCGGGGAUUCCCCUAACUAACCGCUGGGGUUAAUUAGUUUUAACAAUAUCGCCGCUUGGGGGUGAAUCAGCGAUAAUUUUUUUGUGGGAAGGGGGGGUUGGGUUUCUAGCCGACCCCUGGAGUUCGCCUCGAGCCGGCGAUCGGCUCAAAUUCGGCGUUCUUCGGCACAAAAUUCAACAUAAAAUAAUUUUUAUCACACAGUUCAUCACAGAAAUCAAUACAAAUCAAAUAAUUCAAUGAAGCAAACUCAUAAUUCAAACACAAACUAAAACUCAUAGUUCAUCACACGUCGAACUAGGCGCUGCCCUUGAGCCUCCAUAGGUGCUCCACCAGAUCGUGCUGCAGUUCUUGAUGUACAUGUGGGUCCCGGACCUCCUCACGCAUAUUGAGGAAGGUAUCACAUGAUGCCUUUAGCUGGUGAUCAACUUGGCAAAGAGGACCCUGCCUGUAAUAUGGUUCAGUGUCGAACACUGGCUCUUUGAUGCGGAGCAUCCUACAGACAUCAUCAUGUCAAGAGUCCGUUUGGCGAGUGACACGUGCGACAUCUACUUCACAUACACAAAGGUGAAUCAUCUCCUUUACACGUGUUCACCUGACCCCAUCGAGGAUGGUAUACUACUUGACACUCCUCUCGUGUGCAUGCAUAUGUAUCAUUGGAGCACCACAAAUGACAAGGAGGAGUGCAAGCGCAAGUGUACGCCUACACCUUCUGCGAGGGAAGCUUGGAAGCAACGACGAAAUAAGACGGUGCAAAAUUUGCACUACCAGAUCCGGUCGCCCAACCAGACUGUCCGGUCCAUCCAGAGAGCAGUUUUGGUCUGUGCAAAAAUUGCACUACCGGAUAGUCCGGUCCCCCAAGCGGACAGUCCGGUAGUACAAUUUCUGGAUGCCCAAAAGUUUCUGUUUCUACCGGAUUGUCUGGUCCCGCGUACAGGACUGUCCGGUAGUGCAUUUGCUGGCCGAAUUUGGGCAAGGCCCAUGUAACUUUACCCUUUAGCCCUCACUUACCCCUUCCUUGCCUUGGACCUAUAUAUAUAUAUCCCUCCUCCUCCAUUUUAGGUUAGCUAAGAAUAGAUCUAGACAUUAGAGCUUAGCUCAUGUAUCUCCCCUUGUGGGAUUCCUCUUGAGAGAGAAGGCUCCAUUGAAGUUCAAGGCCUCCAUUGGAGAAGAUCCCUAGGGAUUCAAGACCCCUUCUAGGGAAGGAUCUAUGUAGAUCAUCAAGACCUCAUAUCCUUUGGAUUUGGGAUGAACUUUACCUUGUAUCUUUCCCUUUGUUGUUCUUGUACCUUUGUUCAUCUUGUGUGAUUAUGAGUCUAGUGGAUGUGUGAUUGGACUUGUUCUUGAGUGUUUUCUGCUUGUGUUUUCCCCUCUUGUUCUUCGUGUUCUCCGCGUUCUUCGUGGAUUCCCCUCCAAUUCAUGAAAGAUCUCCAGUUAGGGUCUCCACCCUACUACAUCUUGGAUCAGAGCAAGGUUCUCACGAAUUUGGAGCCCCAAUCCCCGACUUUCUUGCCUUAGUUUGAAUUUUUCUCCCUAAUUUUGAAAAUUUCCCCAAAAAGUAGCCAAAAAAAAUUCUUGUGAGUUUUCGUUGAUUUUGAUCCAUGGAUCGAGUGUUUGGCAAGUGGAUCUACCUCCCUUGGCGUUCCCCAGUCCCUUUUUCUCCCCCCCCAUCAAUUUCGAGCUUGAAAUCAUCCAUUUCCGCCCAAAAAAUUCAAGUUCGUGCCUUCCCAGCCCACACCGGACUGUCCGGACCCUCAUACCGGACUGUCCGCUCGCAUCAGGAGCAAAUCGCUCACAGACCGGACUGUCCGCUCCCCCAUAUUGGACUGUCCGCUCGUUUCAGAAGGAUUUCAGACGAGGACCGGACUGUCCGCUCCUUAGGACCGGACUGUCUGCUAGUUCGAAAACUACUUCGUCUGAUUACUUGUUUCGGCCAUAUGUCCCACUCCAAAGCUCCGAUCUGAGUGUUCUUUGGCUCAAUUGAAAGCUAGCAACGUGCCCGAGCUACUCAUCUUGUUUUUUACCACCAUUUGACUCCAUUAAAUUUUGUGCAUUUUGGCAUCUUUUCCUAGGCCCUCCGCCAUAACUUUUGCACCACCACAUAAAUAUUCCGCAACCUAACCAAUUUUGGUUCUUAUUGCAUUGCAUUUGUGGUUGUUUGAAUUGUGAUUUGAGUCUCUUAAGGUGUUUCGGCUACUUAGGGACGGUUACAUCUUCAUCCACCACCGGACACUUGUAUCGCUCCAUCGACUACAUCCUCCACGAUAUUAUACAUCGACGACGACCAUCCAUCCUUUGAGACCAUCUUCAACCGGAAGCAAGGCCGGUUACCCCCGACUUUGUGAAAGGUUAAGUGUGACGGAGGUAUCAAUUCCGUCAUAAACUUUUCCUUCCUUGCCAUUACAUCUUGAUAGCCCCACCUGAAGGAAAUAUGCCCUAGAGGCAAUAAUAAAGUUAUUAUUUAUUUCCUUAUUUCAUGAUAAAUGUUUAUUAUUCAUGCUAGAAUUGUAUUAACCAGGAAACUUAGUACAUGUGUGAAUACAUAGACAAAACAAAGUGUCCCUAGUAUGCCUCUACUUGACUAGCUCGUUUAUAAAAGAUGGUUAUGUUUCCUAACCAUAGACAUGUGUUGUCAUUUUAUGAACGUGAUCACAUCCUAAUGAUGUGAUGGACAAGACCCAUUCAUUAGCUUAGCAUUAUGAUCGUUACAGUUUCGUUGCUACUCCUUUCUUCUUGACUUAUACAUGUUCCUCAGACUAUGAGAUUAUGCAACUCCCGAAUACCGGAGGAACACUUUGUGUGCUAUCAAACGUCACAACGUAAAUGGGUGAUUAUAAAGAUGCUCUACAGGUGUCUCCGAAGGUGUUUGUUGGGUUGACAUAGAUCAAGAUUAGGAUUUGUCACUCCGUGUUUCGGAGAGGUAUCUCUGGGCCCUCUCGGUAAUGCUCAUCACUAUAAGCCUUGCAAGCAAUGUGACUAAUGAGUUAGUUGCGGGAUGAAGUAUUACGAAACGAGUAAAGAGACUUGCCGGUAAUGAGAUUGAAAUAGGUAUGAUGAUAUCGACGAUCGAAUCUCGGGCAAGUAACAUACCGAUGACAAAGGGAACAACAUAUGUUGUUGUGCGGUUUGACCGAUAAAGAUCUUCAUAGAAUAUGUGGGAGCCAAUAUGAGCAUCUAGGUUCCACUAUUGGUUAUUGACCGGAGAUGUGUCUCGGUCAUGUCUACAUAGUUCUCGAACUCAUAGGGUCUGCACGCUUAACGUUCAAUGACGAUCGGUAUUAUGAGUUAUGUGUUUUGAUGUACCGAAGGUUGUUCGGAGUCCCGGAUGUGACCACGGACAUGACGAGGAGUCUCGAAAUGGCCGAGACAUAAAUAAUGAUAUAUUGGACGAUGUUAUUCGGACACCGGAUGAGUUCCAGGGGUCACCGGAUAAAUAUCGGAGUGCCGGAAGGGUUAUCCGAACCACCGGAGAAGUAAUGUGCCUUAUUGGGCCUAGGGGAGAGAGAGAGGGGCUGCCAAGGGCUGGCCGCGCGCCCCCCAUGGGCCUAGUACGAAUUGUACUAGGGGGAGGGGCGGCGCCCCCUCCUUCCUUCUCUUUCCCCCCUUCCUUCUUCUCCUAGUAGGACUAGGAAAGGGGGAAGUCCUACUCCUACUAGGAGGAGGAUUCCUCCCCCCUUGGCGCGCCUAUGAGGGCCAGCCGCCCCCCCCCUUGCUCCUUUAUAUACGGGGGCAGGGGGGCACCCUAGAACACACAAGUUCAUUGUUUAGCCGUGUGCGGUGCCCCCCUCCACAGAUUUCCACCUUGGUCAUAUCGUCGUAGUGCUUAGGCGAAGCCCUGCGCCGGUAACUUCAUCAUCAUCGUCACCACGCCGUUGUGCUGACGGAACUCUCCCGCGACCUCAAUUGGAUCAAGAGUUCGUGGGAUGUCACCGAGCUGAACGUGUGCAGAUCACGGAGGUGCCGUACAUUUGGUACUUGGAUCGGUUGAAUCGGGAAGACGUUCGACUACAUCAACCGCGUUACUAAACGCUUCCGCUUUCGGUCUACGAGGGUACGUGGACAACACUCUCCCAUCUCGUUGCUAUGCAUCUCCUAGAUAGAUCUUGCGUGAUCGUAGGAUUUUUUUUAAAUUACCGCGUUCCCCAACAGUGGCAUUCGAGCCAGGUCUAUGCGUAGAUGUUAUAUGCACGAGUAGAACACGAAGAGUUGUGGGCGAUAAUAGUCACACUGCUUACCAGCAUGUCAUACUUUGAUUCGGCGGUAUUGUUGGAUGAAGCGACCCAGACCGACAUUACACGUACGCUUACGCGAGACUGGUUCUACCGACGUGCUUUGCACAAAGGUGGCUGGUGGGUGUCUGUUUCUCCAGCUUUAGUUGAAUCGAGUGUGGCUACACCCAGUCCUUGUUGAAGGUUAAAACAGUACACUUGACGAAAAAUCGUUGUGGUUUUAAUGCGUAGGUAAGAAAGGUUCUUGCUAGAAGCCCGUAGCAGCCACGUAAAACUUGCAACAACAAAGUAGAGGGCGUCUAACUUGUUUUUGCAGGGCAUGUUGUGAUGUGAUAUGGUCAAGACGUGAUGAGAUAUAAAUUGUUGUAUUAGAUGAUCAUGUUUUGUUAAAGUUAUCGGCAACUAGCGGUAGCCUUAUGGUUGUCUCUUUAUUGCAUAAGAUGCAAGCGCCAUAUAAUUGCUUUACUUUAUCGCUAUGCGAUAGCAAUAGUUGCAAAAGCAAUAGUUGGCGAGACGACCAUGUGACGACACAUUGAUAAAGAUCAAGAUGAUAGAGAUCAUAGUGUCAUGUCGGUGAUGAUGGAGAUCAUGACGGUACUUUGGAGAUGGAGAUCAAAGGAACAAGAUGAUGAUGGCCAUAUCAUGUCACAUAUUUUGAUUGCAUAUGAUGUUUAUCUUUUUAUGCAUCUUAUUUUGCUUAGAACGGCGGUAGCAUUAUAAGAUGAUCCCUUACUAAAUUUCAAGGUAUAAGUGUUCUCCUUGAGUAUGCACCAUUGCUACAGUUCGUCGUGCCGAGACACCACGUGAUGAUCGGGCGUGAUAAGCUCUACGUUCACAUACAACUGGUGCAAGCCAGUUUUGCACACGCAGAAUACUCGGGUUAAACUUGACGAACCUAGCAUAUGCAGAUAUGGCCUCGGAACACAGAGAUCGAAAGAUCGAGUGUGAAUCAUAUAGUAGAUAUGAUCAACAUAGUGAUGUUCACCAUUUAAAACUACUCCAUCUCACGUGAUGAUCGGACAUGGUUUAGUUGAUUUGGAUCACGUGAUCAUUUAGAUGACUAGAGGGAUGUCUAUCUAAGUGGGAGUUCUUAAGUAAUAUGAUUAAUUGAACUUUAAUUUAUCACGAACUUAGUCCUGAUAGUAUUUUCAAAUUAUGUUGUAGAUCAAUAGCUCGUGAUGUAGCUCCCCGUUUAUUUUUGAUAUGUUCCUAGAGAAAAAUAAGUUGAAAGAUGUUAGUAGCAAUGAUGCGGACUAGCUCCGUGAUCUGAGGAUUAUCCUCAUUGCUGCAUAGAAUAAUUAUGUCCUUGAUGCACCGCUAGGUGACACACCUAUUGCAGGAGCAGAUGCAGACGUUAUGAACGUUUGACAAAGCUCGGUAUGAUGACUACUUGAUAGUUUAGUGCACCAUGCUUUACGGCUUAGAACCGGGACUUCAAAAAUGUUUUGAAUGCCACGGAGCAUAUAAGAUGUUCCAAGAGUUGAAAUUGGUAUGUCAUACUCAUGCCCGUGUCGAGAGGUAUGAGACCUCUGACAGUACUUUGCCUACAAGAUGGAGGAGAAUAGCUCAACCAGUGAGCAUGUGCUCAGAUUGUCUGGGUACUACAAUUGCUUGAAUCAAGUGGGAGUUAAUCUUCUAGAUAAGAUAGUAAUUGACAAAGUUCUCUAGUCACUAUCACCAAGUUACUAGAACUUCGUGAUGGACUAUAAUAUGCAAGGGAUGACGAAAGUAAUUCCCGAGCUCUUCGCGAUGCUGAAAUCAGCGAAGGUAGGAAUCAAGAAAGAGCAUCAGGUGUUGAUGAUUAACAAGACCACUAGUUUCAAGAAAAAAGGGCAAAGGGAUAGAAAGGGAACUUCAAGAAGAAUGACAAGCAAGCUGUCACUCCCGUGAAGAAACCCAAAGCUAGACUUAAGCCUGAAACUGAGUGCUUCUACUACAAGGGAUUAAUCACUGGAAGCGGAACUACCCCAAAUAAUUGGCGGAUAAGAAGGAUGGCAGAGUGAACAAAAGUAUAUUUGAUAUACAUGUUAUUGAUGUGUACUUUACUAGUGUUCAUAGUAACCCUAGGGUAUUCGAUACCAGUUCAGUUGCUAUGAUUAGUAACUCGAAACAGGAGUUGCAAAAUUAACAGAGACUAGUUAAAGGCGAGGUGACGAUGUGUGUUGGAAGUGAUUCCAAGGUUGAUAAGAUCACCAUCGCACACUCCCUAUACCUUCGGGAUCGGUGUUGGACCUAAAUAAAUGUUAUUUGGUGUUUGCGUUGAGCAUGAAUAUGAUUUGAUCAUGUUUAUUGUGAUACGGCUAUUCAUUUAAGUCAAAGAAUAAUUGUUGUUCUGUUUACAUGAAUAAAACCUUCUAUGGUCAUACGUCCAAUGUAAAUAGUUUAUUGAAUCUCGAUGGUAAUGAUACACAUAUUCAUAAUAUUGAUGCCAAAAGAUGCAAAGUUAAUAAUGAUAGUGCAACUUAUUUGUGGCACUGCCGUUUAGGUCAUAUUGGUGUAAAGCGCAUGAAGAAACUCCAUGAUGAUGGGCUUUUGGAAUCACUUGAUACUUGCGAACCAUGCCUCAUGGGCAAGAUGACUAAAACUCCGUUCUCCAGAACAAUGGAGCGAGCAACUGACUUAUUGGAAAUAAUACAUACUGAUGUAUGCGGUCCAAUGAGUGUUGAGGCUCGCAGCGGGUAUCGUUAUUUUCUGACCUUCAUAGAUGAUUUGAGCAGAUAUGGGUAUAUCUACUUAAUGAAACACAAGUCUGAAACAUUUGGAAAGUUCAAAAAUAUUCAGAGUGAAGUGGAUAAUCAUCGUAACAAGAAAAUAAAGUUUCUACAAUCUGAUCGCGGAGACGAAUAUUUGAGUUACGAGUUUGGCCUUCAUUUGAAAACAAUGUGAAAUAGUUUCACAACUCACGCCACCUGGAACACCACAGUGUAAUGGUGUGUUCGAAUGUCGUAACCGUACUUCAUUAGAUAUGGUGCGAUCUAUGAUGUUUCUUACAGAUUUACCAUCGUUUUGGGGUUAUGCAUUAGAGACAGCUGCAUUCACUUUAAACAGGGCACCAUCUAAAUCCAUUGAGACGACACUGUAUGUGGUUUGGCAAGAAACCUAAGUUGUUGUUUCUUAAAGUUUGGGGCUACGAUACUUAUGUGAAAAAGUUUCAACCUGAUAAGCUCGAACCCAAAUUGGAGAAAUGCAUCUUCAUAAGAUACCUAAAGGAGAAAAUUGGGUACACCUUCUAUCACAGACCCGAAGGCAAAUUCGUUGCUAAGAAUGGAUCCUUUCAAGAGAAGGAGUUUCUCUUGAAAGAAGUGAGUGGGAGGAAAGUAGAACUUGAUGAGGUAAUUGUACCUUCUCCCGAAUUGGAGAGUAGUUCAUCACAGAAAUCAGUUCCAGUGAUGCCUACACCAAUUAGUGAGGAAGCUAAUGAUGAUGAUCAUGAAACUUCAUAUCAAGUUACUACCGAACCUCGUAGGUCAGCCAGAGUACGUUCUGCACAAGAGUGGUACGGUAAUCCUAUUCUGAAAGUCAUGUUGCUAGAACAUGACGAACCUACAAACUAUGAGGAAGCGAUGAUGAGCCCAGAUUCCGCAAAAUGGCUUGAGGCCAUGAAAUCUGAGAUGAGAUCCAUGUAUAAGAACAAUGUGUGGACUUUGGUGGACUUGCCCGAUGAUCGGCAAGCCAUUGAGAAUAAAUGGAUCUUCAAGAGGAAGAUGGACGUUGAUAGUAGUGUUACUAUCUACAAAGCUCAAAUUGUCGCAAAAGGUUUUUGACAAGUUCAAGGUGUUGACUACGAUGAGAUUUUCUCACUCGUAUCGAUGCUUUAGUCUGUCCAAAUCAUGUUAGCAAUUGCCGCAUUUUAUGAAAUUUGGCAAAUGGAUAUCAAAACUACAUUCCUUAAUGGAUUUAUUAAAGAAGAGUUGUAUAUGAUGCAACCAGAAGGUUUUGUCGAUCCUAAAGGUGCUAACAAAGUGUGCAAGCUCCAGCGAUCCAUGUAUGGACUGGUGCAGGCAUCUUGGAGUUUGAAUAUACGCUUUGAUGAGUUGAUCAAAGCAUAUCGUUUUAUACAGACUUACGGCGAGGCCUGUAUUUACAAGAAAAUGAGUGGGAGCACUACAACCUUUCUGAUAAGUAUAUGUGAAUGACAUAUUGUUGAUCGGAAAUGAUGUAGAAUUUUCUGGAAAGCAUAAAGGAGUAUUUGAAAGGAGUUUUUCAAAAGAAAGACCUCGGUGAAGCUGCUUACAUAUUGAGCAUCAAGAUCUAUAGAGAUAGAUCAAGACGCUUGACAAGUUUUUUUCAAUGAGUACAUACCUUGACAAGAUUUUGAAGUAGUUCAAAAUGGAACAGUCAAAGAAAGAGUUCUUGCCUGUGUUGCAAGGUGUGACGUUGAGUAAAGACUCAAAACCCGACCACGGCAGAAAAUAGAAAGAGAAUGAAAAGUCAUUCCCUAUGCCUUAGUCAUAGGUUCUAUAAAGUAUGCUAUGCUGUGUACCAGACCUAUUGUGUACCUCACCAUGAGUUUUGCAAGAGGGCACAAUAGUGAUCUAGGAGUAGACCACUGGACAGUGGUCAAAAUUAUCCUUAGAGGACUAAGGAAAUAUUUCUCGGUUAUGGAAGUGAUAAAGAGUUCGUCGUAAAGAGUUACGUCGAUGCAAGCUUUGACACCAAUCUGGAUGACUCUAAGACUCGAUCUAGAUACAUAUUGAAAGUGGGAGCUAUUAGCUAAAGUAGCUCCGUGCAGAGCAUGGUAGACAUAGAAAUUUGCAAAAUACAUACGGAUCUGUAUGUGACAGACCCGUUGACUAAAAUUCUCUCACAAGCAAAACAUGAUCACACCUUAGUACUCUUUGGGUGUUAAUAACAUAGCAAUGUGAACUAGAUUACUGACUCUAGUAAAACCCGUUGGGUGUUGGUCACAUGUCGAUGUGAACUAUUGAUGUUAAAUCACAUGGCGAUGUGAACUAGAUUAUUGACUCUAGUGCAAGUGGGAGACUGAAGGAAAUAUGCCCUAGAGGCAAUAAUAAAGUUAUUAUUUAUUUCCUUAUUUCAUGAUAAAUGUUUAUUAUUCAUGCUAGAAUUGUAUUAACCAGGAAACUUAAUACAUGUGUGAAUACAUAGACAAAACAAAGUGUCCCUAGUAUGCCUCUACUUGACUAGCUCGUUUAUCAAAGAUGGUUAUGUUUCCUAACCAUAUACAUGUGUUGUCAUUUGAUGAAUGGGAUCACAUCAUUAGGAGAAUGAUGUGAUGGACAAGACCCAUCCGUUAGCUUAGCAUUAUGAUCAUUACAGUUUCAUUGCUACUGCUUUCUUCAUGACUUAUACAUGUUCCUUAGACUAUGAGAUUAUGCAACUCCCGAAUACCGGAGGAACACUUUGUGUGCUAUCAAACGUCACAGCGUAAAUGGGUGAUUAUAAAGAUGCUCUACAGGUGUCUCCGAAGGUGUUUGUUGGGUUGGCAUAGAUCGAGAUUAGGAUUUGUCACUCCGUGUUUCGGAGAGGUGUCUCUAGGCCCUCUCGGUAAUGCUCAUCACUAUAAGCCUUUCAAGCAAUGUGACUAAUGAGUUAGUUGCGGGAUGAAGUAUUACAGAACGAGUAAAGAGACUUGCCGUUAACGAGAUUGAACUAGGUAUGAUGAUAUCGACGAUCGAAUCUCGGGCAAGUAACAUACCGAUGACAAAGGGAACAACGUAUGUUGUUAUGCGGUUUGACCGAUAAAGAUCUUCGUAGAAUAUGUGGGAGCCAAUAUGAGCAUCCAGGUUCCUCUAUCGGUUAUUGAACGGAGAUGUGUCUCGGUCAUGUCUACAUAGUUCUCGAACCCGUAGGGUCCGCACGCUUAACGUUCGAUGACAAUCGAUAUUAUGAGUUAUGUGUUUUGAUGUACCGAAGGUUGUUCGGAGUCCUGGAUGUGAUCACGGACAUGACGAGGAGUCUCAAAAUGGUCGAGACAUAAAGAAUGAUAUAUUGGACAAUGUUAUUCGGACACCGGAUGAGUUCCGGGGGUCACCGGAUAAAUAUCAGAGUGCCGGAAGGGUUAUCGGAACCACUGGAGAAGUAAUGGGCCUUAUUGGGCCUAGGGAAGAGAGAGAGAGGGGCUGCCAAGGGCUGGCCACGCCCCUUCCAUGGACCUAGUCCGAAUUGGACUAGGGGGAGGGAUGGCGCCCCCUCCUUCCUUAUCUUUCCCCCCUUCCUUCUUCUCCUAGUAGGACUAGGAAAGGGGGGAGUCCUACUCCUACUAGGAGGAGGAUUCCUCCCCCCUUGGCGCGCCUAUGAGGGCCGGCCGGCCUCCCCCUUGCUCCUUUAUAUACGGGGGUAGGGGGAACCCUAGAACACACAAGUUCAUUGUUUAGCCGUGUGCGGUGCCCCCUCCACAGAUUUCCACCUCGGUCAUAUCUUCGUAGUGCUUAGGCGAAGCCCUGCGCCGGUAACUUCAUCAGCACCAUCACCACGCCGUUGUGCUGACGGAACUCUCCCGCGGCCUCAACUGGAUCAAGAGUUCGUGGGACGUCACCGAGCUGAACGUGUGCAUAUCACGAAGGUGCCGUACGUUCGAUACUUGGAUCGGUUGAAUCGAGAGGACGUUCGACUACAUCAACCGCGUUACUAAAUGCUUACGCUUUCGGUCUAUGAGGGUACGUGGACAACACUCUCCCAUCUCGUUGCUAUGCAUCACCUAGAUAGAUCUUGCGUGAUCGUAGGAAUUUUUUUGAAAUUACCGCGUUCCCCAACACCACCAUCUUGAUAGCCCCACCAUCUUUGUGAAUACCUUCAUACCUAUUGAGACUAGCUGUCCGAGUAUUGUCGGGCUUCGCGAAAAGAGAUACGAUAUCAUAAGAAAAAGAGAGUUGAGCACGAAAAGAGAUACUUGUGCAUGAGGAUACAUGGAAUAUGAAGCAUUCUUGUUGCAUAUAUAUAGGUUGGUGCCAAGUGGUGAAUCGUGCCUGAGUGUGCAAUCAAGCUAGUGCUCUCCUAGUGUUUGUGCAACAUGAGCUUAGUCUUCGUUAGGCAAUUUUGUAUUGCUCAUCCCUAUAGUUGCACAAGCACCAUUAUCCCACCGUGUGUGUAUCUUUAUUGUCCUCCUCUAUAUUUGUGAUCACUUGCUUUGCAUUUUGAGUCCUUUGGAUUUAUCUCAACAUUUACAAUAUCUUGGAGUUCAAUUUGCAUGAAUUUGUGCCACCUAUCCUAACCAAGCCACUCGAUAAGCUUUACUUUGUAGGUGUGAGUGAACAAGUCCAGUACCAAUUCCACUAUUCUUUCAUUUCACAUUGAGUGAUACUGGAUACAUCCUCAACUUUGGGAAAAGGUAGCUUGGUAUUGUUUAUCUCAUUUCCUACUCACCUUUGCUCGAGUCUUGUGAUGGAUAGGCAAAGCACAUCAUCUCCAGUCUACAACCACGACCAUGAGUUUGAUGCCAUGAAGACAUUCAUCAACGCCAAGAUGGAAAAACACUUGGAGGAGCUCAAGGUCCUCAUCAACAACCGCAAGCGGUCUUCCUCAUCUUCGAGAAGACGCUCAAGUGCAAAGACUACCGAGCUACCAUCUUCGGCAAGGUCUCAUUGGCAUCGACACCAUCACCAACGAGAACGUGAAGGUCAAGAGCUCAACAGGAACCACUGCUCUACGACUUCACCAUCUACCUUGGCAUCUUUGCCAAGUGACGUCAAGGCAUCUUCGCCUUCGGACGUACGACAUCUUCGCCUACUCCACGAGCUAAAGUCCACUACUUCCACGAGCUACUUCGACUUCGCCAACACUGACGAGAUUCCAUUCCUUGGGACUAAUGACCCCGAAGAGUACCUCAAGUGGGAGCGCAAGAUGGACGACUACCUCAAGCUACACCAAGUCCCCUCCGAAGAUCAAGUGAAGUGCGCCACAAGUACCUUCCACGACUACGCGUUGAUUUAGACGAGCUUCAACAUGAGUUGGUCCAAGACAAAGAAAACAAUGCGGCGAGAAUUUGUGCCUUCCACCUACGCGGAACAUCUUCAACGCCAAUUGGAGAACACCAUACAAGGAUCCAAGUCCCUCGACGAGUACUUCAAGAACAUAAAGAAGGCCUUGCGACGAGCUGGUGUGGACGACCCCAUUUGGAUGAAGUUCUACUUCAUGAUGGGAUUGAACAGCAACAUUGCCAAGCCUAUCUUCACCAACAACUAUGAGUCCCUCGAUGACAUGUACGUUGGUUCUCUCAAGGCGGAGCAAUAACUCAUGAAGGCCAAGUCUACUCGACCUCACGCACACUCGCGACGACCACGCUCCAAGACAAUGAGCAUGAGGCUAGUACCACCGAGAUGUCCAAGCCCGAUGAGCUCCAAGAUGACGUCCCCAAGUUUGACUUCACCGCCAUCCCUCUUUGUGGCAUUGAUGAUGCUGAGUCUACUACGACUCUUUUUCAAGACGGUGCGGCGACGAGUACGACUACAGAGAAUCUCAAGGACCAAGAUUUGGAGACGAGCGACACGGUGACGAGUAAGGAUGAUGCUUCCAUCUUUGGAGGCGAGAGUGAUGACGUGCCAUCUUCGGCCUUCAUUAACGGCAAGAGUGAUGAUGUGCCAUCUUCAGCCUUCAUCCACGGCGACGACUACGAGAGAUGGUUGAGCAAGGGAUUUUCCCUUCGACCACGGCGGCGUAUGGUGAUGAGUUGAGUGACUUGUGCCACCAUAUUAAAAGUGAGAGUGAUUCACCACUAGCCCCAUAUAUGAUGAGUUGCCCCAAUUCCCAUGUGAGGAGAGCCACCACCACCACUUGAGUGAUUUGAGUGACUCCACCAUAUGUGACAUUGAGUGCACCUAUUUUGAGCGAGUGAGUGAGCCACCACCACAUAGAGAGAGUGAGGUAGUUGAUAGGGCAUGUGAGGCCAUUUUGAUUUCUGACAACUUAACCUCUACCUCUAUUGUGUCUUCCUAUUUGGUGCUAGGUCCCAUAUAUGAUGAGGCGUCGAUCCUCAACGAAUCCGUUCUUCCUUUGGACAAGACGAUGGCCAUGGUGGAAUAUGAUGCACCCCCACAUGGUUCCAUCAAGAUGAUGAUAUUGACCACCAUUUGGUCUUUCCCACCUCACCUACACCACUUGGGUGGCAAAGGUAAAAAAGGUGAAGGUGAUGCUCUAGUCCCACUAGUGGACAUUCUUGACAUUGAUUGCUUGCAUGCUGUUGGUCAACCUAUUACCAUGCUUCAUGCUAGUGCGACUUCCCCAUGCAAUUAUUUACCCAUUUAUGAUGAGUUUGAUGAUUGCCAUGUGGAGUCUAUUAGUUGUGAUGCCAUGUUACAUAGGAUUUCUUGUGAUAAUUCUCUCGGUCACAUCAUGUUCGACAAUCCGCUUGACUUGUCAUAUGCUAUGGAUGAGAUCAAUCAUAUUUCAUAUUUGAAAUCUCAUCGUAGUGACUAUGCGUAUGCCAUUAAAAUAAACCCAAUUUGCACUUAUAGAAUAGAUGACAAGCCCAUGGUUAUUGGCAUUUUUUUUCUUGUGAUGAUAUUGAUAUGCUCCCUUUGCAUCAUUUCAAUCAUAUGCCAUGCCAUUACCACCUAGCUUCGGAUAUGCAUUGUUUUGGAUGUUGUCCAUUUUCUCCAUAUGAUGUUUCUGAUAUUUCUCAUGAGGAGACCCCCAUAGUUUCCUCAUACAUGUUAGGAGAUUUUGAUCAAUCCCAUCCAUUGCAUAAUCCCAAUAAUUAUGUGCACAGUAUGCUCCCCAUGAAUGCAAAUGAUAUUGAUGUGCCAUAUAAUUCUAUACUCAAUUUGUGUCCCCAUCGUGUUAUACACAAUAACUAUUCUUUCAUGAUGGAUGACAUGUUCUUAUACCAUGCAUCAAAUUUCUUUGAGCGAUGCUUAUCUUGUGCUAACUCACACGUGCACAUACACAUCAUGAUGGAUGAUGUGUACAUUUACCAUGCACACACUUUCUUUGGUUUGUGUCUCUUUUGUGUAGGUACCCAUGAAUACUUGUCAACCUCACAAUCCCAUGAGUUGACGAAACGAGCUCUAGAGAGCAAUGAUGAUUUGGGAUCCCAUGGAUUGGUUUUCACACCAUUUCCAUUGCGCAAUGACUUCGCACAUUUCUUCUACAUGGCCCUCACAUGGUUAUGGGUUGUUGUCCAUCAUUACAUAUUCUAUGCCCAUCUUGCCAUGUUCACUUUGCAUGAUAUGCUCAUUCCUAUGCCUUUGCCAUGCAUUUGUGACCCAUGCUUUGCAUUACACAUGAUGAUUGAUUCUUGUACUUGUAUGUGUAUUUGCAAGCUUGGUGGAGAUAUUGCUUGUUAUUGCCAUGUUCCAUUUAUGACCCAUUCCUAUGAUGAUACUAUGAUCUUGCUUUGUGUUCGUGCUUGCGAUAUGUCAUGUGUAUUGCCUAUACCUACUAUCUGCUCACAUGACAUGAUUGCCAUGAUUUCCCCUAGUGCGUUGCAUCUUCACUCCACUAGUUUGCAUGAUAUGAUUGAUAUGCUUGCUUAUGUUGCAUCACCAAUGAUUCAUACUUGCUCAUUUCAUGCAGUUGAUGACAACCAUCUACAUGCUUUGCAUAUGAUUGCUAUUGCUUCUUGUCAUAUGUCUCCAUAUGUUGCAUCUCUCAUGCUAGAUGAUUUGCCAUGCAUUGAGUGCAACAAUGCUUUUAGUCUUGCUUAUGAGAUUGGCCCCAUAGCAUUCUCGCAUAUAUUUGGAGAUUUUGAAAUAUUUCUUGUGAAGCAUGCUUGUCUUCCUUCUUUGCACCAUACACCUAGUGCUAUGAAUAUCGCCAUUGUUGCAUCAUAUUAUUCGUGCACUUGUGCUUCUAAUGGUUAUGUGCAAAAGAAGAGAACCAUCAUGAUGGAUGAUGUCUUUAUCUACCAUGCACAUAUGUUGUUUGGUUUCUUUUGUGCGUGUGUAGGAUACCUCGACUCGGUGUCAACUUUCACUUCCCGUGAGUUGAUCAUUCGAGCUCUUGGGAGCGAACCACCUUCACUCAUGACGCUUCUACAUCGUACUUGCUUGUGGUUCGACAUUGUGAAGGACACACAAGGACAUGCUUUCAAGGUGAUAUCCCUCUCUUUUGAGAACCUCCAAACCAUGAGCAUAGAUACUAUGGAUCAUACUACUUGUGUUGCUUGCACCAUGACACUUAUUGUUCAUCUUGGAUCACUUGAUUGCGCACAUGUUAGAGAUCUUGCUUCGACUUGUCAUUUUCACCUUUCCAUGCCUCAUGACAUAUAUACCUUGUGUGUUGCAUCCAAUUCUUGGAUUACUUGCUCCUAUCAUAUGUUUGGUUGCAACAAUUUCAUUUAUUCACAUAUGCCAUGUCCCAUUAAUUGUUACAUGCUUGCCUUGAUUGCCUCACACAUGUUGAACAAUUGCUCUUUCUAUUGUGUUGAGUGCCACUCGAUUUUCACUUCACCCUAUGCAUAUUAUACUUGGCCUGUCUUGCCACAUGUGUUUAGACUUUAGACACUUCUUUUUCUUUGGCGUUGUGAAUGGUUCAUAUGCAUACCAUAGACCAUUUGUUCAGGGCUUUAUGCAUGCUUGCUAUGAACUUGAGGUAGAUGCUUAUUCUCUUGUCACACAUAUUUGCAUCACUAGUCACAUUUACAUGCUUGUUUCCAUGAUGACCUUGAUUGUGCUCAAUUCAUAUGCUUCCAUGCCAUGCCACAAUCCUUUGUCACACCUUAUGCUAUGCAUGAUGACGACACUUGUUCGGUGAAUCACCACUUGAAUGCUUGUUUUUUCACUAAUGCUAACCACAUUUGUUUUUCCAAGUGUUUGUUGUCCUUACUCCUUUUCAAGGAACCACACGAUGGUGCGACAUUGGAGAGUGACCACUAUGAGCUUCAAGAUGAUGACUACUUGGUGAAUGUCCACUUCUACACGACGACGCCAUCUCUUUCCCGUGGUGAUUUGGUUUUUGAUCCAAGGUUGGAUCUUUCCCAAGGGGGAGGGGAUGAUGCAGAGCAUCCUACAAACAUCACCAUGUCAAGAAUCCAUUUGGCGGACACGCGCGACAUCUACUUCACAUACACAAAGGUGAAUCAUCUCCUUUACACAUGUUCACUUGACCCCAUCGAGGAUGGUAUACUACUUGACACUCCUCUCGUGUGCAUGCAUAGGUAUCAUUGGAGCACCACGGAUGAUGAGGAGGAGUGCAAGCGGAAGUGUACGCCUACACGAUCCGCGAAGGAAGCUUGGAAGCAACGACGAAAGAAGAUGGUGCAAAAUUUGCACUACCAGACUGUCCGGUCCAUCCAGAGAGCAGUUUUGGACUGUGCAGAAAUUGCACUACCGGACAGUCUGGUCCCCCAAGCGGACUGUCUGGUAGUACAAUUUCUAGAUGCCCAAAAGUUUCUAUUUCUACUGGACUGUCUGGUCCCCCGCUGGCUGAAUUUGGGCAAGGCCCAUGUAACUUUACCCUUUCACCCUCACUUACCCCUUCCUUGCCUUGGACCUAUAUAUAUCCCUCCUUCUCCUCCAUUUUAGGGUUAGCUAAGAAUAGAUCUAGACAUUAGAGCUUAGCUCGUGUAUCUCCCCUUGUGGGAUUCCUCUAGAGAGGGAAUGCUCCAUUGGAGUUCAAGGCCUACAUUGGUGAAGAUCCCUAGGGAUUCAAGACCCCUUCUAGGGAAGGAUCUAUCUAGAUCAUCAAGACCUCAUCUCCUUUGGAUUUGGUAUGAACUUUACCUUGUAUCUUUCCCUUUGUUGUUCUUGUACCUUUGUGGAUCUUGUGUGAUUGUGAGUCUAGUGGAUGUGUGAUUGGACUUGUUCUUGAGUGUUUUCCCCUUGUGAUUUCCCCUCUUGUUCUUCGUGUUCGUCGUGGAUUCCCCUCCAAUUCAUGAAAGAUCUCCACUUAGGGUAUCCACCCUACAACACUCUUACUAACACUUGGCAAAGUAGGAGUUCUUGCCUCCUGGCACAGGGUUUGAGAUAGUCUUGACAAAUCUGGCCAUUUAAAAUAGAUGCCAUCCACUAGGUAGUAUACCUUGUUGUAGUGGCGCCCAUUAACCUCGAACUUCAUCGGUGGAGCAUGACCUUCAACAAGCUCGGCAAAGACAUUCGAGCACUGUAGUACGUUGAUGUCAUUGUGAGUUCCUGGCAUACCAAAGAAGGAGUGUGAAAGUGCAACUAUCCCUAGGUGGUUCUGGUAAUUCCUAACAACAUAUAGCUCAUUGAGCUAACACUAUUUCAAGACUAAUAUUUUAGGAAAGCUCAAUGAUUGGCAUGGCAUGGAUAAGAAAAGUGGACCCCUCAAAAUGCUAAGGACAAAAGGAUUGGCUCAAGCUCAAAGCUCAAGACUCUACAUUUUCUAUUUUAGUGAUCCAAGAGUACAUUGAGUCUAUAGGAAAAGCCAAUACUAUCAAGGAGGGAUGAGGUGUUGCUUAAUGGCUUGCUUGCUCAAAGUGCUUAGUGAUAUGCUCCAAAGCCCUCAACCACUUUCUCACUUCCACAUAUGACCUAAACCAAAAGUCAAACUCGGCCCCACAGAUUCUUUCUAUUCGGCGCCACCGAGUUCAGGUGUCAUAGCCACUGCCACAAACCCUAGGCAAAUCGGUCUCACCGAUAGGGAUCUCGGUCUCACCGAGAUGGGAUUGUAAUCUCUCUGUUUCCCUUCGUAACGUUUUGGUCCUACCGAGAUGAGCGAUCGGUCCCACCGAGAUUGCAAUGUAAACUCUCUGUUUCCCUUUUGUAACAUUUCGGUCUCACCGAAAUGAGCGAAUCGGUCCCACCGAGUUUACCUGACCAACUCUCUGGUUAGCUUAUUACCAAAAUCGGUCUCACCGAGUUUGUGUAAUCGGUCUCACCGAGAUUACGUUAUGCCCUAACCCUAACCAUAUCGGUCCUACCGAGUUGCAUGUCGGUCCCACCGAAAAUCCUAACGGUCACUAGAUUUGUUGAAUCGGUCCGACCGAGUUUAACAAUUCGGUUCCACCGAGUUUGGUAAGUUGUGUGUAACGGUUAGAUUUUGUGUGGAGGCUAUAUAUACCCCUCCACCUCCUCUUCAUUCGUGGAGAGAGCCAUCAGAACGAACCUACACUUCCAAUAUACAUUUUGUGAGAGAGAACCACCUACACUUGUGUUGAGGUCAAGAUAUUCCAUUCCUACCAUAUGAAUCUUGAUCUCUAGCCUUCCCCAAGUUGCUUUCCACUCAAAUCUUCUUUCCACCAAAUCCAAAUCCUGUGAGAGAGAGUUGAGUGUUGGGGAGACUAUCAUUUGAAGCACAAGAGCAAGGAGUUCAUCAUCAACACACCAUUUGUUACUUCUUGGAGAGUGGUGUCUCCUAGAUUGGCUAGGUGUCACUUGGGAGCCUCCGACAAGAUUGUGGAGUUGAACCAAGGAGUUUGUAAGGGCAAGGAGAUCGCCUACUUCGUGAAGAUCUACCACUAGUGAGGCAAGUCCUUCGUGGGCGACGGCCAUGGUGGGAUAGACAAGGUUGCUUCUUCGUGGACCCUUCGUGGGUGGAGCCCUCCGUGGACUCGCGCAACCGUUACCCUUCGUGGGUUGAAGUCUCCAUCAACGUGGAUGUACGAUAGCACCACCUAUCGGAACCACGACAAAAACAUCCGUGUCUCCAAUUGCGUUUGAAUCCUCCAAACCCUUCCCUUUACAUUCUUGCAAGUUGCAUGCUUUACUUUCCGCUGCUCAUAUACUCUUUGCAUGCUUGCUUGAAUUGUGCUAAGAUUGCUUGACUUGUUCUAAAGUUGCUAAAAUCUGCCAAGAACUAAAAUUGGGAAAAGGCUAGAUUUUUACUUGGUCAAGUAGUCUAAUCACCCCCCUCUAGACAUACUUUCAAUCCUACAAGUGGUAUCAGAGCUUUGGUCUCCAUUUGCUUUGAUUUCCAUAGCUUUUGGUGGUCAUAGCCUUGGUUUCACAACCUAGGAGAGUAUGGCGUCUAGUGAGGGAAAUUAUCACCGUAGAGGUCCUUACUUUGAUGGUACUAAUUUUGCUAGUUGGAAGCAUAAGAUGAAAAUGCAUAUUCUUGGACAUAACCCCGCCGUUUGGGCUAUUGUGUGUAUUGGCUUGCAAGGUGAAUUCUUCGAUGGGAAAGAACCGAACCGUGAAGCUACCGCAGAAGAGUUGAAGAUGCGGCAAUACAACGCUCAAGCUUGUGAUAUCCUCUUCAACGGAUUGUGCCCCGAAGAAUUCAACAAAACCAGCCGUCUUGAGAAUGCAAAGGAAAUUUGGGAUACUCUGAUUUAUAUGCACGAAGGUACCGACUCCGUCAAGGAAUCCAAAUUGGAUGUGCUUCAAAGUCAACUUGACAAGUUCAAAAUGAAGGAUGGUGAAGGUGUCGCUGAAAUGUACUCUAGGCUUGCUCUUAUCACAAAUGAGAUUGCCGGCUUAGGAAGUGAAGAGAUGACCGACAGAUUCAUCAUCAAGAAGAUCCUAAGAGCCUUGGAUGGAAAAUAUGAUACCGUGUGCACAUUGAUCCAAAUGAUGCCCAAUUACAAAGAUCUCAAGCCAACAGAAGUCAUUGGAAGAAUCGUUGCUCAUGAGAUGUCACUCAAGGAUAAGGAGGAGCUCCAUAACAAGUCAAGUGGUGCUUACAAAGCCUCGUGUGAAGCUCCCACAUCAUCAAGUGAGAAACAAACCUUCAAUGAAGAAUUGAGCCUAAUGGUGAAGAACUUUAACAAGUUCUACAAUAGUAGAAGCAAAGAGAGAAGUUCCAAGUCAAGGUCCUACAAUGACAAAAGAUCUUCUAGUCGAGAGCGUAAUUGCUACAAUUGUGGAAAACCCGGACACUACUCAAAUGAGUGUACGUCCCCCUACAAAAGAAGAGAAGAUUCUCCCAAAAGAAGAAGUAGAAGAGAAGAAUCACCAUCAAGAUAGAGAAGGAGUAGGGAUGAUCGUUAUGAACGAAGACCCUCACGGAGAAGCAAGGAUUCGGAAAGGAAGGACAAGUCAUCAAGGAGCUACACAAAACGAAGACAUCAAGCUCAUGUUGGUGAAUGGGUAUCCGGCUCCGACUCCGACAAUCACUCGGAGAGAAGCUAUCACUCCGACUCCGAAUAUACUCAAGAUGAAGGUGUUGCCGGUCUAGCACUUGUGUCAACCAACUCCUACGACAUAUUUGAUUCACCAAAUGAAGGAAUUGGAAGAUGCUUCAUAGCCAAAGGUCCAAAGGUAUCACACCCCGAGUAUGUUGAUUUCAAUAGUGAUGAAGAUGACUUGUUAGGUGAUGAUGAUUUACUUGUUAACAACUCUAGUGAUGAAUACUAUGAUGAAACGUCAAUUAAUCAUGAUAAUCAAGAUAAAAAGAAUGACAAUGAUAAGGAGAAGAUUGAGUCUCUAACUAAAGAACUAAACACUCUUGAGUUAGCUCAUGAAACUAUCUUAGGAGAUCAUCGAGAACUUUUAAGGACUCAUGAGAAAUUACGUUUUGAAAAGCUCAACCUUGAGCAAGAGCAUGAGUUCUUAAAGGCAAUCAAUGAUGAUCUUCGCAAGAAAAGUUCUUCUUACAUUGCCAAGCAUUUACUCUUAUCCACUUACAUGCCUCAAGUCAAGUCUAGUAACAAGAACAAGAAAGAUUCUUCCUCUAGUAGUAACAAUAAUCAUGCUAAAUCCAAUGUUGUUGCUUCUAGUAGUUCUCUUGAUUCCACUAAUGAUUCUCUUAGCCAAGUUACACUUGAGUAAGAAAAUAGCUUAUUGAAGGGAAUUAUAGAGAAAGGUGUCUACAAGAGCCUUGCCGGGAGUAAGCAAUUCGAGGAAAUUGUACGCGAGCAACACUACAAAAAAAAUACACUUCCAUGAUGAUACGUGUUUGUCACAGUAGGUCGCGUUUUUUGUCAUGCAUGUACAUCCAUGACAAAUUUAUGACAGAAUCAAGGUAGUCAUACCUGUGCUGUCGUAGAAGUGUUCCAUGACAUUACGAAAAUUAUCAUCACGGAAGUGUCCACUUCCAUGACAAUAAAUCGCGCAUCACAGAAGUGCUUUCGUCAAGGGUGACCGACACGUGGCAACCACCGUAAUGGAACGCCGUUAAGCUAUCGGGUCGGGUUUUGGAUCCGAUAACCCGUUAACAGCCCCGACCAAUGGGGAUUUUCCACGUGUUAAAUCAUCAUUGGCUGGAGGAAACACGUGUCAGCUCACCGCUGGGACAGAUGUCAUCCACUCAUUGGACAGAAGGCGCCUAUGAUACGUCGACACAUGGCACGACCCAACAAGUUUAAUUGGGCCGGCCCAAUUAAAGGCCCACAAGUUUUGCGGACCAUAAUGGGCCGGCCCAGCUAAAGGCCCACAAGAUUUUGCGGACCAUAAUGGGCCGGCCCAGCUAAAGGCCCACGAGAUUUUGCGGGCCAUAAUGGGCCGGCCCAGGUAAAGGCCCACAAGAUUCUUGCGGAUCAUAAUGGGCCGGCCCAGCUAAAGGCCCACGAGAUUUCGCUGACAUUAAUGGGCCGGCCCAGCUGUAGGCCCACAAGAUUUUGAGGACCCUAGUAGGCCGGCCCAUUAACUGGCUGCCAUGUUUUGGGCCAAAUGCCGGCCCAUAUCUGAUCCGGUCCAUUAAUGGCCUGCCACGUUCCGGGCCUAAAAGUGGCCCAUAUGAGAUCCGGCCUGUUAUAAGCCUACCAUGUUCUGGGCCAAAUUACGGCCCAGAUAAGGUCCGACCCUUUAAGAGGCUUUGGGCUCAAUUAUGGCCCAUAUCAAAUUCGGCCCGGCAAUUGGACACUAUGCUUUUGGGCCCACUUGCUAAAGGCCCACUUAGUAAUUCGGCCUGAUAUUAGUUUUGGCCUGUUAAGGGCCCGUUUAACAUUUCGGCCCUAUAUUAAUUUCGGCUGUUAAAAGCCCGUCAUAUAGUUGGGCCUAACUACGGCCCGUCGCAGCCGAUAUCUAAUUGGGCCAAACAAGGACCGAGACAAUUUUGGCCUGUUAAAAGCCCGUGAUUUGAUUCGCACAAUCAUGGGCCGGGGUUCAUUUCAGGCUGCUGCCGGCCCGUGAGCUGUUCGGCAUGUUUCAGGCCCAACCUACAUCGUGAUUGCAUGACGGCCCGAUUAUGUACUGUAAUUUUACGGUUUGGCCGGUUUACUGCGAAGACAGGAUAUAUAUACAGUAAAAUAACUACAACAUCGUGAAUAAGAAAAAACCUAGACUAUACAAUAAAGAAAUUACGACAUAUUACAUCCACUGGGCAUCAAAGUUCGCCACUAUGAUAAUAAAGCACAAGCAGACAGCAAAUUACAUACACUGGGCAUCAAAGAUCGCCACCAGUGCAAAUAAACACACCGACAAAAUAAUAUACAAAACUGACAGCACUUCAAUAGAGUUCAAGAAAGGUUAGCCCUGCUGGGGAGCUGCAGCGCAAGCAGCUGAGUAAGAUGAUGAGACUGCGCUUGUUCAACACUUAUAUCUUCCUCACUCUGAAAGAUAAACAAGCAGACAGAUGACAGGUUUUGCACAUAAAAGUAUCAGUGCUGACAAUUCAUCACAUUUCUUACUGACGAAUAAAGUGACACAGUUUAAAAUUGCAUUAACACAAUAUGGUAUUGUUCAGGUCAAGACAUGGCAGGAAAUGACAUUGUGAAGGAGUUGGCAGCUUCACGACACCACUGGAUUACAGAUCAAGAACUCAUAAGUAUCAAUGGUUAGUGUGCUGUCAAUUUAUCCCAUUUCAGAUUGGCAAAUAAAGAGAUGGUUUAAAUAAUAGUAGAAUGAUAUGACAUUGUUCAUAGUUAAGACAUUGCAGAAUAUGACAUUGUGCUGUAGUGGGUAGGUUCACCACACCACUGGAUUACGGAUGAAGAACAGAAGCAUACAUGCAGUGCAAAAGAAGAUCACUUGCUCUGUAUAGUUUAAUUUACAUGGUAUGAAGAAGGAACUUGGUUGUACAACUGAAAACUUAAAUUGAGAAAGGACAAACUUUUGUUUAUGAACUACAUAAUAAACUUUAAAUAAGCAAUUUGAUGCAAACACCAAAAAUAAACAGCUGUUGCAGUCAUGCCUAACCAAAUAUAUACAACAAAGUUUGAAGGCUUGAGAUGGACAAACUUACAUUAUUGGUGAAGACAGGCUCUAUAAAGGCCUUGUCCAUGCUGAUGGGGGGGCAAUUCAAGAAGUUCACCACAGAAUCUUCUUCAAAAGCAUUGCAUUUAUUCUACAUUUUGUUAAGAGUAAAUAUAGAUGUGAUAAUAUACGAAAAAAUGGAGAAUAUUUAAGAUAAGAUGAAGAGUGAUGCUACAUAACCAAGUAGCUAUAAAUGUAAGUGCAGCGAUACAGGCAAAAGGUACAACCAAGAGCAAUGCAUAGCUAAAAUUCUUCAGUACCAACCUUAUGGUAAGAGUAAAUAUAGAUCUGAUGUGUAGAAAAUGGAGGGCAAAGGAAAAUAAGCUGCAGAGUGAUGGUACAUGAACAACUACCUGUCAUUAUAAGUACACUGAUAAAGGAUAGCAUGUACUUACAAGAACAAUGCAGAGCUAAAAAAACAUUGGCAUUGGAUAUAUUCUACACUAAUGUAACCAUUCAUACAUUCAUACAGAUCAGAUAAUUUGGAGCGAACAAUUGAUAAGCAAGCUAUCAUGCAUACUGCUGUCACAUAAUGAACCAGGUAUGUAUGCAAGUACAGUGAUACAGGACAACAGGUACUAACAAGAGCAAAGCAGCGGGCAACAUAUUUGCGAUAUCCUGUCGUUCUUUUCAAACCGGAACUCUUCUUCAAGCAGAUUUCCUGCAAAAAAGAUCCGUAAGGCACAUGCAGAAAAGUAGAAGUUCAAAUUGUCAUGUGAUUUCAUAGACAGUACCUCAUCCUGGGAACGAGACCAGUGCAUAACAAGGUUUUUCCAUUCAAUGUCUUCUAAAUUUAGCACAGGAGACUUCACCGGAAAUUCGUUUAUUGACUUGCCAUCAAAGUGUGAUUUCCUCAGGUAACACCGAUACUGCUGCAAUGCUUCCUUGAAAAGCACAAGCAAGCUUUGCUCGUCAUGACUAUCCAGAUUGACCCUCGCCUAGUUACAACAAUGUAAUGUAAAUCAUUGAUGUGUUCAAUCAGCAGAAAACAGGAAAAUAAUAACCAUGAAUAAUAGCACUUACACGUAAGUUGGACAGGAAGAUGUGAAAAUGGUGUUUGUCUUCACUAUAAUCUUCCCAUGAUGGGAAUAUAUGCACGUAGUCCCUAACAACAUUGAAAGCAUUGUCUUUUAAACUGGGAAUAAAUGGAAUGGGGUUCCAAUCUACAGGAAUUGGCCGUCUCUGCAGUUGGGAUAGGUCUUCGGCCGGUGGACUUGCUGUACUUUUUGCUGGAGUGGGAUUUUUUUGUGGUACAGCUGGUGCUAUGGCAAAUGAAAUCGGUAUACCUUUUGCUGGAGUGCAGGUCCUGUGUGGUGGGGCUAGUGGUGUGGCCAGUGAAGUAUGGGUACAGUCAGCUGGAGUCGGUCCUACGUUUUGUGUCACUGGUUGUACAGCCAAUAUAAGUGGGGUGCUGUCUGAUUUCUCCAGCACCACCACGUUUUUCAAGGACUUUGCUGAUGCUCCUUCAGGUUCGGCAAUCACCCUCUUCCUUUUUGAUGUCUGAUGCACAAGAACAGCAUUUGAGUGAAAAAACAUGGUAUUAUGACAGAUGGAAUAUGUAUUGAUAAUGGAUGGGCAUGGCAUCUCGACAUAUAUGAUGAGUAAACUAAGCAGAUGGCGGUGCAACAAAUUAGAAGAAAUGCAAGACAACAUAUGCAAGAUACCCGCAAUCAAUAAAACAUUGCCAAAUUAGAACAGGCACCUUGAUAGGUGAACAGGACAGGCCAUCUGCCUUUGACUCCUCGAGGUUAGAAUGGUCAUUAGGAUCAUAUUCUGAACAAGAAUCAACAGGUGGGGAGCGUAUGAGUUUCAUUGCAUCCAGAAUGGCACUCAAUGCCUUGGUGCCAAUUUUGUAAGUCAUUGCAAUGUUUAGCUUCAAGAGUGGACUGCUACUAGUGUGACACAAAGCAGCUACACAGAUCAUAGUGUAGAUAUAACGGGAAAACCUUAAGCAUCAGAGUAAAAUCAGCAAAGUGGAACUUGCUGGAAUAUAUGUGCUAGUAUUGCUUGUACGGCUAGAAAGGCUUCGGAUACCAGCUCUCUUCAAGUGAAGGUGCGGUACUGUUAAUAUCAGUGUAACUCUCAAAGGCGACACAGCUCCCCGCAUUUCCUUGCUAUUCUUAUAGGUUUCAAGUGGGCAGGCCACUACAAAUCCUAUUCCUAUGUUUACAAGAUCCUACGAAUCAAAGAGGCUCAAAGUGUCCAUCACAACCGACCGUAUAGACCUCUACACUGCAAAUGUCCCUGCUCAUCUUUAGUACAAGGAACAUACUGUACUACUAGCAUACUCCCUCCAUUCCAAAAUAUAAGCCUUGGUAGAGAUUUCCACUAUGGAUCACAUACAGAUGUAUCCAGAUACAUUUUAGAGUGUAGAUUCACUCAUUUUGCUCCAUAUGUAGUCCAUGGUGGAAUCUAUACAAAGACUUGUAUUUAGGAACGGAGAGAGUACAUAUUAAAGAAGAACGGAAGAGGAACAUGGUAAAGAAGAGCAAGCAGAUUUUGGAUAAUAAAAUGUUGGUUGCGCAGUGCCCACACAUGAUGAACUAGAGCGCAUUAAGAAUGCAACUCCCAGCUGUCUCUCGACCAUUUCAGGCGGUUGGAUGAAGAUCCUACGUCUCCUAACCCUUAUUCUUCCUCGUCUCUGAUUCUUCCCAUACAGAACACCGCACGGGCCGCCGGCCGGACCACCGGCCCCCACCGCCUGUGUUCCUCCGCCACCCCCACCCCCCACCCGUGCCCCAACCCCCACCCGUGUCGAGUUUUCUUCGUUCGGGGAGGCCCCACAAGCACCCGAGCCCCUUCAAUCGCACCGGCAAACUUCGGCGAGCUCUGAAAAAUCGACUGACCCAAUUUUGAAAUUUAGUCUACUGUGAUUUAACUAGUGUGGAAUAUAAAAGGGGAAAACCAUAAGCAUUGGGAGUAUAGUGUUGAGCGUGCCAUGGCGGAUCUGAAGGUGCAAACCGAACAAAGGCAACUUCGCAACCAAGACAAGAAAUGAGAGUAAAGCAGUGGCGAUCUAUUUUCUUGCUGCGAUAAAUAAGUUGAGCAGAUACGAAAGAGUACCGCCUCUGGUGCGGCGCCGUGUACGCAUCUGCUGAGAAUUUGACGGUGCUGCGGUAGCGAUGGCUGUCGGCGGCGUGGAAGCAGAUCUAGGAGGGUAGACGGUGGCGGCGGGGCGCGGUGGACGAGACGGUCGUAGGAGCGGCGCCGGCAAGGUGGACUACGGCGGGAUGAAGCGAGAGGAUGGGAUGCAAGGAUCCCGAUCCGAAGGCGUGGAUGAGAGAGAUCGAUCUCUUGUAAUGGACGGCGGCGUCGGGGUAUCAGCUCCGGCAUGGUGGAGGAGGACGGCGGUGGAUGGGGUGGCGGACGGCGGCGGACGGAGGAGGGUGGGGUGGAGAGGGUGUUUUGGCGCCCACGGAGUACGAAUGGGGAAAAGGGAGGUAGAGAGGAAGGGGGAACCAUGUAUUCAGGGCGCGCUUGUCUCAAAUGCGAGGAAAUUUACGAACUUAGCCCCCGUUUCAAAUUUCUACUACAUCACAGCAACAUUAGUCGGUUGGGGAUAGGACGGUAAUCUCGCAUACACCGAAUAUUUGCCGACGAGAGUUUGUUUUUGGCGCCCACCGUGUAUGAAUAUGAAUCGUGGAGGGAGUCGAUUUCGGCCGAGGACACACUGUGUUUUGGCGCCCACCGUGUAUGAAUCCGGGUGAGAGGCGGUUACGUCACGUUUGGGUGAAAUUACAAACCUACCCCUAUCGAAACCUAUAGAAAUCCAGCAGAUAGGCUUUGUGUGCCAGGGAUAGGCAGUAGUGAUUUCCAUCUCGCAGAUUUUGGUCUCGGGCGGUUACUACGACUUUUCCCGCUUCGUUCAAAUUUUGCAGGGUGCACGUUUACCGUGCCAACUCAAUUCGAAUCCCGUUUGUAUUCUAUUUUUUUCGGGCGGGAUCCAUUUUCAAUUGGCAUUACAUUCUAUAUACAUCAUUUUUUAUAUAUACUUUCAAAAGCACAACAAAGAAUUCUGCUCCUUUAUAUGUAUAAUAUGAUUUACAAAUACAACGAUCUCGAAAUCUUACGGUUGAAUUCGAAAAAAUUUAACCAAAUUAUGUUCUACUAAAAUGUAUGGAUCAGUAAUACCUACAUAUUAAAUAACAUAGAUGUGCGUGAAUUCAUAUGAGUAUGCAUGUUUGAUAGAUCAAUUUUGGUUCGAGUAUGGAUUACAUGUAUCAUCAUCUCGAAUUCAAAUAUUUGAAUCCCUUUUUUGGUCACUCCUUUCACGCCCAUCUCUCUCGCGUGCAUGCUCCUUCAGGUAGCUAUCACUCUCUUUUCUCCAGCUCACCCGCACGCUCACUUCAUGUUUCUCCUAUCCUCGCAAACAUGGUCUCUUGACGUCUCCCUUGAGAAGUGUCACACUCUCACUAUCAUUAUACAUUACACGGUUUUCAUUAUCUCUCACGUCUCUACUGUUCUCUGGUACUCGGUACCUAAGCUUUCUUUUUCACCGCCACACACACAGUCUCCACUCGUUUUUCACUUUGUCUUUCUCUCUAUGGGAUUCUCUCACACACCCUAUAUGUCUCUACAUAUGACUCAUACCACUAAAAUUACUCUCUCUCUCUCUCCUGUAGACACAACAUUUGUUGCGGUCUCCUUUUCGUCUCCAUCCCAGACUGACAUUAUUCAUUUGUUUACCGAUCAGACAACCCCGACUACCGUCUCCUCUCUCUCACACACAGACACACACACAGACACAACUCCUGCUUCCACUCCCCUUCCCGACUACCGUCUCUCUCUCACACACACAAAACUCUCGCUUUCGCACCCAGACUCGUACUUCUCUCACAAACAUUUAUCGACUAGCUAGCCUCUAGAUAGGUUUAUACACCCGCACACUCGUGCUUCCACCAUCGCAUACAUGUCUCUCUCCUGCUCCUUGUAUCUAUGUAGAUUUUUCUUCCCUUCUCGAGACACGCCCUCUCGAUCAUGCACACACGCACCAUCGCCUCAUUUUAAGCUGAUACCUAUCGCACACACACUCCUUGUGUCUUUUUCACACAUGCACUCCGUCCUCCUCCACUCUCCCUCUCUCUCACACACACAUGGGCUUUUUGCAACAACUAGCAAGAUGCCCAUGCGUUGUACGGAACAUCAAGAUGCAUUUGUAUGAGUAGUUUAUCUUGUGGGGGAAAAGGAUGAACGAGGGAAGGCCUUAUUUGCAAAUGUGGAGAGGGGUGUGGGUAUCUUUUUGCAAAAUUGCCAUAGUUUCCUUCCUAUCUGUCAGAUAUAGAUCGGACGACCUAUAUUGCAGGAUGGCAGGCACACGAUCAUCAUCGACAAUGCUUUUUAUAAGAGUAGGGAUAAAAAAUAGAGUUGGUGAUGAUGGUGGGCCUAUCAUCCUGCAAUGUAGGUCGUCCGAUUUAUAUCUGACGGAUAGGAAGGAAAAUAUGGCAAUUUACCCGCACUCUUCACCACAUUUGCAGAUAAGGCCUUCCCUCGUUCAUCCUUUUCUCCCACAAGAUCUUGAUGUUUCGUGCAACGCACGGGCAUCUUGCUAGUAAGAGUAGAAAUUAGACAUAUACCACUUCUCGAAUCUUGAAACCAACAACAUUCCUCCCUUAUCUCAUCAAAAGCCAAAGGAAUAUAUUUUGAGUGAAACAUAACAUAUUUUUAGUGAUAUUCGUAUUUCAAAACUAGACUUUUUUUUCUAUCAAAUCGGUGAAUAUGUAAUAAUCUACUUUGAUCGUGUGGCAACACAUUGGCACAUUGCUAGUAGUUAUUAUAAUUUUUUGGACACCAGACAAACGGUGGAGUACAUAUACGAAGAGAAGAGGCGCACGCACGCAGUCGGCCUCUCACUGUCUCGCACACAUGAGUGUUACGUAAAGGCGACGUUAACAAAUAAACCCUAAAACCCUAGGUGCACGAUUGCUGCAUUCGCGGGUACCGGGUACGUGGUGGAGCACCUUUGUAGGAAUAGUCAGCUCGCGUGAUAAUUUAAUCCGUAGGAGUUGAUGGUCGGGACCACAGGUGAACGACUUGGAGCGCGGUGGCUCGCCAGUUGCCACAAAUAGAGUAGCCACGUUUAAAAUAUCGUUUUUCUAGCGGGGUUAAGAGUUCCAAUUUUCAAUGGCGCGUUAUAAGUAGUAAGUAGUUUUCAGAACGAUUGGUAUGGAGCGAAAAUGGAAUUCAUAGUACUACGUACCUCCUUGGCGUAUGCUUGUAUGGUUUUUUUUGCGAUGGAGGUUGUAUGGGUUUAUGUUGCGAGAUGUUGAACCUGGUAGUUCUAGGGCAAAUACUAUGGUUUAGAUUUAGAUGCUGGUUUUCAGUAAUGAAAAUCGGAAGGGGAAACCCUUCUUUGAUUAAAAAAACUACUACCUCCAUUCUGGUUUACUAGUCCCCAUCGUACUUUGGGUCAAAGUUUGUCCACGAAUUUUACUUGUAAAAUGUGAAUGGAAAACGAGAUUUUGUUAUACCCAAACAAAAAAGGACUGGAAGGAGUGAUUGCUCUAACACGGACGCGACUUCUCACAGCGCAGGCAUUGAACCGGCGCGCCGGCCAAGAGGGCCGCACUCGCUGCAGGCCCGGCUGAGCACGCCUCCUCGCCGCGUGCAACCAGCUUAAGACUGCCCCGCCUGCCUUCAUUGAAUCCGCGCGUGUGCCGGCAACACGUCACGUCCUUCCACGAGCCGGUAGACAUUUUAGAACACAAAAAAUGACUAAAAUAUAAUUAAUUUACGCAUGUUCUUGACUUGUUGUGCUCGCACUGGUAGCAGGAACUAGUAGAGGUUUUUCUUUAUUUAUAACUCUCCUCACAUUUUUUUUGGCUUUGAAAUGAAUCAUGGUUGUGGACAUUAUGUAUGAAAUGUGCAGAUAUCUGUGAACAUGAGUUUGAUGUGGAAGUUGAACUUGGAAUGUCGGGCUUGCGCGUGAACUAUACCAUGUCCAAUGCUUCGUCUGUUAUUGUUUGGAAAGUAAUUGUUGUUAUUACAUGACCCAAAAAAACAUUUUGUGCCACAUCAGUAGAUGCACGGACAUCACAACAGGCAUGCUGACUGGAUAAACAUUUGAACCUAGCUAUUAUGAAGGAAAUUUUGUAUUGACAACAAUCUUAGAUAGCAGGAGACGCCUAGCCUGCUCUGCCUCUGCUAGCUUAUUUCUGGCUUCUUCCAUCUCUUCUUUGGCUUGGGUGAAGAGAGCAUCUAAUUGCUCUUUUCGCUUCUUUAGGAACUCAGCUACAUUCUCAAGGGCUGCUGCAUGCUUUCUUUCAGCCUUUACUAAUGCCACGAGGACACGAACAGCUGACGACUCCACCUGGCUUGUGUGUAAUCCAGCAUCAUCUGGGAAUUUGCACCUUGUGUCUAAUCCAACAUCAUUAGGGAACUGGAGCCUUGUGUGUAAUCCAGCCUCAUUUUGGAAACAUGAUCUCGAGGUUGACCAUACUUCCCUCGUCGCAGGAACUGCAUCCUGACAUGAAGUUACUUCUUUUUUAGAUCAAUACUCAGAGCAACCUAGAUCCAUUUAGUAGAAGCCAGACAAAUAGAACUCGGAGAAGUGAAUUCAAAAGGAAAAAUAAAUAAAAACAGACUACAAGGUGAGAACACCCACUUCCUACAUCAAGCUAAAAACAAAAGCAUUAGGACGAUUAAGACUCUUCUUAUUACACAUCGAAGAACACCACGCUUAAGAGAAACAGAAACUACAACAUAUACACAUCGAAGAACACGAGGCUACACGAAAGUAAUUGAAAGGGUGUUACUUACCAAAGCUCGUUUUACAGGUUCGGUGCAGCUCCUCUUUAACUUGCCACGCUCCUUGAAGAUGUCCCGAAUAUCCCGUGUUUGGUCUUCAUUGCUCCUCUGCGUGUUCGCACUCGUGGUUUUAAAAUCUCAACAUGGCAAGAAAAAUAUACUACUAGUAAUACUCGCGCAUCUUGUGGGCAACAUUAAAGCACUCGUCUGCCAUGUUAGAGCAUCUCCAACAGAAUCGCAACCCGCGGCGCUUCAAAAAAGCGUUUACAGUGCUGAGAUCGAGAAGUAGAUAGAGUAGAGGAUAGUUCUCAGCAUAGAUAGAUAAAAAAAGAUAACUCAACUACUCCUCGUCGUCCGACUCCUCCUCGGUGAUGUCCUCCUCCGACGUCUGACUGUAGGCGUGAAGAUACCGAUUGUCAUCGGAUUCCCAGGGCGACGCUGCUCCUAGCCUCAUGUUGAAUUGAGCAUCCGCUUUUCGCCUACGCUUGUCCUCGCGAUAGGCGGCUCGCUCCGCCCUCCUCUUAUCCCUCUCCGCCCUCCUUUGCGCGUAGAACUCGCGCUCGUUGAUGAUAUCCUGCGGGAAGUGUUGGCGCCACAGCACCAUGGCUUCCUCGUCCAUCUCGGUGAUGCCGAGACGGUUCUCCCGCCUCCGGUUGUCGCGACGAUCUUCGUCGGUGCUAAGCCGCGGCAGAGGCGCGAGCUCUUGCGCCUGCUCCCACAUCGGCAUGUUGGGGAAGUUCAAUGUUCUAUGAGGCCACCGGAGUCGCCACGCCGCCGCGUCGUAUGCGCGGGCGGCCUCAUUGGCGGUGUCGAAAUUGCCGAGGCCGAGGCGCAUCCCGCGGAACCAGAUCUCGGCGGAGAAGCCGCCGGAGGGGCGCGCGCGGACGCCACGUUAUCCCCAAGUUUCCCGGCGACGCGGCGGCAUGGUGGCGCAGCGGCGGCGAGGCGAAAAUGAGCGGGGAGAGAGCGGUGGCAAGGCACAGAGCGGUGGGAGGGCGUUGGAUUUUAUAAAGCGCGCCGGACGCCGCGCGCCAAAACUAGCGCACGCCCGGUCGUUUUUUCCCGCGCGCGCGAUCCUUUCCCGACAUCUCUGCUAUCUCUACUCUCUUCUCUACUGUUAUAUUUAUUUUAUAUUUAAUAUUUAAUAUUUAUCUCUACUUCCUUUACUGUCUACUUUUUUUUCUUGCAAUAUAGGCCGUCCGAUUUAUAUCUGACAGAUAGGAAGGAAACAAAUGGGAAUUUUGCAACAAGAUACCCAUACCCCUCUCCAGAUUUGCAAAUAAGGCCUUCCCUCGUUCAUCCUUUUCUCCCACAAGAUAAACUACUCAUACAAAUGCAUCUUGAUGCGUGCAACGCAUGGGCAUCUUGCUAGUUCUAAAAACCUUUCCAUCAUUUGCCACACUACUGGUUGCAGAUGAAAAACCUACCCAAGCACAGCGCGAUAUAGGAGCGACGCACAAUUACAAGCUGAUAUUCUGUAUGACAAUGGAGGCUAUAACCAAUUACUUUUACGGGAAAAAUAGCACCUAGGAAAUUUGAAGGGUAGAUAUGAACAAAAUUGGAACUGCACAUGUACUGCUAAGUGAUUCAAUACACACAUUACCAAUCGAGGAGGAGAACGAUGGUCGCGGCGGCCUCUGUGAGUCAUGGUCGGCAACGGGAGUCAGUUCAUUGUCCAUGACCGUGGUACUUCUGCGCUUGGCGUCGGCUUCCGGGAAGCAGAUCCGAGACCGUGGAAGACGAUGCUGGGGAAGAGGCUCCUUGUACGACAACGACGGUGGACCGGCUCCAGUGCGGCAUACGAGGUUGUCGAUGAGGCAGAUGCGCUGCGGUGGAUGAGUGCGCCGAUGUAAAGGGGAGGAGCACGAAGGCUGCGGUGCCGUGGAGAAGUCUAUUUUGCGGUGGGGAUAGAAAAUGGGGAGUAUUCAGGUGUACUACUCUGGGUGCCGGGGUGGGGUUGGCUGGGUAGGGUGAACCUGAAGUUACGAAAAUAGCCCCCUACCAAGCAUCAUCCAUAGGUCUGUUCCGAAGGCUAUGAUGGUAACUUCCCACUGCUCGAAUCAGGGUCGCGGGAGAUUUUCCCGCCGACCUCAAAAUUUUGUGACACUGGACUCCCCGUGUGGCGUGUUGAGUGAUUCGGCUAAGCAACUAGCGAGUAGUAGUAGUAAACUCUGCAUAUUAGGUUUGACCGAAGUCAAACUUCCUAAAGUUUGACCAAGUUUAUAGAAAAUAUAAACAUUUACCAUAACAAAUAUGUAUGAUGUGAAAGUACAUUCAAUAAUGAAUCUAAUGAUAUUUAUUUGUUAUUGUAUAUGUUAAUAUUUUUUGUUAUAAGCUUUCUGAGAGUUUACAAAACUUGACUUUGACCAAUGCUAAUACGGGGACUUAAAUAAAAAUGGAGGGAGUACACAUUUGUUUUCUUAGUUUGUAGUGAACUAAUCAUUUGUUGAAAUUGUGAAAUAAAUAUAUUAGGCUAUGGACUUCGAAUGUAAUGGUCUAUACAAUUCAAUAGUUACAAUCAUUGUCGAAUCCCAAGAUGUAUAUAUAGAAGGUCUAUAGUACUUCACAACAUGCUCAAACUCACAUAUCCCAGUCAAAUUAGAAUCUAAAUGCAUUUCAUAGUUAUUACUUUGUAGGAUGCAACAAAAACAACCAUAACUCUACAUCAGCCAUUGGCCUUGUUUGGAUACUCUAACACAGUUAGAGUUAGAGUUAUUUUCUAACCCACUCUAACCCAAAUAAGCACCUCUCCACCGUGAUAGUUGGGUUAGAUGGAACUAACCCACUCUAACCCUCCCUGUAUGGAUACUUUUGGGUUAUUUGAGCCCCCAACUAACCCAAACUAGCUCUAACCCCAUGAUCCAAACAGGGCCAUUAUAGAAGCAACAUUUUGACAUAUCCCAAUGUGUGAAUGAAACGUGCAGAGAGAGCUUUUGAAGAUGGAGUAGAUAGGGCGGGAAAGAUUGUAUGUAUGUGGACGAGAGAGUAGGAGACAAACCUAAUGAGACAGAGGGAGAGAGAUAGAGAGAGAAAGAGAGAGGAAGAAGUUAGGUCUGUGAGAAAGAUGGAGACAUGUAAUAUACGUGAGAUGCGUGUGCAUCCAGAUUCUGUAUACGUGGAAGGAGAAGAGACAACAUGUUUGAUGAGAGAGCUGGAAAAACAUGGACGAGAGGGGAAGGAUCUCGUGGGUUGAGGGAUUGACAAUUUUGUGCGGGGGAGAGAGGGAUUGGUAAUUUUGUGCAAGCGAGAGAGAGAGGGUGGGGGAGGAGUCAGUCAGCCGUCGUCACAUCACCCUGCUUCAAAAUGACCCCGCAUUCUCUAGCGCGGUGUGGUCGCCGUCUUCGAUCUGCUCGAUGCCCUCUUUGAAGAUUCAGGUGUUGUGCAUGUUGGGGUGCAAAGAAGCACAAGCGAGAAUGGUCGCCGUAUAACCUUGGAUGGGGAUGAAUUGUGUGCUCGGGGGAGUGUGUGUGUGUGUGUUGUGCUGCGUGUGUGUGUGUGUGUGUGUGAGAGAGAGAGAGAGAGAUAUUGAGAGAAAACAAACCUAAGGAGAGAAAUGGGUAUUCACAAAGAGAUUGUGCGGGCCUUGAGGUGGGCAGGGGCCGGGUGAGGGUGUCAAAAUGUGCGCGUUGAUGCAUGUGUUGCAUGCGACCGUGUGAGGGACGGACGAAUCGAGAGAGAUGGUUGUUGUGUUACGGAUGCUCCUCUCUCUCUCUCUCCCUCUCUCUCAGACACACACACAAGUAAACUAGAAGACCGUUCUCUCAUGUAUACACAACGUAUCGGCAUAUCUGUCUAUGUCUCACUCAUGCAUGAUCAUUUGCACAUUCACACCUCUCUAUGUCUGUAUCACACGCACACCGUCUCCACAUUGCCCUUCCGCCACAACACACAUAUGGACACAUACACACGUUCUCUCUCAGUCACACACACAAAAUCAGUAUUAAAAAAAACUAGGGCGCACCUAAAAUGUCCAAAUCCAAAUAAACACAAACUGGAGCUAAAUUCAAAUAUAUGGAAAUAUUGCAGCGUCAAGAACUUUCCCAGGAAAAAAAGUUGAGUAAUAUUCGAGGAUUGUUUUCACACACACAAGAAGGUUCGGUGGAUGUCCUUCAAGCGCGACACGGUGACGCACCGUUCGAUCGACCGCGCGGCCGCGGUUCACGCGCUUGCACAGGAUUCCGUAUCGUGGCUGUGGUACUAACUAAUAAAAGCGCUGCCUAAGUCUAAUGUUUACGUGUACUAGUACGGUUUUCUUUUAAGUUUGACCAACCUUAUAUAAAACUAAAGUAAGCUCCGACACGCGCACUCAUCAAUAUGCCGCCGCCGUUGCGCAUGCGGGUGCCCGCCUGCUCCGGCCAACAAUUUCUCGCCCAUCACCGCCGUGUCGCCGCCAUCCCUGUGCCAUGAAGCCGAAGGCUCGCCCGCUCACGUCGUCUGCAGUCCCUCCUCGCGAUGCCACCACACUGCCAAGCACGCGAGCAGCUGGUGGAGCCGCGUCUAUGCACGCAGCGUACAAAGAGGAGGACGAGCGCGUGCUCCAGCACGCCGGCGAGGAGGAACUAGCGUGUCAUUGUCGUCUCCGCCCACGCGGAGGAGGCGCGCAUGGUGGCUGUCGCGGCGGAAGCCGGUCGCGCGCGCGUCGAGCCCGCAAACCGGGUGCGGACGCGGAAUCUACCUUCGAGACCUUGAAUGCCACGUGGAUCCUGCAAUCUGAUGGAGCAAUUUGGGUCAGUCAACUCAUGUGAGCCGUUUGAUGCAACAUGGAUGGCUAGAAGGGCUUCUUCCACCUCUUCUGUCGUCUUCUUUCUUCGCUCCGUUGAACUUCUUUCACAAAUCGACUGACCCAAAUUAUACUACUAGUACGAACGUAUUAAGUACAGUAGGAACAUGAAGAUACGAGCAGUGGUACCAACUGCAAGAAGAACAGUAGUAAGACAUAGUACUAGUACUACUGUACGUACUAAAGAGUUCAAAUAACGAGAAAGAACAUACUAAACAUAGUUCUGCUGGGGCCUCAGCACAACACACCCUUGAAAAUAAACUAAGCAACUAGUCCGCUUGACACUGCAGUAGAACCAGCAUGAGCGACGACACUGCCACCUACUCGGAGUCCGAGUCCACGUCCUCGACUUCGUCCUCGUCCCUCUUCCUCUUCCUCGUCGCCGACGCUUCUUUGCUUGAACCGGACACUGGGCUCUGCUUCUUCAUCCAACCCUUGUAGAUAUUUAAACAAAGGUAGGCAUCCAUUGCUGCGUAUAGGAUGUGAUCUUCAUCUAAUGUCUUCGACUCCCAUGCAUGAUGAAACCCGUGAUGAGGUUUCUUCAGUUUAGCGUACGAAGGAUCAAUCAUGGCUGCUGCCAGGGUCAGCAUUGAAGGUUGAGAGGAGGACACUAGGCUUGCCUUCUGGAGAUCGAAGGGCUGGCCUACAACGAGACCUAUCCGACGCAGGACAUCCCUAUCGUUCUUAAAGCCUACUGAUACGUCUCCAACGUAUCUAUAAUUUUUGAUUGCUCCAUGCUACUUUAUCUAUUGUUUUGGACUAUAAUGGGCUUUAUUUUCCACUUUUAUAUUAUUUUUGGGACUAACCUAUUAACAGGAGGCCCAGCCCAGAAUUGCUGUUUUUUGCCUUUUUCAGUAUUUCGAAGAAACAGAAUAUCAAACGGAGUCCAAACGGAAUGAAAUCUUCGGAAACAUGAUUUUCUCAUCAGAUAAGACCCAGGAGACUUGGACCCUCCGUCAAGAAAGCCACGAGGCGGUCACGAGGGUGGAGGGCGCGCCCCCCCUAGCGCGCGCCCCCUGCCUCGUGGGCCCCUCGAAGCUCCACCGACGUACUCCUUCCUCCUAUAUACCUACGUACCCCCAAACGAUCAGAACAGGAGCCAAAAACCUAAUUCCACCACCGCAACUUCCUGUAUCCACGAGAUCCCAUCUUGGGGCUUGUUCCGGAGCUCCGCCGGAGGGGGCAUCCACCAUGGAGGGCUUCUACAUCAUCAUCAAAGCCUCUCCGAUGAAGUGUGAGUAGUUUACUUCAGACCUUCGGGUCCAUAGUUAGUAGCUAGAUGGCUUCUUCUCUCUUUUUGGAUCUCAAUACAAUGUUCUCCCCCUCUCUCGUGGAGAUCUAUUCGAUGUAAUCUUCUUUUUGCGGUGUGUUUGCUGAGACCGAUGAAUUGUGGGUUUAUGAUCCAGCUUAUCUAUGAAUAAUAUUUGAAUCUUCUCUGAAUUCUUUUAUUUAUGAUUGAGUUAUCUUUGCAAGUCUCUUCGAAUUAUCCGUUUGGUUUGGCCAACUAGAUUGGUAGUUCUUGCAAUGGGAGAAGUGCUUGGCUUUGGGUUCAAUCUUGCGGUGUCCUUACCCAGUGACAGAAAGGGUUGCAAGGCACAUAUUGUAUUGUUGCCAUCGAGGAUAACAAGAUGGGGUAUUUAUCAUAUUGCAUGAAUUUAUUCCUCUACAUCAUGUCAUCUUGCUUAAGGCGUUACUCUAUUUUUAACUUAAUACUCUAGAUGCAUGCUGGAUAGCGGUCGAUGAGUGGAGUAAUAGUAGUAGAUGCAGAAUCGUUUCGAUCUACUUGUCACGGACGUGAUGCCUAUAUACAUGAUCAUACCUAGAUAACCUCAGAACUAUGCUCAAUUCUGUCAAUUGCUCAACAGUAAUUUGUUCACCCACCGUAGAAUACUUAUGCUCCUGAGACAAGCCACUAGUGAAACCUAUGGCCCCCGGAUCUAUUCUCAUCAUAUCAAUCUCCAUACUUGCUUUGUUUUACUUUGCCUUUUACUUUUCACUUUGCAUCUUUAUACCAAAAAUACCAAAAAUAUUAUCUCUAUCAGAUCUCACUCUCGUAAGUGACCGUGAAGGGAUUGACAACCCUAAUCGCGUUGGUUGGGAGUAGCUAUCAUUUUGUGCAGGUACGAGGGACUUGCGCGUGGCCUCCUACUGGAUUGAUACCUUGGUUCUCAAAAACUGAGGGAAAUACUUACGCUACUGUGCUGCAUCAUCCUCUCCUCUUUGGGCAAAACCAACGCAAGCUCAAGACGUAGCACCUACAGUAACGAAUUUCACUCUUUUGUCCUUGAGGAAGUUCUUAAAAUCCUGGCACUCAACGUCGGCAUGGCAUAUGUGGUAGACCAAGCAAACGUUAUGUACGCAAACCUGGAUCAUGGCGGGCUUCUUCCUCUCUUCGUCCUUUAGAUCCUUCUCUCGUCCCAGGACUGUGGUGUACUCAACAUCUAGCCCAGCGACCCACUCAUCCGUUGAACUGUUGAACAUGCGUAGGAAGCGAGCAAGCCAUGCUUUCACCGUCGCGGAUCCACGUGUGUAGAUGACGAUGAGCUGAUCGCCGGUGAUGGCUCUAACCUGGUACUCAGCGGCGACCAUGGAGAUUUGGGAGGCCAUGGAUUUUGGAGGAGGGUUAGGAGAAGUUGAACUGUUGUACCCCGCAAAAACUGGGAGCGAACUAAUGUGAAAGGACGGGACAACUGGGAGCGAACUGUUGUAAGGUAGUAGAAGACGGGGACGAGUAGGGUGCGCGAACGGCGUGGGGUUGCUGGCUUGCCCGGUGGAUAAACGGCUGCAAGCCCCCAAAGCGUUCUCGAGAACUAUGCGGGACCCACUAGAUGUCAUGUCUACUAGACCCAUAUCGUAGGCCUGACGGUAUAGCUUCUGCAUGUUCGCACGCCAUGCCGGUGCAUGGAUGUAACUUCACUUAAUUCCGUCAACCGUGCGCCUCCCACGACCUUCGCCUCCCUCGUGCGGUCGGGCCCUUUGAGACUUCGACCGGCUAUAAAUGAGCAAUUUUUUUUGCCUACUCCGCAUGCAUGAUACUCCCUCUGGUCCAUUUUACUCCCGUCAACCGUUUGCAAAGUGUUUGACAAAAUUUAUAAUUUUUUUGAACACCACCUUAUAUUAAUAAACCAGCCACACCAGUACACUCAUUCGAUACAAUAUUCACCACACAGGGCGGUACGUUAUUUACAAGAAUACCAUCUAAUCUAUUGUCAAAGCUAUACUUAGCGAUUCAGUGUGCCACCUUAUUGGCCGAACGGCUAAUCUUUGACAAUCUAAGAUUGUUGAUCAACUUUGAGAUGCUCAAAACUUUCAUCUUCAGGUCACGCAUAGCAGACCUGUCAUAGUCCCCCGAUGCAAGAGACGCUACCACAAAAGCGCAACCAGUCUCUAAAAUUACAGGAUUAUGAAGAGAAAUACCUAUGUAGAGACCAGCAAUGCAAGCCCUAAGCUCCGCUUCCUCCACGCUUUGACAGGCAUCAAUGAAAUCCCACGACCAAAUUUAUACAUUGAAAAUAUCAAUAUCUACAAUACUGAUUAUAAUGAGUAUAAGAACUACGUUUUAUAAUGAGUGUAAAAAUAUUGAUUUGACAUUGUGAAUGUUGAUACAUUUUUCUAUAAGUCUCGUGAAAGUAGAGGUACAUUGACUUUAGACAAAACUUAAAUGCACAAUGCAGACUAGUUCCUCCGUCCAGGUGUGUGCCAUGUCCUAUCUUGUCAUCACAACAAGGUUAGCUAUUAGAGUAACACUACCUCCCUUCUAGUUUAAAGGGCUCGAUUCAAAAAUUUCACCUACUCUUAGCAAGAUAGUAGAGGCGGUGGAAUAGUUUUUGAAGUCUGCAAAAGUACUCAACUAGUGCUGUCGUUCUUCACACAAAAAUGUGUUUACCAAUGCAUGCAUGAACACUAGUUACUCUAAGCCCCCUCUCUUCUUUAAUUCUUUGCCACAUCAGCAUGUUUGCUACUAUUCCCGUGUGCAUGAUACCAGCUAAGAUACCACCAUUAUGGCCAACCUUAAUCAUCGCAUGCAAUAAUUUAGUGCACCUUGAAAUAUGAACAUGUGUGGGGCGUCUAUGUUUUUAAUGACUUGAGACUAUACCUAGCCCGGCAUGCAAGAUGACUUAUUAUGCACCGUUCUCCAUACCUGCAGGAAGCCCGUUCGUCUCCAAAUCUUUUCCUCUCCAUGUGUGGAAACAAUAUGCCUGCCAAACUCUCCUUCUCCCUCCGGCGGUCCCACCACUCCACCCUGUGUGAAAUAAAUCUGCAUGCAUGACUCUCCUCCCCCCACGCUCGUCCAAUCCGUUGUGACCAGCAAUAUUUCCACCCCUUCACUCCCCCAUAAUUUACUCCAACAAAUAUGCCCACGUAGCUGUUACUUAACUGCAGGUGCAUUGGGUCACUGACAUAUGGGCCCAACAGGUGUUCGGCCCACCUGUCAGUCACGCAACUGGACCUGCAGUUAAGUCAGUGCAGCUCAGUCCAUAUCUUACAUAGGUGUGCCAUUGCUCGCUAUAAAUACUGCGCCUCCGACGACAUCGCUAUCUCCUCCCCCUCACGUUCACGUUCAUCGCUAUCUCCUCCCCCUCCCUCUCACGUCGACCACCAUGGCAUCGCCCCUCCCAAGCCCUAGGAGCCCCUCGCUGCACCGCGCGGACGGUCACGCGUCGCCGUUCCGUUCCUCGGCGCCACUAGUCGAGGAGGACGCGUCGGUGUUCCGCUCCUCGCCGUGACGCGAUGCGUCGCCGUUCCGUUCCUCGCCGCCACUAGUCGAGGAGGACGCGUCGGCGUUCCGCUCCUCGCCACGACGCGUCGAGGUGGACGCGUCGGCGUUCCCAAUCUCGCCAGCACGCGCGUCGGAGGACGCGUCGGCUCCCCGCUACGAGGAGAAUGCCGCGCCGCCCGCCAAGCCCCCCAGCCUUGAGGAGCUUUGGAAAGAAAUGGAUGUCGCCUUGUGGGAGGCUUUGCCUCUAGCAGAGCGCGCCAAAAUAGAGGUGGAGAAGAAGGCCGAGGAAGAGAAGCGCACCACGGAACAAGCUGCCUGGGAGGCCUAUGUCGCGUCCGAGAGAGUCUGGCAAUUGGCUCUUUGGCAGAAGGCUCGUGCGAAGGCCGUGAGGGUGGCGGAGGACGCCCGUGCCGACGCCCUGCGUGCAGUCGGGCCCAAGAGCCUCAUCUAUGCUUGGCGGUACGUGGACCGGGUGCACGCUUCCAGCGAGGCGAAGUACCUGUUGCCGCCGGAUCACCACACCGGUGAGAUCGCGCUCGCCCGCCGGCAAGCCGCCAAUCAGCACCUCGCGAGUUGCGAGGCUGAGGAAGAGGCGUUGUGUCGGUGCGCUGGGAAACGGCCGCGCACUAGGGCACUCGUGGCAAGCGCUCCUGCGAGCGCCGUGGCUUUUAGGAGGAGUAUAAUUUUUGUUUCGUAAGGCGAUCUCAUUAGUUUUGGGACGCAAAUGAUAAAUCCCGAACGUUCAGGAAUUUUUAGCAUCCUUAAUUAAGUAUGUAAAAGGGAAAGUUUGGAAACCUUGUGUAUUCGUACGCAUUUUGCAAGUACGUGCAUAUAGCACAAACUUUACUAUAUACUCCCUCCGGUCCUUUUUACUCUGCAUAUUAGGUUUGUCUGAACUCAAUCUCAUCCAACUUUGACCAAGUUUAUAUAAAAAAUUAUUAACAUUCACAUAACAACACCAAUAUCAUUAGAUCCAUCUUGGAAUAUAUUUUCAUAUUAUAUUUAUUAGAUAUUAUAGAUGCUAAUAAUUUCCAAUAUAAAUUUGGUCAAACUUAGCAAAGUUUGACUUUCGACAAAUCCAAUGUGCAGAGUAAAAAGGACCGGAGGGAGUACUAUCGCACUACACGUCUCUCUCGAUAUAUGCUUGCAGACUGUGCUACUCCCUCCGUCCAGGUCAAUAAGUCAUCUUUGGUUGUGCACCGUGACCAAGGAGGGAAGACUUGUACACCUAGACGGAGGGAGUACUACUAUUACUUAUGUACGUGCAAAUGCACGUUUUAACAUUACGAUGCGGUUUUUGUAAAAGUAGAAAAACAACACUAGUCAAGCUUGUGAAACAAUUCAAUGCAAAACAAAUGCAAAAAUGCUCGUUUGAUUGUUUACUUUUAGCUUCCUUCUCUGUCGUUAUUUCUCUGUCGUACUUUGUACGGAGUAUCUCACUGGUUGGAAAGGCAUGCAAAUUCCCAAACCGCUUCCUACACCCUGUAUCGAAUUUUUUUGCCUAACAAGUUGUGCCGUGCAAUUGGAAUUCCAACUUGAGUACUACUACUAGUAGGACUACCAGGGGCCAGUUCUUUUAGGCUUCUAGAUUAGUAAUCCCAUAACUACUACUCCCUCCGUUCUAAAUUACUUGUCUUGGAUUUGUCUAGAUACAGAUGUAUCUAGACUCAUUUUAGUGCUAGAUACAUCCGUAUCUAGACAAAUCUAAGACAAGUAAUUCGGAAUGGAGGGAGUACCUCCGUCCUGGUUUAUUGGUCCCCAUUGUAAUCUGUGUCAAAUUUUGAUCAUAAAUUUAACUAAUGAAAUGUUAGUGCAUGUCACAUGCACUACUCCAUCCGUCUAGGUGAGUAAGUCAUCUUAGGUUGUGCACCGUGACCAAGGAGGAGGAGAAAACGAGAAACGUUAAUGUUUAUUUGCUAAAUCUUUGGUCAAAAUUUAGCACAAAUUACAACGGUGAGGAAUAAACCAGGACGGAGUAGUAGUUUAGAAGCCCAAAUAAAUGAGUGAGGCGCCUUAUUGUUACUCUCCACUGUGACUAGUCUUGUGGGAAAAGCUGGGGAAGCCGCCAAAAGAACUGGCCCUAGGAGUAGUAGCUAGGGAUCGAGUGUGCGAGAUGAACCGGAGAAAGUAAAUGCAGAGAGAUGAAAUGCAAAAAAGACGGAGGGAUGUGAUGGUUGCUUGUCCGUUUAUUUUACCAGGCCACUUAUUACUGGGAGUGGUUGGGUUUUGUGAUAUGACGACUUUACAGCCGCGCCACGAGCGGGGUGAGAGGUGAGACUCCUGUGCAGCGCCGCCCUCUACACUUGUACUACAUCGGUCGUGGUUUAUUAGUCCCCCAUUGAAUUUGACUAAAGAUUUAACUGACAAAAUGUUAGUGCAUGUCAACAAAAACUAUAUCGUUGGAUUCGUAUUUGAACAUAGUUUUGAAUGAUAUAAUUUUAGGUGACAUGCAUCAGUAUUUAUCAUACUAUAUAUAAUGUUAGUUCAAUUUUUGGUCAUACUAAUCUAUAGUAGUAAGGUGCCCGUGCGUUGCACCGAAGAGUGAAAUGCAUUGAUCGGGGAGUUGUUUAUUUUGACAAAGGAUGUGGGGGUCAUCUCAUGUGUAACGGGUAUCGAUAGGUUUCUUCGGAUAUUAUCUCAUCUCUAGAGCUCACAAACAUCCGGGUGAAAUAGAUAAAAAGGUAUCUUUUGCAAACAAAAGCGUUCAACUGUUCAACCUGCAUCCAAAACUUGUGAAGAAAUAACACUUAUUGUGCUUUGCAAGAAAUGAUCUUUAAGAAUUAGUUUUUGAGUAUCGAUUGUUAUACAUGUUGGCUACAGAUGACAUGGCACUUUCUUAUAGUCAACAGUUGGCUAUACUAUUAAGUAAUAUUAACUAUGCCCUUAUACACCUAGACGGAGGGAUUAAAUCAGGAUGACUUGCAAGGGGGCAGAGGAGAUGUAAGAAAUGGUUCAUCGUAAGUCUUUCACCAGUACUGUAGUAAAAAUUCAUAGAUGGAAGAUUCUAGACUAAACCAUAAACGGAUACACUUUUAUUCAUGCACGAUACUCCAAUAGACCAAGAUCCUGCAUGGAAGUAUCCACAUGCUUAGACAACGGAUUACAUUGAGCGAAGACUAAUGAUCAACAUUUAACUUGAUAAUGCGUAAUUUUUUUAGAAGAACAGGGAGGCUCCUCCCCGGCUCCAUUAUCAAAUGAAACCCAAAGUGUCUUACAUCAGCUCACUGAGAGGAGCAGUUCAAAGGAAGGACUGCGGCGAAAGCCACUCAAGUUUAGCGACAAGCUUACAGAAUCAAAAGCGGCAAAGACACGAGCCAUAAGCGCCCACACACACACUACAUGUUUUCUAAGUGCACUUGAUAAUGCAUAUGUCCAGGUGAACCUCCUUGGAGUCCCCGUGCACCGCGUCGGCGGGUAAAGGAUGCCAUGGGUUUUCCAAGUCCACAUUGGCGGGAUAGUCCCAGCUCCCCAGAGUCCAAGUCCGUCCGAUGAGGCCGGUGUCGCCGCCCACGCAAUCCGGAGGGGUAGUAACAGUGACCACGCACCCGUACAUCUGCCUCGUGUCAGUGUCAGCGUCAGCGGCGACGCCCCUGACGCACGUUACAGAGAUGGGGCGGCGGCCUACGCGGGCCUCGCCGGUGCCCACGAUCAAGAGGAAGACGCUGUCGUCCUCCUCCGAGACUAGCAGGCGGCGGUGAUCCUCCAGCGACUCCGGCAUGGUGAACCGGUAGCACGUGUCAUACUUGAUGUUCUCCGCCAAGGGCCAGCAGUGACCGCUGCACGCAUCCGUGAGGUGAUGCACCAUGUCCGCCGGCGAGCCACAAAACGGCAUCGGGCACUCAUAGUAGUGGACGAAGGGCUCCUUGGAGGCAUCGACCAGGCCGUCCAUGAAACGGGAGUGGCUGUAGGGGACGUUGCGCCAGUUGAAUAUAUGAGCAAGUUACUACGAGAUUUAAUCCGAAUAAGCACAAAAUAAAUCAUGACGGCUAUAACAGAGAUGAAACUAAUCAUGUGGACUAGCAUAGUAGUAGGAUACAGAGUAGAAACAUGAAUUCUACCACGAUUUCGAACAGGAAGGACAGAAACACAUACGGUGCAACGGGAGCAGCACCGUUGGCGUUGAGGUUGUCGCCCAUGUCAUUGAGGAAGAGGUUGCCGAGGUCGGGGAAGAAGUCGUCGUCGGUGAAGUCGUGGCUGCCAGCAGUCGCGAGAGUGCGCUCCCCAGAUUUCAACAGCGCCCGCCGAAUGGAGCGCAGGAGGGGUGGCUGUAGGGGACGUUGCGGCCGCCGAAUGGAGCGCAGGAGUAGCACAUGAAGCAGUAGAUGGUGUCCUUACUAGUACUCCCUAGUCUCUAUCUAUCUAUAUCUAUAUAUAUCUACUCUUAUAGAAAACCGAGUUGGUGAUGAUGGUAUGCCUGCCAUCUUGUAAUAUAGACGUCCGAUCUAUAUCUGACGGAUAGAAAGCCAACUAUGACAAUUUUACAAAAGAUACCCGCACCUCUCUCCACAUUUACAGAUAAGGCCUUGCCUCGUUCCUCCUUAUCUCCCACGACCUCGUGCUCCUCCCUAUGUCUCUAUCUCUACUACUUUUCUUUGUUUUUUAUAACAAAUCGAAUAGUGCUGCGUCGUCUACUGCACGCCCGGCUGAACACGCCUCGUCGCCUCCAUCAUCACCAACCGAGUCUUUUAUAGGAGUAGGAGUAGGAGUAGAGAAAAAACCGAGUUGGUGAUGAUGGUGUGCCGUGCAAUGCACGUGCAUCUUGCUAUUUUUUUGCAUAUAAGUCCAAACACCACGUAGACACGGUCUUUGAGCACGGUUCGUAGUCGUUCCACGCUCGGGCAUUGAAGUUUGUAACUAUUUUAGAUUAGAAUAUACUACUACAGCUCCGGUGCUAGUAGUAGAGCAGAGUCCUACUCUACUACUCUACUCUAGCAAGCUAGGGCAUAGUACUGUAGUAGGUACUAUAGGGAGUACCAGUACUGUGAUCACUCAAGCAAGUUGUCUGGCAUCGAUAUGACCCUACGCUGCUGGUAUGUGUCUCGUAAGUCAAGCGGCGUGCUGUAGUCAUCAUCACCUGUCCACUUCCCGCAGCGCAUAUUCGCUUCUCCAUCUUUGUCCGCACAUAAUCUCGUCCAAGCUUCCAUCCCCGCUGGAAGCUAAGGCGNNNNNNNNNNNNNNNNNNNNNNNNNNNNNNNNNNNNNNNNNNNNNNNNNNNNNNNNNNNNNNNNNNNNNNNNNNNNNNNNNNNNNNNNNNNNNNNNNNNNNNNNNNNNNNNNNNNNNNNNNNNNNNNNNNNNNNNNNNNNNNNNNNNNNNNNNNNNNNNNNNNNNNNNNNNNNNNNNNNNNNNNNNNNNNNNNNNNNNNNNNNNNNNNNNNNNNNNNNNNNNNNNNNNNNNNNNNNNNGCAGAACCGAGCACCGUCCGCCGAAAGAGUGGCUGGAAUUCGCUCCCACAGAGGUAAUCAAGCUCAUUGUUUCGCGUGUGGACAAUCUCAGUACCAUGCCACUCGUCGCGUGCUCGUCGGGGCUGUACCGUUUACUCAAAGCCCUCAGGCCGGAGCUUUUUAAGCCAGCUCCUUGCUUGCUGAUGCCGCCUGAUCUUCAAAAACGGCGUGUCACGCAGCAUAACGAUCAUAGGGUGGCGAGCAACAACCCCCUUCACUGCGAUCCGAUCCCCGUCAGCCUCAGCUACAUUAACGGUAUGUACUGGGUCGGCAUGAACACGUCUUGGAUGGUGCUCGUCGACGGUCGCGGCAGCUGGAUGCUCGUGGAGGUCUACACCCGGCGAUUGAUCCCCCUUCCUUCGAUUAACACUGCACUGCUUUGGCACCGCGACCCAGAAUACUCGGAAUCUUACAGUAGCCAACAUGAUACCAAGUUUGAUUUGCUCAAGGUUGUAAUCUGCCAAGUGCCCACAAGAUCUGCGAAUUAUAAAGACUUCAGGCUAAUUGCGUUCUUCAACCGUGGUCUCGCCUAUCUGUCAGGUCACUGCAGUAAGUGGAUAAAUCUGCACGUCCAUCACAGGAUCAUACAUCCUCCAUGGUUCUCUGAUGCCAUUGAACACAAGGGCUUCAUUUACGCUGUCAACUCCUUCUAUGGCUGGAUGUAUUGCUGGCCUACUCCAGUCAUCGCUACAAACGGCUGUUACAGCAGUAUGCUACUUUCCUAUGAUAUCAUGAUGGCUUGCUUAUAUUACUGUCAACAUUUACUGAAAAAAUAUUCAUGCUCAUAACAUGCUGUUCUUAAGAUUGACUAAAUCAAGAGCCCUUUUUCAUUUGACUCCAACUUGAUAUGAUGUUGUAGGCCGCCUGGUGUCCCUACCCUUCCUAAUCCCAGAACCUUUCAAAGAAAAGCGGCAUGGCAGUUGCAGGUGGUUCCUGGCUCGAUCAGACGAUGGCGAAAGAUUGAUGAUCGUUCGCACAUACCGGACGUGUUGUUUCGCGGAGUACAAUCACAAUCACUGCAAGGUCUUUGAGGAGGAUCUCUGUCGGAGUAAUUGGACACGGGUAUCCCGAAGACGGCAAGACAAUAUUUCAAGACAUCGGGGCUAGCAAAGCCCCUCAGUCUGACUGCCCGGCCGCUCCUGCCGGCUCCCCGUCCGACUGCUCCACCUGGCCGGCUGCCAGCUGACCGACUGCGCCGACUAGCCGGCUGCCGACUGCAGUCCGACCCGGCAUCGACAAGACCCCGACGAGACGGCCAUACCACGGACAAGACAACCGUACCGCAACACCGUCAUGUAUAGUGUCACUUGUCCCCUGGCACUAUUCAUGAAGUGACCUAGGGGACAAGCAUGACAUGCACCAUGCCUUGCUCCCAUACCUCCACUUAGCUUAGAUACAAAGCUACCCUCUCCUAUAAAAGGAGACACACAUCCAUCCAUCCAUGCAUGGACUCACACGCACACAACAAGCAAGCUAGCUAGCAAGAGAGCUAGCUAGCCAUCCAUCCAUCCAUUCCCACGAGCAAGCAUGCCCAAGCACCACAUGCGGCCAUGCUCAUGGCCGACCACUAAAGCAUGCUUUGUGCAUGCAUAUAUGGAGCCAGAUGCCCAUGGCACUGCCCCCAGAUACAGCUCUAGGAGCACUUUGUACUGCCCGAUGUACACCCCAGAUAUAUAUACUCAGACAUGCAGGAGUAGGGGUAUUAUCUCUCCGGAGAGCCCCGAACCUGGGUAAACUAGCGCGUGCUACUCGCUUACUCGCUCCCGGUCCUAUCAGCAGCAGUCUUACCCUCACACAAAGCCCUUGUGGCAUCUGUCGCCUCACACCGCCCCCGUGAGAAUACCACGACAGUUGGCGCUCACCGUGGGGCGGUACUAUGCUACCGCGCUGCUGCUGGUUUCGCAGUCCGGGCGGGACCAUCUUCGCCAUCGCCACCGCGGCGUCGCGCCGUCCCUCUGAUAGCGGUCGAGGGCUCGAUAUCGACACGCCCUCGGAAUGGCCGCGAGGGGCGGCGCGUCCUCGCCGUCGGGACCAUCUUCGUCAUCAUCACCGUGGCGUCGCGCCGUCCUUCCGAUAACGGUCGAGGGCUCGAUAUUGACACGCCCUCGGAAUGGCCGCGAGGGGCGGCGCGUCCUCGCCGUCGGGACCAUCUUCGCCAUCACCGCCGCGGCGUCGCGCCGUCUCUCCGGUAUCGCUCGGGGGCUCGACUUCGACCCGCCCCUGGAGCGGCCGCGCGGGACGGCGCGUCUUCGCCGUCGGCCUCGCCUUCGCCAUCAUCGCCGCGGUGUCGCGCCGUCUCUCCGGUAGCGCUCGGGGGCUCGACUUCGACCCGCCCCCGGAGCGGCCGCGCGGGACGGCGCGUCCUCGCCGCCGGCUUCGCCGCCUUCAAGACAGAUAAUAGCCAGAUAUUGCCUAUACACUACCCAUACAAACACUGACCAUGCCCAGACAGUGGCGUUGGUUUGCUGCUGCUAUCUCCACGCUGCUCACUCUGCUCCGCGCGUUCCGCCUGAAACCACCGCGGCCGUGGCAAAAUCCAGUAGCGCCGGUGCCGCGUACCUAGCUCCUCCGCCUCCUUGCUCCUCCUGAGCAGCUGCUGCCCACGAGCUCCUCCCGCGCCUGGCCUUCCUCCGAGCGCGUGCGCCGCUCGGCCCCUGCUUGCGGCGUCCGGCUGCAGCCCCGCCUGCCGCUUGCUGCUGCGUCCCCAUGGCCGCGCAGCCUGCCGGCGCCGGGUCCGCUUGCCGCUUCUCGCCUGGGCCGGCUCCGCGCUUGGCCACGCGCCUCUUCGGCCGGGUUCGCUCGCCGCCCUUCGCCCAAGCCGGCCACCUGGGCAGUCCUGCGCCCGACUUCGCCCUCGCGCCGGCUGCCCAGUUCCCGGACGCAGGCGGCCCAUCGCCNNNNNNNNNNNNNNNNNNNNNNNNNNNNNNNNNNNNNNNNNNNNNNNNNNNNNNNNNNNNNNNNNNNNNNNNNNNNNNNNNNNNNNNNNNNNNNNNNNNNNNNNNNNNNNNNNNNNNNNNNNNNNNNNNNNNNNNNNNNNNNNNNNNNNNNNNNNNNNNNNNNNNNNNNNNNNNNNNNNNNNNNNNNNNNNNNNNNNNNNNNNNNNNNNNNNNNNNNNNNNNNNNNNNNNNNNNNNNNNNNNNNNNNNNNNNNNNNNNNNNNNNNNNNNNNNNNNNNNNNNNNNNNNNNNNNNNNNNNNNNNNNNNNNNNNNNNNNNNNNNNNNNNNNNNNNNNNNNNNNNNNNNNNNNNNNNNNNNNNNNNNNNNNNNNNNNNNNNNNNNNNNNNNNNNNNNNNNNNNNNNNNNNNNNNNNNNNNNNNNNNNNNNNNNNNNNNNNNNNNNNNNNNNNNNNNNNNNNNNNNNNNNNNNNNNNNNNNNNNNNNNNNNNNNNNNNNNNNNNNNNNNNNNNNNNNNNNNNNNNNNNNNNNNNNNNNNNNNNNNNNNNNNNNNNNNNNNNNNNNNNNNNNNNNNNNNNNNNNNNNNNNNNNNNNNNNNNNNNNNNNNNNNNNNNNNNNNNNNNNNNNNNNNNNNNNNNNNNNNNNNNNNNNNNNNNNNNNNNNNNNNNNNNNNNNNNNNNNNNNNNNNNNNNNNNNNNNNNNNNNNNNNNNNNNNNNNNNNNNNNNNNNNNNNNNNNNNNNNNNNNNNNNNNNNNNNNNNNNNNNNNNNNNNNNNNNNNNNNNNNNNNNNNNNNNNNNNNNNNNNNNNNNNNNNNNNNNNNNNNNNNNNNNNNNNNNNNNNNNNNNNNNNNNNNNNNNNNNNNNNNNNNNNNNNNNNNNNNNNNNNNNNNNNNNNNNNNNNNNNNNNNNNNNNNNNNNNNNNNNNNNNNNNNNNNNNNNNNNNNNNNNNNNNNNNNNNNNNNNNNNNNNNNNNNNNNNNNNNNNNNNNNNNNNNNNNNNNNNNNNNNNNNNNNNNNNNNNNNNNNNNNNNNNNNNNNNNNNNNNNNNNNNNNNNNNNNNNNNNNNNNNNNNNNNNNNNNNNNNNNNNNNNNNNNNNNNNNNNNNNNNNNNNNNNNNNNNNNNNNNNNNNNNNNNNNNNNNNNNNNNNNNNNNNNNNNNNNNNNNNNNNNNNNNNNNNNNNNNNNNNNNNNNNNNNNNNNNNNNNNNNNNNNNNNNNNNNNNNNNNNNNNNNNNNNNNNNNNNNNNNNNNNNNNNNNNNNNNNNNNNNNNNNNNNNNNNNNNNNNNNNNNNNNNNNNNNNNNNNNNNNNNNNNNNNNNGCCCGGCCGGCUCCGCUCCCUGUGGUACCCGCUCGCCGGCUCCGCUCCGACGAGCCGCCCCCGUCCGACCGGCUCCGGGUGGCCGCCCCGUGCCCGGCCGCGGCGCCUCCGCCUCCUGGUGGCCGCUGCUCCAGGCCGGCCCCUGCGCCCGCUCGUUCUGCUGCGUGCUGGAGACAGCCGCUAAAAGAAGAAAGGAGUAGAAGCCGGCUGGGAAGAAAAGUCAAGGGCCGACUGCCCAAAAAAAAAGAGAAAGAGGUCGGCUGGGACAAAGAGAAGAAAAGAAACACCCGUCCGGAUAAUUCGUCCGCCUGCUUCGCCACUCGGACGGUCACUCGUGAUCCGCGCUGUCGGCAGUGCCAAGCCGGCUGGUCUGCCUCCGGCUCCGACGGCACACCCAGCGGGUGCGCUGACGCGCCCCCGCGAGGAGAGAAGACAAAGCAGUUGCUGGAGAUCCGGCCCGACUGCUCAGCAGUCGGCCCGAAUCUCGGGGGCUACACCCAGCGGGUGCGCUGACGCGCCCCCGCGAGGAGAGAAUACCAAGCAGUUGCCGGAGAUCCGGCCCGACUGCUCAGCAGUCGGCCCGAAUCUCGGGGGCUACACCCAGCGGGUGCGCUGACGCGCCCCUGCGAGGAGAGAAGACAAAGCAGUUGCCGGAGAUCCGGCCCGACUGCUCAGCAGUCGGCCCGAAUCUCGGGGGCUACACCCAGCGGGUGCGCUGACGCGCCCCCGCGAGGAAGAAGGAAGACAAAGUCGCUGCCGGAAGAUCCGGCCCGACUGCUCAGCAGUCGGCCCGAAUCUCGGGGGCUACACCCAGUGGGUGCGCUUGCGCGCCCCCACGGAGACAAGAGAAGAGUUUCGUCCGGCCGCCAGCAGCCGGCAGAAGAAGAAAAAGGGCGCCGCAAGACACCUCGCCGCCUGGCCGGUCGAGCCUGACCGGCCGGGACCCUCCUUCGAGCGACCGGGGGCUCGAAGGCUACACCCAGCGGGUGCGCCGGCUCUCUUCGGCAAACUCCGCCUCGGCUACACGAAAACCAAUGUGAGCUCCUCACCCGCAGAUUUUUUCACCGCGAGAGCACGGAUAACCUCGAGCGAUGCUCGGGGGCUAUCUCCGCAUUUCAUUACAGUUGCAUCACUGUUCGCCCCGGCGCCAGCCAGAGUUGGCCCGGGGGCUGGCCGCUUGGCCUGAGACGUUAGUUCCCGCAGACGGCUUAGUAGCGUGCGCGGUAUGAAAAGCCCACUCUUAGUCACAGACCGCAGAGCGGCUGUCCGACUGGCAAGAGUGAACGCUGAAGGCCACCCACGCGAAAAACGUCCGGGAAGAAAAACGCUUCGGGCGACCCGACCGUUUUCUUUAUGAGUAUCUACUCGGUUAAAUUCGCUCCCAGAGUCUGAGUAUUGUACACUCCACUCCGCGGCCCACUCUCAGCCACAGACCGCAGAGCGGCUGUCCGGCAAGCGAGAGCACAAGCAAAAGAGCGGAGGGAACAUGAAAAAGAUUGAAGGGGGCUCGGACGAAACCGAGUCGGCACCCUCUGCAUAAAACUUGCAGUGCUAAAAAGCAAUCAUUUGAUAUAUCUGCAUUGACUAACUUUGUCUUUUGCAUGAUCAUUUCCAUGAACACUCGCGAAAAAACCUCCGCCCGACUUUGCCAAGUUGCCCGGAGGCUUGGGGGCUACUGUCGGAGUAAUUGGACACGGGUAUCCCGAAGACGGCAAGACAAUAUUUCAAGACAUCGGGGCUAGCAAAGCCCCUCAGUCCGACUGCCCGGCCGCUCCUGCCGGCUCCCCGUCCGACUGCUCCACCUGGCCGGCUGCCAGCUGACCGACUGCGCCGACUAGCCGGCUGCCGACUGCAGUCCGACCCGGCAUCGACAAGACCCCGACGAGACGGCCAUACCACGGACAAGACAACCGUACCGCAACACCGUCAUGUAUAGUGUCACUUGUCCCCUGGCACUAUUCAUGAAGUGACCUAGGGGACAAGCAUGACAUGCACCAUGCCUUGCUCCCAUACCUCCACUUAGCUUAGAUACAAAGCUACCCUCUCCUAUAAAAGGAGACACACAUCCAUCCAUCCAUGCAUGGACUCACACGCACACAACAAGCAAGCUAGCUAGCAAGAGAGCUAGCUAGCCAUCCAUCCAUCCAUUCCCACGGGCAAGCAUGCCCAAGCACCACAUGCGGCCAUGCUCAUGGCCGACCACUAAAGCAUGCUUUGUGCAUGCAUAUAUGGAGCCAGAUGCCCAUGGCACUGCCCCCAGAUACAGCUCUAGGAGCACUUUGUACUGCCCGAUGUACACCCCAGAUAUAUAUACUCAGACAUGCAGGAGUAGGGGUAUUAUCUCUCCGGAGAGCCCCGAACCUGGGUAAACUAGCGCGUGCUACUCGCUUACUCGCUCCCGGUCCUAUCAGCAGCAGUCUUACCCUCACACAAAGCCCUUGUGGCAUCUGUCGCCUCACACCGCCCCCGUGAGAAUACCACGACAAUCUCAGCUUCUCUGGGCCUUCAGGAAUUUUUGACUGGAGGCUGGUAAGUAGCCUUGGUGCACGCUCUCUGUUUGUCAGACUGAAUUAUCUGAUUAACCAGGAGAUAACCGACAGCAAGGAUCAUGAUGGCAGCGUGGUUUCGUUCAUCAGGCAAAACUGUGUGUACACAGCGUACCAUGCGUCUCUGCAUGCACCAUACCCUGAUAUGUGCCGCCACGCUCUGCAGCCCAAAGUAGGAGAGAGGGUCGCAAGUAUCAGACUUCGACCUACUGGCUGGAGUUUCCCCCGUCAGGCACCCAUCUGGUUCAAGCCGUCAGCCAAUCUCCACAGCUUAAUAUAUAGUAACGUCUAACUGAGCCAGUUAGUUAGAUGCGUACACUUGGUGUAGUAGGAUCUUUAUUUAGUUUGAUGCAUACACUUGUUCUUUUUUGGUAGCCCUUUUGUAAUGAUGGAUGAUGUUUGGUUUGGAAGAGAGAGCUGCGUCUUCACUCUUCUGGCCUGCUUACUGCUUGUGUUGCACCCCCAGCCCUGGUUGCUGCUCCUGCUGUUUUCAAUGUACAAUCAGUAGUAUAUUACGUCUGUUGGUUGAAUAAAUGUGUUGUUAGAAUGACAAACACAAUGUUUUGGAAGUCGUUGCACAGUUCGAUCCUUUAGUGCCCCGUACCAUAUGUAGCUCAUACUAUUUUUCGUACGGAACACAUUUUCCACUUGUUAAUAAGAUGCAGCCCACUGAUGAAGGCCCAAUAGAGAAGCCCAUAAUUAACUGGAAGGGAGGCUCUCACAUGAAUCCGGCCCAGGUACAUGUUCAUGGUCCCCUAAACAUAAAUAAGUAAAUAAAUAAAUAAAGCUAAAUGCUCAUGCACCAGUUCUUUGGGAAAAUAGGUAGCCCAGUAUUUCUUUUUGAAGAAUACCCAAGCUAGGCCUAUUUGUUUUCUCCGAAUUACUGGGCUGCAAAUCUUUCAAGUCGAGGAGGGGUGCAUUCCGUCAUGGCCAAAGAGUAUGGUCAAUGUCUGUUAAAAGUAAUAUCAAAAGGGGUUGAAAAUUCCAAAAAAAUUAUAGCAAAUGGGAUAUUAGUUUUUUUUUGUUUUUGUUCUUCACUGAUAUCUUAUACGUAUUUCAUUGAUUUAACAUGACAUAGUACUAAUUUAUUUUUAAAUUAUGGCUAUUAAUUUUUGGAUUAAGAAUAUUUCGUUCCCCAGCAAAAAUUUGCGAAUUUUCAAAAUUUCCCACAUAUUUAGUUAAUUUUUUGACACUGGUACUGACCAGAAAAUGGCCAGCAAUUCUAAAAAUGGAAAACAGGCUGCAAUAAAUUCCAUAUGAAUUAGAAAAUGAGUAAAAAUUAUAAAAAUAAUAGCAAAUGGCUUACUUGUUUAUGCAAGGCUUUGUCAGUGAACACACGAUUCUAGCAGCAGCGACUGUUGGAUGUCCAUCCAACAACCGACGUGCUUCUUCAAUCUCUGAUCUUCCUGCUCCAGCCGCCUAAACUAGCACCGGCGGGACUGCCUGCUCCCUCCUCUUGUGGCCCGCUGUGAUGCCGCGCAGGCUUCCCCGACCCACCCUACUCCCUCCGCUGGCCUGGCCGCACGUAAUCAACUGCCUCCUUAUUACGUGAAAAAAAAUGAUUCCUCCCACUAACAUCUGGGGCGCACCGGUUGGGAGGCUGACCUGUGGGCCUACUACGUUGACGCGUACGCAGGGCUUGUCAACUUAGUCAACAAACGAUUCUAGCAGCAGUAACCGUUGGAUUUGAAUCGAAUGGUCCUGCUGCUUCUUCAAUCGCUGCUCUUCUUGCACCAGCCGCCCAAACCAGCGCCGGGGAGACCGCCUGCUCCUGCCUCCAGUGGCCGGCUGUGCUGCCGUUGAGGCCUCAUCGCCCCCUACUACUCCCACCGCUAGCCAGGCCCUGCGGCGAUGGCAGCCUCACACCGCAGCCGAACCAGUGAACCCUCGUACUCCUCUCCGCGUGGGCAUCCACUGCCGCGUCUUCCCCGGCUCCGCGUCAUCCCCUUCCUAGGCCUAGCCGUCGUCCACCGCCUUGGUGCUCUCGGCGCGGCGUGGUCAAUGUGGUCAACGACAUUCCAUCGGAAGAGUACUGUACGUGGAGAGGCUGAUAGCUGGGUCCACGGCCACAACCCAGUUUUUUUGUGAUUUGCCAAGUAAGUCGCUUUGUCAGGCCUGUUGGGCUGCAAAUCUUUCAAGACGAGGAGAGCUUUCAUUCGGCUGGCCGAGAAAAUGGCCCAUCAGUAAUGAGAAAUGUGUUGUACAUUUUUAAAACACAUCAAACCGGCAAUUAGUUUCAAAUAUCUUUUUUUCAUUUCGAGAUUUUAAAUUACAUUAAUUUUUAUGCGCGGAGAAUUUGUUGGAUUUUAUAUUGAUAUAUAUUUAUUUUUAAAAUCAGUUUGAAUGUGAGUCGAAAUUUCGGGAUUAAAAACAGUUCGGACCGCACCGAAAUAUGCAAAAUUUCGUAUAAUUUUUUAACCGUGGCCACAAUAUGGGCUGUAAUGCUAACAAAAAGAAUAUGGGCUCCAAAAAAACCUUAAGAAUUAGCAAAUGGGCUGUAAAUUAUUAGAAAUAAUGGCAGAUGGGCUAUAUGCUGUUUUCCAAAGAUUUGAGGUUUUCCUAAAAAAAGGUUGACGCACAAGCAGUGACUGUUGGAUGUCCAUCCAACGGCCGUCGUGCUUCUUCAAUCUCUACUCUUCCUGCUCCAGCCGCUCAAACAAGCACCGGCGGGACUGCCUGCUCCCUCCUCCCCGCGGCCGGUGUGCUGCCGCGCAGGCCUCACCGCCCCACCGUACUCCCAUCGUUGGCCUAGCCAUACCUCUACUCACCCACACCUGCUGUUAUUCUCCGGUGACGGCAGACGUACCAGUAAACCCUCGUACAGUCGUACUCCCCUCCGCGUGGGAAACAACUUCCGAGUCUUCCCUGCCUCCGUGUCGUUCCCUUCCUAGGCCUCGCCGUCGUCCACCGCCCUGGUGCUCUCGGCGCGGCCUGGUCAACGUGGUCAAUGACCGACAUGCAUCUGAACUGGACUGUACAUGGAGAGGCUGACAGCUGGGUCCACGGCCGCACGCAAGGAAAUGCCUCCUUAUUACGCGCAAAAUAAUGAUUCCUCCACCUGACAUCAGGGACCCACCGAAAGGGCCUCUGUAUUUCACAAAAAAAAAAGUUACCGCCGCUGACAGCUCAGACCCACCAGUUAUAUCUUCGCACGCAAGGAUGUGCCUCCUUAUUACGCACAAAAAAUGAAUACUCCCCCUGUUAGCUGGGACCCAGUAUAGUGGCAGGCUAACUUGUGGGCCUACUAAGUUGACGGGGACGGAGGGCUUUGUCAACUUAGUCAAUAUGCACGAUUCUAGCUCCAGUGACCGUACAAUGUCCAUCCAACGGCCGUAGUGCUUCUUCAACCUCUGGUCUUCUUGCUCCAACCGCCCAAACCAGCGCCGGUCAUGUCUCGUGCUCCUGCCUCCCGUGGCCGGCUGCGAUGCGGCAGGAGCCUCACCGCCCCCUACUACUCCCACCAUUGGCGAGGCCAUCCCUCUACUCACCCACACCCCCUGUUAUUCUGCGGCGACGGCAGCCUCACACCGCAGGGAACCAGUGAACCCUCGUACUCCUCUACGCGUGGGCAUCCACUGCCGCGUCUUCCCCGGCUCCGCAUCGUCCCCUUCCUAGGCCUCGCCGUCGUCCACCGCCCUGGUGCUCUCGGCGCGGCGUGGUCAACGUGGUCAAGGAAUGGCUUCCAUCGGACGUGGACUGUACGUGGAGAGGCUGACAACUGGGUCCACGGCCGAAGCAAGGAAGUGCCUCCUUAUUACGCGCAAAAUAGUUAUUCCUCCACCUGACAGCGGGGACCAACCGGACGGGCCACCGUAUUUCGUGAAAAAAGCGUUUCCCCCCUGACUGCUGGGACCCACCAGCUACACUUUCGCACGCAAGGAAGUGCGUCCGGGCAAAAAAAACAAAAUGAUUCGCCCCCCUGACUGCUGGGACCCACCAGCUACAUCUUCGCACGCAAGGAAGUGCGUCCGGGCAAAAAAAAUGAUUCGCGCCCCUGACUGCUGGGACCCAUCAGCUACAUCUUCGCACGCAAGGAAGUGCCUGACAGUCGGGACCCACCUGGUCGAAGCGUACGUAGCGUUGUCAUUCUGGUCGCGAACGUGUACGUACAUACUGGUCGUCGUAGAGGCGCGCACGUGUCGUAGUAGAGGCGCGCACGUAGCAUGUACACGUACGUAUAGCGGUGAGGGUGCAAGAAAGAAAAUACGGCCACGUACGUACAUACGGGCAGGGUCUCGAACGCCUACUCGCGCAUAACCGACAUGCUCGACUUCGACUCCGAAGACAUCGACGGUAUGGACACCGAUGCAGGAGACGACCAAGACCCAGCGCCUCUAGGGCACUGGAAGGCCACCUCAUCAUACGACAUAUACAUGGUGGACACCCCAAAAGAAGGGAAUGGCGAUGGAACAACGGAGGAUGACCCCUCCAAGAAGCAGCCUAAGCGCCGGCGUCAGCGGCGCCGCUCUAAAUCCCGCCAAAGCAAAAACGGCGAUUCCGGCACGGGAAAUAAUAACACCCCGGACAGUGUCGAAGACAACCCCCUCCAGCUGGAUUUAGCACAGGAGGAUGGAGAGACCAGCCCUCAUGAGAGAGCGGCAGACAGAGAGGUAGAGGACGAUAAUUACAUGCCUCCCUCCGAAGACGAGGCAAGCCUCGACGACGACGAAUUUGUCAUGCCUGAGGAUCCCGUCGAACAAGAGCAUUUCAAACGCAGGCUUAUGGCCACGGCAAGCAGCCUCAAGAAAAAAUAGCAGCAGCUUAGAGCUGACCAAGACUUGCUAGCCGACAGAUGGACUGAAGUCCUGGCGGCCGAGGAAUACGAACUCGAAUGCUCCUCCAAGAGCUACCCAAAGCACAGGCUGCUAACCCGAUUAGAGGAGGAAGCACCUAAACCUACAUCACCAGCGCAUGACGCGGCCGACCGGCCACCUCGUGGCCGCGACAGAGAGGCCUCCCGGCCAUCAAUUCAAGCCGCACCCCGGCGCCGCUAUAUCAAGGCACGGGGACAUACGCCGGACCUGCGAGACAUAUUGGAGGACAAGGUAAGGCAAACAAGAUCGAUCUACGGAUCGCGUGGGCACCCCACGACACGUAACAAUAACCGUCAUGCCGGAUACGGCAAAUAUGGCCAGGCCGAACACAACAGACAAAGCUCAUUUGAGCUACGUCGUGAUAUAGCCCAGUACAGAGGCGCCGCACGCCCACUAUGCUUCACAGAUGAAGUAAUGGAUCAUCAAAUCCCCGAGGGUUUUAAACCCGUAAACAUCGAAUCAUACGAUGGCACAACAGAUCCUGCAGUAUGGAUCGAGGAUUAUCUUCUUCAUAUCCACAUGGCCCGCGGUGAUGAUCUACACGCUAUCAAAUACCUCCCACUCAAGCUUAAAGGACCAGCUCGGCAUUGGCUUAACAGCUUGCCAGCAGAGUCAAUUGGUUGCUGGGAGGACCUGGAAGCCGCAUUCCUCAACAAUUUCCAGGGCACCUAUUUGCGACCACCAGACGCCGAUGACCUAAGCCACAUCAUUCAGCAGCCAGAUGAAUCGGCCAGACAAUUCUGGACACGGUUCCUAACCAAGAUAAAUCAAAUAGUCGACUGUCCGGACGCGGAGGCCCUCGCAGCCUUCAAACAUAACAUCCGUGAUGAAUGGCUUGCCCGGCACCUAGGAUAGGAAAAGCCGAAAUCCAUGGCAGCCCUCACAACACUCAUGACCCGCUUUUGCGCGGGAGAAGACAGCUGGCUAGCUCGUAGUAAUAACAUGACCAAGAGCCUUGGUAAUUCGGAUACAAAAGACAACAAUGGCAGGUCGCGUCGCAACAAACACAAGCGCCGCAUUAAUGGCGACAAUGCAGAGGAUACGCGGCAGUUAAUGCCGGAUUCCGAGGCUCUAAACCCGGUCAGCGGAAAAAGCCAUUCAAAAGAAGUACUCCGGGCCCGUCCAAUUUGGACCGAAUACUCGAUUGCUUGUGCCAGAUACAUGGCACCCCCGAAAAACCAGCCAAUCACACCAACAGGGAUUGUUGGGUGUUCAAGCAGGCAGGCAAGUUAAGCGCCGAAAACAGAGACAAGGGGCUGCAUAGCGAUGACGAGGAGGAGCCCCGGCCGACGAACAAUAGGGGACAGAAGGGCUUUCCCCCACAAGUGCGGACGGUGAACAUGAUAUACGCAACCCACAUCCCUAAAAGGGAACGGAAGCGUGCACUCAGGGACGUAUAUGCGUUGGAGCCAGUCGCCCCAAAGUUCAACCCAUGGCCCUCCUGCCCGAUCACUUUCGAUCGAAGGGACCACCCCACUAGCAUCCGCCACGGCGGAUUCGCUGCAUUGGUUCUCUACCCAAUCAUUGACGGAUUUAACCUCACUAGAGUCCUUAUGGACGGCGGCAGCAGCCUGAACCUGCUUUAUCAGGACACAGUGCGAAAAAUGGGCAUAGAUCCCUCAAGGAUUAAACCCACAAAGACGACCUUUAAAGGCGUCAUACCAGGUGUAGAGGCCAACUGUACAGGCUCAGUUACACUGGAAGUGGUCUUCGGAUCCCCGGAUAAUUUCCGAAGCGAGGAGUUAAUCUUCGACAUCGUCCCGUUCCGCAGUGGCUAUCACGCCCUGCUCGGACGAACCGCAUUUGCAAAGUUCAAUGCGGUGCCGCACUACGCAUACCUCAAGCUCAAGAUGCCAGGCCCUCGAGGAGUCAUUACGGUCAACGGAAACACCAAACGCUCCCUCCGAACAGAGGAGCAUACGGCGGCCCUAGCGGCGGAAGUACAAAGUAGCCUCUCAAGGCAAUUCUUGAGUCUGGCUAUUAAACGUCCGGACACCGUCAAGCGCGCCAGGAGUAACCUACAAAAAGACUGCCUGGCACGUUCCGAGCAAGCGUAGCAGUGCGGCCCCGACCCCAGCCCUCGGGAAAUUGUGAAACCAGUAUUACGCGUACAUAAUUACGCUCUGGAAGUACCAUGGGCAUAAGGGGAGGGGCACAACCACGGCACGCCCAAUAUGCGGCUCAACCGCACUGGGGGCUCCAAAUUUUGUCAUUUCUUUUUUCUUCCUUUCAGGACUCCACUAUCCGGAAGGCCUGUCCGGCAGUACAAUCGCUGAACACACGAUGCAACAGCUAGGGAGGCAGCAAGCUACGUCGAACGUUCAGGUGGUCUCUUUAACGAGCUAAAUACCUGUCUUACAUAAAGUCCCGCAGUUUGCCCCUGGAGGGGGACAUGUCAAAUAAUCCCAUCUCUUGCUUAUCGCACUAUUUGUAUCGUUCUGCUUUCACAGCAGCCUUUUAAUAAACAAUACAUAGCUCAUGUCUAUUCUUGCAUUCAUUUUUUUAUGUAAAUAUGUUCAGUUAUGACAUUAUGCAACCGUACACUUUGGUACGGCCAAUACACCAGGGGCUUAAGUACCCCAGAAUAUGGGGUGAGAAGUCCGAACACUCUCAUGAGUGCGGCACCCCGAACUUAUAGCACUAUAUGCAUCGGCUCCGAAUCAUGUCUUGGGUCAAUAGUUGGGUUUGCCCGGCUCCCAUGUUUUGGUACCUUACGUUCCGCUAUAUCGGCUAAGGUAGCGCUGGGAGAACUACUGCGAUUGUGCCCCAGUUGAGCUGGGUUAAGCACCUCAUUAGAGAAAGCUAAAAUUGACCGUCAUGAUAGGGCGAGAGCCGGUCGCUGUUCGAGAGGUUUUCGAGUCCCUAAAGACUUAUGCCGCUUAGAGCGAGCAGUUGGCUUUGUCCGGCCUAGGCGUGGAUAGCGCCCCGAACUCGGUCUUCCGAAUACUAGGGGCUUCGCCGAAAUUUAAAAUUAUAGAAUUCUAUGGCUAAGUGAGAGUGAUAAAGCAUUAUAGUCUGAUUGCCUUGUUCGUUGUGCUGAGCGCCUCCCUCGAAGGACCCAAGAAUGGGAACAAGAGCGCUCAGGUUUAUCCCGAACACCCCAGCACUCGCGGCAUGGGGGUAGAAGCCGAUGACUCGCAUCUCUCAGAUUUAAUAAACGGCCGCACAGAAGGUAAUAUUUUAAAUUCAAAAAGCGUUGCUUAGCACAUAUGAACAAGUUUUCAGCGCACAGGAUAAACACGAGCGAGUUUACUCAAAUAUUACAUCUCUGGAACAUUCAUUCGCCACAAGGCGGGCACCCUUCAGGACGCCCUCAUAAUACAUCUCGGGCCUGCGAUGCUCCUUCCCCUCCGGUGGCCCAUCUGUCACUAGCUUCUCAGCAUCCAGCUUGCCCCAGUGUACUUUAGCACGGGCAAGGGCCCUACGGGCGCCCUCGAUGCACACGGAGCGCUUGAUGACUUCAAGCCGUGGACAAGCAUCCACCAGCCGCCUCACCAGCCCAAAGUAGCUCCCAGUCACGACCUCGCCAGGCCAUAGCCGGACUAUAAGGCCCUUCAUGGCCUGUUCGGCUACCUUAUGGAGCUCGACCAGCUGUUUUUGCUGGUCGCUCAAGGGCACCGGGUGUCCGGCCUCAGCAUACUGGGACCAGAACACCUUCUCCGUCGAGCUCCCUUCCUCGGCUCGGUAGAAUGCGGCAGCAUCGGACACACUGCGGGGCAGAUCUGCGAAUGCUCCUGGAGAGCUCCGGACUUGGGUAAGUAACAAGUAAUUCACUUUCACGUGCUUGCUUUGCAUAAAAAAUGCCUUACCCGCCGCUAUCUUCUUUAUCGCCUCAAUUUCCUGGAGGGCUUUUUGGGCUUCGGCCUUGGCGGAUUUGGCGCUCUCAAGGGCCGAGGCAAGCUCGGACUCUUGAGUCUUUGAGUCAAGCUCCAAUCUCUCGUGUUUCUUCGCAAGAGCAUGGAGCUCUUGCUGCACCUCCGCUACCCGUGCCUCCUGCUUUUCUCGCUCGGUGCGCUCCAUGGCCGCAUUGUCUUCGGCCUUGGACAGCGCUUCCUUCAGGGUCGCCACCUCGGUUGUGGCCCCUGUAACACUCACGUUGGUCCUGUCAUUUUUUGCAACCAGGUAUUUUUUAUAUACUAACAUCAGGUACUACUUACCUUCCUUGUCCUCGAGCUGCUUCUUGGCAAGGCCGAGCCCCUUCUCGGACCGCUCGAGGCUCUGCUUCAAUGCAUCGACCUCCGCAGUCAGUGCGGCAGAGGUCAGCAGCGCAACCUGCAUUCCCAUAUUGACAUAUUUAUGUUAGACUCCUGCAUAUAUCUUUUUAGAUCCUCAGUCCGGCUUUUCUUCCCGAACACCAAACUGAGCAUCAGGGGCUACUGUCUAUGCGGUAAUAUUUUUACAUGUUUUAAAUACAUACCUCGAAGCCUGUUAGAAGGUUGGCACAGGCUUCUGUCAGCCCGCUCUUGGCGGACUGAACCUUCUGGACCACCGCACUCAUAAUAGUGCAGUGCUCCUCGUCGAUGGAGGCGCCGUUAAGCACCUCCAGCAAAUUGUCCGGUGCCUCCGGUUGGACGGGGGUCACCGGCGUCGUAGGCUUGCCCUUCUUACGAGGGGGCCUCCUGCCGGACUCCAGAACCGCUGAAGGUUCCGGUGCGGCGUCCGGCCCAGGGCCGGACUUAGAGCCCUUUGGGGUUUUAUCCCCUUGGCGCCUGGAAUCCGGAAGGUCGCCUUGCGGCGCCUCCGGGACUACCUCCUCAUGGCUCGUCCCCUUUUGGGACUCCACCUCGGCGUCGUCCGUGGGGCGAGGGGAGGUAGCAGUCGGAAGUGAAAGACUAUUCACAUCCGACGAAUCCAGGGAUCCGCUCGACGAAGCGUCGAGCUGGGCCUUGGGCGGACUGCAUGAUUAUGUUCGGCGUUAGAAGAUAAUGUGCCGUAAAGGAACACCAUGAGUUAUUCUGGUAUCCGGAUACUUACGAUUUCGCCAAGGGCUUGGCCCUGGAUGGCCACUCCUCUUCGCCGUCGUCGGUGUUGGUGGAGUAGUCCGGGAGAAGGGUUUUUCCCUUCUUGGACCCUCCGGCCCCCCUAGUCGGGGUGGCCUUCCUUUUCUUUCCUCCCCACGUUGGAGGGGGAGAGGCCUCUUCUUCCUCCUCCUCGCCUUCAUGGGAGGAGCGCGCUUCGGAGUCAUCGGACGAGGAAUCCGACACUACCAGGCGCCGGGAACUCUUUCGAGUUCCCGUGGCCUUCUUCUUGGCCUUCUUCUCCGGCACCACGUGAGGUGCCGGGACCAGCAGCUUCGCCAAGCGGGCAUCUGCUGGGCCUUCGGGCAAAGGAGCCGGAUAGUCGAUCUGUCCGGACUUCUUCUGCCAGUCCUGUCAAAGGAACGGAGCUUAGAUCCCGCAUAGAAUCAAACUAUGAAAAACAAAUAUCCUGUGAUGGGUAAAAUAAACUUACCGCGCUGGCUUGGCGCUUCACGCAGAAUCCGCGAUCCUCGGUAGUGGGAGGGUGAACUUCGGAGCCCUUGAAUAGCACCUUCCAGGCAUCUUCGUGCGUUGUGUCAAAAAGCCUGGACAAAGUUUGGUGCUGGGCCGGGUCGAAUUCCCACAAGUUAAAAGCCCGUCGUUGACACGGGAGGAUGCGGCGGAAGAGCAUGACCUGGCCUACGGUGACGAGUUUAACCUUCUUGUCCAUCAGGUUUUGGACGUAGGUUUGGAGUCCGGUCACCUCUUCCGAAUUACCCCACGACAGGCCCGUCUCUUUCCAAGAGGUGAGCCGUGUGGGGAUGCCAGAUCGGAAUUCGGGGGCCGCUGCCCAUUCAGGGUCACGCGGCUCGGUGAUGUAGAACCACCCCGAUUGCCACCCCUUGAUGGUUUCCACAAAGGAGCCCUCGAGCCAUGUGACGUUGGGCAUUUUGCCCACCAUGGCGCCUCCACACUCCGCUUGCCGGCUGCCCACUACCUUCGGCUUGACAUUGAAAGUCUUUAGCCAUAAGCCGAAGUGGGGCUUGAUGCGGAGGAAGACCUCGCACACGACGAUAAACGCCGAGAUGUUGAGGAUGAAGUUCGGGGCCAGAUCAUGGAAGUCCAGGCCGUAGUAGAACAUGAGCCCUCGGACAAAUGGGUGGAGUGGGAAGCCCAGUCCGCGGAGGAAAUGGGGGAGGAACACCACCCUCUCAUGGGGCCUAGGGGUGGGGAUGAGCUGCCCCUCAUCUGGGAGCCGGUGCGCGAUGUCGUUGGACAAGUAUCCGACUUUCCUCAACUUUUUGAUGUGCCCCUCCGUGACGGAGGAGGCCAUCCACCUGCCUCCCGCUCCGGACAUGGCUGGAGAAGGUUGAGGUGGGAAGUGCGGACUUGGGCGCUGGAGCUCGAGUGAGCGGAGAUGGGUAAGCAAAGGAGGAAGAAGGCGUAAAUGGAAAGAGUGGAUCCUUAUCCCCUUAUAUGGGCGGACGAAGCUAUGUACCCCCACCAGCCUAGUAAAACUCGCUUAUCUCCCAAGCGUCGUGAUUAAUGGCGCGGUUGGGUUACCCACGCCCGUAUUGAUGAGAAUCCCGGAAUAAGGGGACACGAUCUCUGCUUUGACAAGACGUGCCAAGGAAACCGCCUCGCUAAACGCGCUGAGGUGGGACAGUAAAACGAUUCGAAUACAGGCUUGGCCGUGGCGUGAUGUCACGCUGCGAAAUAUGUCAGCAGAUUAGAUUUAUACAAACAUUAUUCUCUCUGCGGUGGUAUGUGGAACUUAUUUUGUAGAGCCGGACACUAUCCUUGUGUUCAACAUCUUCUAUGAAGUAUUCGGAGGAGGAACCCGCCUUGCAAUGCCGAAGACAAUUUGCGCGCCGGACUCGUCGUCAUUGAAGCCUGGUUCAGGGGCUACUGAGGGAGUCCCGGAUUAGGGGGUGUCCGGAUGACCGGACAACGACCUUUGGCCGGACUCCUGGACUAUGAAGAUACAAGAUUGAAGACUUCGUCCCGUGUCCGGAUGGGACAUUCCUUGGCGUGGAAGGCAAGCUUGGCGAUACGGAUAUGUAGAUCUCCUCCCAUUGUAACCGACUCUGUGUAACCCUAGCCCUCUCCGGUGUCUAUAUAAACCGGAGAGUUUUAGUCCGUAGGACGAACAACAAUCAUACCAUAGGCUAGCUUCUAAGGUUUAGCCUCUCUGAUCUCAUGGUAGAUCUACUCUUGUACUACCCAUAUCAUCAAUAUUAAUCAAGCAGGAGUAGGGUUUUACCUCCAUCGAGAGGGCCCGAAACCUGGGUAAAAACAUCGUGUCCCUUGUCUCCUGUUACCAUCCGCCUAGACGCAUAGUUCGAGACCCCCUACCCGAGAUCCGCUGGUUUUGACACCGACAGCGAGGGCCCCUCCUGGCCCCCUUGGCCGUUUUCUUGGCCUUCUUCUCUGGCACAUCAUAAGGUGCUGGAAACAGCAUCUUCGUCAGUAAUGGGAAUUCUUGGUCUUCGGGUAGCUGAGCCGGGCAGUUAAUCCGCCCUGCUACCUCGAUCCAGGCCUGAAAACAUUGAUAGGAAGGCUUAGACUCUUUCCUCAAAAUAUGCUAGUAAAGGGUACACCUUGAAAACAUCAAAGAACUUACCGAAUUAGCCUGGUGUUUUAAGCUAAGCCCGCGAUCUUCGGUCGUGGGCGGUGGCGUCUCACCGGCCUUCAAGAGCACUUUCCAGAUUUUUUCGUGCGUCGUGCCGAAGAGCUCUAGUAGCGUCUGGUGCUUCGCCGGAUCGUACUCCCACAAAUAGCAAGUCCGGCAUUGGCACGGAAGGAUCCGACGAAUGAGCAUAACCUGGAUCACAUUGACAAGCUUGAUUUUCCUGGUUAUCAUGUUCUGGACGCACGUCUGUUGCCCAGUCAGCUUGUUCAAGGGACCCCAGGUCAGGCCCCUCUCUUGCUAGGAGGUGAGCCGCAUCAGGACUCCAGAUCGGAAUUCGGGGGCCGCCGCCCAGUUGGUGUCGCGCGGCUCGGUGAUGUAGAACCACCCCAAUUGCCAUCCCUUCACCGUCUCCGCAAAGGUGCCUGCUACGUCUUGAGCUUGCGUUGGUUUUCCUCGAAGAGGAGAGGGUGAUGCAGCAAUAGUAGCAUAAGUAUUUCCCUCAGUUUUUGAGAACCAAGGUAUCAAUCCAGUAGGAGGCUCCUCAAAAGUCCCACGCACCUACACAAACAAACAAAGAACUCGCAACCAAUGCAAUAAAGGGGUUGUCAAUCCCUUCACGUCCACUUGCGAAAGUGAGAUCUAAUAAAGAUAGUAUGAUAAGAUAAAUAUAUUUUUGGUAUUUUAUAAUAUAGAUGCAAAAAGUAAAGCUGCAAAUAAAGGUAGAUUGGAAGCAAAUAUGAUAAGAGAUAGACCCGGGGGCCAUAGGUUUCACUAGUGGCUUCUCUCAAGAUAGCAUAAGUAUUACGGUGGGUGAACAAAUUACUGUCGAGCAAUUGAUAGAAAAGCGAAUAAUUAUGAGAUUAUCUAGGCAUGAUCAUGUAUAUAGGCAUCACGUCCGUAACAAGUAGACCGACUCCUGCCUGCAUCUACUACUAUUACUCCACACAUCGACCGACUCCUGCUUGCAUCUAGAGUAUUAAGUUCAUAAGAACAGAGUAACGCAUUAAGCAAGAUGACAUGAUGUAGAGGGAUAAACUCAAGCAAUAUGAUAUAAACCCCAUCUUGUUAUCCUCGAUGGCAACAAUACAAUACGUGCCUUGCAACCCUUUCUGUCACUGGGUAAGGACACUGCAAGAUUGAACCCAAAGCUAAGCACUUCUCCCAAGGCAAGAAAGAUCAAUCUAGUAGGCCAAACCAAACUGAUAAUUCGAAGAGACUUGCAAAGAUAACUCAAUCAUACAUAAAAGAAUUCAGAGAAGAUUCAAAUAUUAUUCAUAGAUAAACUUGAUCAUAAACCCACAAUUCAUCGGAUCUCGACAAACACACCGCAAAAAGAGUUUACAUCGAAUAGAUCUCCACAAGAGAGGGGGGGAACAUUGUAUUGAGAUCCAAAAAGAGAGAAGAAGCCAUAUAGCUAAUAACUAUGGACCCGUAGGUCUGUGGUAAACUACUCACAACUCAUCGGAGGGGCAAGGAUGUUGAUGUAGAAGCCCUCCGUGGUCGAUUCCCCCUCCCGCGGAGCGCCGGCGAAGGCUCCAAGAUGGGAUCUCGCGGAUACAGAAGGUUACGGCGGUGGAAAUUGUGUUUCGUCUUCUCCCUGGAUGUUUUCGGGGUACGUAGGCUUAUAUAGGAGGAAGAAGUACGUCGGUGGACGGCCGAGGGGCCCACGAGACAGGGGCGCGCCCUCCUAUCUCGUGGAGGCAUCGGCUACUUUUUGACUUGCACUCCAAGUCCUCUAGAUCAUGUUCGAUCCAAAAAUCACGCUCCCGAAGGUUUCAUUCCGUUUGGACUCUGUUUGAUAUUCCUUUUCUUCGAAAUGCUGAAAUAGGCAAAAAAACAGCAAUACGGGCUGGGCCUCCGGUUAGUAGGUUAGUCCCAAAAAUGAUAUAAAUGUGUAAAAUAAAGCCCAUAAACAUCCAAAAGGGGUAAUAUAAUAGCAUGGAACAAUCAAAAAUUAUAGAUACGUUGGAGACGUAUCAGUGCCCUCGAGCCAGAUGACAUUGGGCAUCUUGCCCACCAUGGCGCCUCCGCACUCUGCUUGUUAGCCGCUCACCACCUUCGGCUUCACAUUGAAAGUUUUCAGCCAUAGGCCGAAGUGAGGUGCGAUGCGGAGAAAGGCCUCGCAAACGACAAUAAAUGCCGAGAUGUUGAGGAUAAAGUUGGGAGCUAGAUCAUGGAAGUCCAGCCCGUAGUAAAACAUCAGCCCGCGGACGAACGGGUGAAGAGGGAACCCCAGCCCGCGGACGAAAUGUGUGAGAAACACAACCCUCUCAUUGGGCUCUAGGGUAGGGAUGAUCUAUCCCUUGGCUGGGAGUCGGUGAGCGAUCUCCUUGGCCAGGUAUCCGGCCUCCCGGAGCUCCUUGAUGUCUUUCUUCUUGACGGAGGAGGCCAUCCACUUGCCUCCAGCUCCGAAUCCAGACAUAAUUGGAGUGCUUCUUCAAACGGAGAAGGCUAGAACUUGGGCGCUGGAGCUUGAGGACGGGAGGGCAGUGAUGGAGAGAAGGCGUGGGUGAGGAAAGGGAAUCCUUAUCCCCUUAUAAAGGCAAUGAAUAUCAAGCGCCUCCCCACUCGCCUUAAACUCGCCUUGACGGGGGGAUGACCCCCGGGUAGGCCCAAAGACGGCAAACGACGCUUCAAAACCAUCGGGGCCAGCAACGCCCCUCAAGCCGGCUCGCACUUGGCCGGGUCGCUCAACCCGGCCGGACUCCUCAACCCGGCCGCCCGGCCGGGUCCCUGUCCGGGUCCGGCUGCUCCAGCCGGCCUGCUACGAGAAGUCAACCGCUGCAUCAACCCGGCACCGACAAGACGGCCACACUGCGGCCACUGUUGCUGAUAAAGCACACACUGUUCACGCGUCACACACAACAUCAUCUACAGUGUACUUUGUCCCCCGGCAUUGAUUUAUAAAAUGCCCCAGGGACAAAACUUAGCCUAGCAUGCAAGAAAGCAUGGCUUGGAAUGUAAGCUACCCACUGUAGCUUACAUCCCAAGCACACACCCAUGCCAACAUGGCUUACACCACAAGCUAGCCACACUAUAUAAGCUAGCUCACACCCAUCCAUCCAGGGGGGACCUUCACGUGUGCACACACACUCAUACGGCCACAAGGCCACUCGCGCCACACAUGUACUAGUAGAUGAGCACAUAGCUCUCUCCUACCUGCUCUCAGAUACAGCUCCAGGAGCAACCAUGUACUGCUGUUUGCCCAAUCUCGUCCCUUGAUCUCCAAAGCAGUCUUGCCCUCACCACAAGCCACCUCGUGGCAUCUGUCAUCUCACGAACCCGCCCGCGAGAUAACCACGACAGUUUGCGCCCACCGUGGGGCAAGCUGUCGCGGAACCAUGGUCCGGGCGGGACCAUUUUUGUCAUCAUCACCGCGGCGUCGCCGUCGUCUCUCCGGUAGCGCUCGGGGGCUCGACAUCGACACGCCCCCGGUGCGACCGCGCGGGGCGGCGCGCCUCCGUCGUCGGCCUCGCCUUCUUCGUCAUCACCACCGCGGCGUCGACGCCGUCUCUUCGGCGCCGGUCGAGGGCUCGACAUCAGCCCGCCCCCGGCGCGUCGUCGUCGUCCGCCUUCGGUCUACGCGCUCACCGCUCCGGCCCUCGCUCCGCGCAACCUCCAUCCAUGUUCGUGUGCGCCGUGUCCGGCCUCCUCGACCUCCGGUGCAUCCUCACCGUCGGCCUAAACACCGCCUGCAUCGCUCCCUUUGCCGCCAUCUGCUGCAAUUGCAACUGCUUGUUGCUGCUUCUCCACUCAUACGCAAGCCAAGCAAUGGCCACGCACCACCCAGACAUUAGUCAUACACAAGUCGGAUAUUGCCCAUACAAUAGCCAGAUAAUUCCCUAUACACUUCCCAGAUAUGACUCGGGCGCUGCCCGAAUACUGCCCGUGCACUGGCUCGUUCCGGCCAGCUGCGGCGCUCACUGUCAUGCCCAUCUUCUGUUUCAUCUCCGUGGGCCUCCUCCCCGUGCUAAGUCGCAAGGAGCAGCAGUGCAUGACCUCUCAGCCGCGCCGCCUCUGCUCGUAGAAGAGCUCCCUGCUACCGCUGCUUUCUGCUGGCCCUCGCACAUCGACGCUGAAGCCCGAGCUCCGCCUCGCCUCAGCUCCUCUGUCCCAGCAGCGCCUCCACGGACCCGUCCCGCGCGCCCGGCCUGCUCCUCCCUGCAUUCGAGCGCUCGGCGGGCAUGCAGGGCCUCCUCUGCCCCGGGCACAUCCGCUCCUGUAUGUCGCCGCGACGACCGGCCCCGUCUCCUGCGUCUGCACCGCCCCGCGGCCUUCUCCUCCUCGGCGCCGCGCCCGGCGGCCCCGUCCGCGCCACCGCCCCAGCAACGUCUCCACAGACGUGCCCCGUCGUCGCGGCGACUAGCUCCCACGCCACCCAGCCUUGGCUCCCUGUUGUCGCUGCUCCGCUGCAGUCACGGCCACCAGAGGCCCCCUACGCCUGCUUCUACUCGCUCUCCACAAACGGCCCCGUCGUCGACUCCUUCGAGGUUGCGCCCGUCCGUCCGCGCCCCGCGCCCGCCGGUCUCUCCCGGGUCCGGCUCCCUGCGUCGGCCGGGCCGCCCCACGCCGGGUCCGGCUCUCGCGUCGCCCCUCGGCUGCCAGGCCCCUCGCCGCCUCCGGCUCGGUGCCCCGCCCGCCGGCCUCGUCUUCAACCCGGCCAGCCGCCUCCGCUCCCGCGCCGCGUACCGGCCGCCGGCUUCUACCGCGACCCGGCCGCCGGCUGCUGCGACAUCCCGGCCUCCUGCACUGGCUGCUGCCGUGACCCGGCCGCCGGCUGGUGCGGCAUCCCGGCCUCCUGCGCUGGCCGGCUCCGCCCGGCGACCCGGCCUGCCGGCUCUGCCCGCGCCGGCUUCGCUGACGACCCGGCCUGCCGGCUCCCCAGCAACCCGGACGCCGGCCUCUGGCGCGACCCGGCCGUUGGCUUCCGCCGCGUCCCGCUCCUGCCAGCUCAUCAGGCAGAAAAUAAAGAAAACAGAGAGAAGAAAAGUCAAGCCAGCAGCUGAAAAAAAAAGUGCCCAAGCCGGCUGAGAAAAAAAAGUGUCGCCGGAUAGAAGAAGAAAGAGAGCACGAACGAUCUAAGCUCGUUUGGCCUGCCGGCCUGCCCGCCUACUCCGACAUCGGGCUGGCUGGAGAGCAAGCCUGACGAUCCCGCCCGCCUCGACGCGGCGCCGCGUCCCGCUCUGUCGCCUAGCCGGUCGGGACCGACCGCCGGGACCCACUUCGAGCACCCGGAGGCUCGAAGGCUCCCCUCAGUGGGUGUGUCGGCGCUAGCGCCAAGCCAUGCCGGCUGUCAUUGACAACCUCCACCUCGUCUGCGUCAAAUCAAUGUGAGCUCCUCACCCGCGUAUAUUUUGCACCACGCAAGCCGGAUAACCCCGAGCGACACUCGGGGACCACCUUUGCCUUUAUUACAGUUGUACUACUGUUCGCCCCCGCGCCGGCUAGUCUCGGCCCGGAGGCUGGCCGCUCGGCCCGAUACGUUCGUUCCCGCAGACGGCUAGUAGCGCACACGGUACCAAAGGCCCACCUCUCAGCCAAAGACCGCAGCGCAGCUGUCCGGCUAAGCGAGAGCCAAAGCUUGAGGUCACCUCACGCGAAAAACGUUCGGGAGAAGACGGCUUGGGCAACCCGGCCGUUUCCUUUAUGAGUAUCUACUCGGUCGAAUCUGCUCCUGUAGUCCGAGUACUGUACGCUCCACUCCGCGGCCACUCUUCGUAACAGCUAGAGGCCGGCUCCGAGCUGUCUAGCUAACAAGAGGCAAAGCCAAAGAGCGGAGGGGGCAUGAAAAAGACUGAAGGGGGCUCGGACGAAACCGAGUCGGCACCCUCCGCAUAAAACUUACAAUGCUGAAAGCAAACAUUUGAUACAUAUCUGCGCGGACUAACUUUGUCUUUUACACGAUCAUCGCUGAGGGGAACCCCCUCCUCGCCCGGAGACUCGGAGGCUACACGCGGGUUGCGGGACCGACGCCGGCCGCAACCGGCGUUUCCAUCGCCGAUGUCCACUUCAUCAACAGCAAGACCCUCCGCGCAACUUUUCCAAGUUUCCCGGAGGCUCAGAGGCUACACCCAGUGAGUGCGCUCGCGCGCCCCCACUCAGCCGGCGGACUCCGUGUCCGCGCCCGGCACCCUCGACGUCAGCGUCGGCUUCUUCAUCAACAGCAAGACCCUCCGCGCAACUUUUCCAAGUUGCCCAGAGGCUCGGAGGCUACACCCAGUGGGUGCGCUCACGCGCCCCCACUCAGCCAGCGGACUCCGCGUCCGCGCCCGGCAGGGCCCCGUGCCCCCCAGCCGGCGGACUCCGUGUCCGCGCCCGGCAACCUCGACGUCACCAUCGGCUUCUUCAACAACAGCAAGACCCUCCGCGCAACUUUUCCAAGUUGCCCGGAAGCUCGGAGGCUACACCCAGUGGGUGCGCUCGCGCGCCCCCACCCGGAACACGCCGCGCCUGUUGCACGCCCGUCGCCGGCUGCAAUCGGCAUCUACUGCUUCAUCGACGCCUGCUAAAACCCUCCGCGCAACUUUUCCAAGUUGCCCGGAGGCUCGGAGGCUACUGACGGGGGGAUGACCCCCGGGUAGGCCCAAAGACGGCAAACGACGCUUCAAAACCAUCGGGGCCAGCAACGCCCCUCAAGCCGGCUCGCACUUGGCCGGGUCGCUCAACCCGGCCGGACUCCUCAACCCGGCCGCCCGGCCGGGUCCUUGUCCGGGUCCAGCUGCUCCAGCCGACCUGCUACGAGAAGUCAACCGCUGCAUCAACCCGGCACCGACAAGAAGGCCACACUGCGGCCACUAUUGCUGAUAAAGCACACACUGUUCACGCGUCACACACAACAUCAUCUACAGUGUACUUUGUCCCCCGGCAUUGAUUUAUAAAAUGCCCCAGGGACAAAACUUAGCCUAGCAUGCAAGCAAGCAUGGCUUGGAAUGUAAGCAACCCACUGUAGCUUACAUCCCAAGCACACACCCAUGCCAACAUGGCUUACAACACAAGCUAGCCACACUAUAUAAGCUAGCUCACACCCAUCCAUCCAGGGGGACCUUCACGUGUGCACACACACUCAUACGGCCACAAGGCCACUCGCGCCACACAUGUACUAGUAGAUGAGCACAUAGCUCUCUCCUACCUGCUCUCAGAUACAGCUCCAGGAGCAACCAUGUACUGCUACGGAUAUUCCACAUAUAUUCAAACAUGCAGGAGUAGGAGUAUUAUCUCUCCGGAGAGCUCUGAACCUGGGUAAAUCGCCGCGUGCUGUUUACUCAAUCCCGUCCCUUGAUCUCCAAAGCAGUCUUUCCCUCACCACAAGCCACCUCGUGGCAUCUGUCGUCUCACGAACCCGCCCGCGAGAUAACCACGACACGCCUAUUCCCAAGGACCGUGUAAACGGCACGGUUGGAUUACCCACGCCCGUAUUGAUGAGAAUCCCGUAAUAAGGGGACACGAUCUCUACUUCGACAAGACGUGCCGAUGGCAACUGCAUCUCGAAACAUGGAGCGGCGGACGAAAAACGGUUCGAAAUUAUGACCGGACAGACGUGAUGUCAUGUUGGAAAAGUUGUCAGCGGAUUGGACUCAUGGAAGUAUUAUAUUCUCUCUGCGGUUGUGUGUGGUGUGUGUUACAGUUCCGGAUACAAUCAUUGCGUCUGAAGAUUAUCCUGGAGUUCGGAAAAGGGGGGACCCGCCUUGCAAUAUCGAAGACAAUCUACGCUCCGGACUCCUCGUCAUUGAAGCCAGGUUCAGGGGCUACUGAGGGAGUCCUGGACUAAGGGGUCCUCGGGCGUCCGGCCUGUUAUCCUUGGGCCGGACUGAUGGGUUGUGAAGACAUGAAGGCCGAAGACUGUACCCGUGUCCGGAUAGGACUCUCCUUGGCGUGGAAGGCAAGCUUGGCGAUCAACUAUGAAGAUUCCUUUCUAAGUAACCGACUCUAUGUAACCCUAGAUCUCCCCGGUGUCUAUAUAAACCAGAGGAGUUAGUCCGGAUAUACACAUUACCAUAGUCAUACAGGCUAGACUUCUAGGGUUUAGCCAUCACGAUCUCGAGAUAGAUCAACUCUUGUAAUACUCAUAUUCAUCAAGAUCAAUCAAGCAGGAAGUAGGGUAUUACCUCCAUAGAGAGGGCCCGAACCUGGGUAAACAUUGUGUUCCCCGUCUCCUGUUACCAUCGACCUUUAGACGCACAGUUCGGGACCCCCUACCCGAGAUCCGUCGGUUUUGACACCGACACCACUCCCUACAGAACUUGUACAAACACUCAAUGGUGGUGGACUCGGCCAUGCGUCCAUAGUCUUCCAGUAUAUCACCGAGAGAUCCGUAUGCAAGCAUCCUCAUAGCUGCCAUGCACUUCUGGAGUGAGGUGAAUCCAAGUGUGCUAGUGCAAUCCUUUUUGCAAAUGAAUAAGUAGUUGUCGAACUCCCGGAUGGAAUUCACAAUCCUAAUAAAGAGCUUUUGGCUCAUCUGAUAACAACGCCGAAAUACUUUCUCACCGUGCAGUGGAACGUCGGCGAAGUAGUCGGCAUAGAGCAAGCAGUAGCCCUCUAGUCGAUGCUUCUGCUUGCUCUUAUGUCGACCCGGCGCCGAGCCACCUCGCCGCGGCUUUGCAUUGCUCAUGAACAGGCCGGCCAGAGUGGCGAGCACCAUGAGGUGCUCUUCGUCAUGGGUGUCGGCCUCGGCUUCCUCCUCCAGCAGCGCCGCAAACGCCUCCUCGUCGUCGGAGACCAUCGCCGAACAGGCAAAUCGUCGAACACCUGGCGGGCGUGGCAGGUGCCCAGCCGCUGGUACCCCCCACCGGAGCGCUGGAAAGCUCGCCCAGGAAUGGGAUGGAGGCUGUCGCGGCGGAACCCUCUCUUUCCGGCGGGGAAAUGGCCUUUCUAGCGGCGGACCAGCGGCCGUGGGCAGGUGGGCGGUGCCGGGAUCGGCACGACGACAAAAGGACAAGUGUCGUCCUACAGCGCGUGGGGCGAAUCUGGGCAGGGGGAAAUCAUUUUUCGCCUGACAGUGGUGGCCCACGCACCACUUUUCCUUCCUCCGGUGCCCCUAAGUGCCCCUAGUGUGCUGGGUUCGGCAUGGGAUCGCCGGGCCAAAAGAUGGGCCGAACGGGCGCAAUUCGGCGUCCAGGGGGGUGACUGGGGAUAUUCAGAUCCAUAAGAUUCAAAACAAAAGUUUAUUAUGGACAUAAAAACAAUAAUACUUCAAGCAUACUAAUAAAGCAAUUAUGUCUUCUCAAAAUAACAUGGCAAAAGAAAGUUAUCCCUACAAAAUCAUAUAGUCUGGCUAUGCUCCAUCUUCAUCACACAAAGUAUUUCAUCAUGCACAACCCCGAUGACAAGCCAAGCAAUUGUUUCAUACUUUUGGUGUUCUCAAACUUUUUCAACUUUCAUGCAAUACAUGAGCGUGAGCCAUGGAUAUAGCACUAUAGGCGGAAUAGAAUAUGGUGGUUGUGGAGAAGACAAAAAAGAAGGAGAAAGUCUCACAUCAACUAGGCGUAUUAACGGGCUAUGGAGAUGCCCAUCAAUAGAUAUCAAUGUGAGUGAGUAGGGAUUGCCAUGCAAUGGAUGCACUAGAGUUAUAAGUGUAUGAAAGCUCAAAAAGAAACUAAGUGGGUGUGCAUCCAACUUGCUUGCUCACGAAGACCUAUUGCAAUUUGAGGAAGCCCGUCACUGGAAUAUACAAGCCAAGUUCUUAUAAUGAAAAAUUCCCACUAGUAUAUGAAAGUGAAAUCAUAGGAGACGCUAUAUCAUGAAGAUCAUGGUGCUACUUUGAAGCACAAGUGUGGAAAAAGGAUAGUAACAUUGUCCCUUCUCUCUUUUUCUCUCAUUUUUUUGUUUGGGCUCUUUGGCCUCUUUUUUGGGGCUCUUUGGCCUCUUUUAUUUUAUAAAGCCUGGAGACUCAUCCCAACUUGUGAGGGAAUCAUAGCUUCCAUCAUCCCUUCCUCACUUGGGACAAUGCUUUAAUAAUUAUGAUCAUCACACUUUUAUUUACUUACAACUCAAGAAUUACAACUCGAUACUAGAACAAAGAUAUGACGGAACGGUGGAAGUUGCAUGGCACUAUAUCUCGGAAUGGCUAUGGAAAUGCCAUAAUAGGUAGGUAUGGUGGCUGUUUUGAGGAAGGUAUAUGGUGGGUGUAAUGCACGAGAGAGUUACGCGGUACUAGAGAGGCUAGCAAUGGUGGACGGGUGAGAGUGCGUAUAAUCCAUGGACUCAACAUUAGUCAUAAAGAACUCACAUACUGAUUGCAAAAAAAUGUAUUAUUCAUUGAAACAAAGUACUACAUGCAUGAUCCUAGGGGGAUAGAUUGGUAGGAAAAGACCAUCGCUCGUCCCCGACCACCACUCAUAAGGAAGACAAUCAAAAAAUAAAUCAUACUCCGACUUCAUCACAUAGCGUUCACCAUACGUGCAUGCUACGGGAAUCACAAACUUCAACACAAGUAUUUCUACCAAUCCACAAUUACUCACUAGCAUGACUCUAAUAUCACCAUCUUUAUAUCUCAAAACAAUAUGCAAGGAAUCAAACUUCUCAUAGUAUUCAAUGCUCUUUAUAUGAAAGUUUUUAUUAUAUCCCUCUUGGAUGCCCAUCAUAUUAGGACUAAAUUCAUAACCUAAGUAAAUUAUCAUGAUGUUUAAAGACUCUCAAAAUAAUAUAAGUGAAGCAUGAGAGUUCAUCAAUUUCUAUAAAAUAAAGCCACCGCCGUGCUCUAAAAAGAUACAAGUCACUGGUACAGCGAGGUGCUAUACAAACGGUUUUUAACCCCUUUCCGCGACGACGUUUGGAACCGUCACCUAGUGAGUGACUGAGACAGGGGGGUCCUUCCCACACGACCCAGAAACCCUCGGGGAUAUGCCCUCCUGGCACACACGCUCGGCAAAAUGAGGUCAUGUGCGACUGGCGAGCGACCAAAUACGGUUAUACGUACAGUAGUGCUAAAAAAUACAAUUAUACAGGCGAAAUCAUUUCUGGUCGUAAGUACAUCCCACACAGUCAGUCCCCAGUAAACGUUUCCGUUCGUAUGUACAUCCCACACAGUCGCUCCAAGGAAAACAUUUGCGGAAGGUCGCUUAACAUAGACAGAUUUCAUGAGAAUGUCGUGUGUGAUCGUUCAUUGAUCCAACAUGGUUUAUUCCUAGAAACUGUGUGCGUUGCCUGAGGUCAUCGCCCACGGUGUUUUCUCAAUAAUCGUUUGCAAUAGGAAAACCCAAUUAGCAGGCUAAUUGCACUAUUAUUAAUAAUCCAUUUAUUAAUCUAAUUGACAUUCAUAUUAAGCACAUAAUAUAUUUCAUUUCCAUAUUAAGGAAGCAGGAUUUCAUAAUUGAAAUACAUCCGAGUACAACAUGAUAUAGCUUCAUCACUCAGCUACCCCAUUACACAACUGCACUAGCACCAAGUUUCACAUGCAACAUCUAGAACCUUUCGAAAUUAGCAUCAUAGAUGGUACAUAGAUAGAUGCAUCUCAUCUGGAAACCUGCUGAAGCGGAAGGUGAAUAUUGAGCCUUCAUUCGUGUUGAAGGUCUUUGCAACUUUAGGCCAGUGCCUGUGGAUGAUUGACCGUCCAUCCUUCGUCAUCUUCAGGAACACUUCAAUAUUGAACCGUGGGUGUUGUAUGAAAACUUUCCUCGCCUCCUGGCCAUAGAGGUGGUUUGAGAGGUAAUCAUCAGUGAACUGCUUUGGAAAGGCCUAAAAACAAGGAUGUGCAUAAAUAUCUUCUCUAUAUUUGAAAUGGGGCAAAGGAAUAAAUAAGGCAAGGUAUAAUAUUUAGUACCAUCUUGUAGUGAACUGAUAUCUUCUUCAUUGUGCAGACAAAGAUUUUUGUUGUUUUUUGCCGCUAAUUUCUUUAUCCUAACAAUAUUUCUCAGUUUCUUGACUUGAUUGAUAUUCAUGGACAACUCAUUUCCCCAUAUGCAAAAAGGGUCGAACAAUGGGUCAAAACCUCUGGCAGCAGGACCUACAUGUGCAAGACCAAAUUGUUAAAAACCUAGAUAUUAGAAUGAUUCCUACAAUUGCACAAUAAUGUGUUAUUAGACAACGGACCAUGCACGUGAUAACCUCGAUUGUAAACCUCAGUGCUUCCCAUUGUUUUCCUGCAACAUAUAUAAGGUAGUUAGUCAUCAGGUUAAGUAAGGGUUCGCAAGCUAUCAGUAAAAUAUGUUGAUGAAAAAUAAGCACAUUGCAGAUUCAUCAGAUUAAUUAAAGCCACAUGGAAAACCCAUUUAUCCAAACCAAGCAUGAUUAAGAAUUAGGAAAUAUAGCACUUGUAUAUGUUUCUCAUGUAUUAAGUGCAGCCAAAUUCGAUUUAUUCCUCACAUGCACAACAAUACAAAAUUCUACCCACGACAAUUGGACAUCACAUUGCAAAAAUGAACUAAGCAGUUAACUAAACACCACAACAAAUGAACCAAACGUUAAGUGAGCACCACAUUGCACAAUAUAACAUACUCCUAAUAGAAGACCAGACAAUUAACCAAACCAAGCAUGCUUAACAACUUGGAAAUAUAGCAAUUGUAUUUGUUUCUCAUGUAUUUAGUACAACCAAAUUCGAUUUAUUUCUCACAUGGUAUAUACAAUAACAGAAUGCAGCCACAACAAUUGAACAUCGCAUUGCAGAAUUGAACCAAGCAGUUAACUAAACACCACAACAAAUGAACCAAGCGGUAAAUAAGCACCACAUUGCACAAUAUAACAUACUCCUAAUAGAAGAUCAGAGAGUUAAACAAACCAAGCAUGCUGAACAACUUGGAAAUAUAGCAAUUGUAUUUGUUUCUCAUGUAUUUAGUACAACCAAAUUCGAUUUAUUUCUCACAUGGUAUACAAUAACAGAAUGCACCCACAACAAUUGAACAUCGCAUUGCAGAAUUGAACCAAACAGUUAACUAAACACCACAACAAAUGAACCAAACGUUAACUGAGCACCACAUUGCACAAUAUAACAUACUCCUCAUAGAAGAUCAGAUAGUUGACCAAACCAAGCAUGAUUGACAACUUGGAAAAUUGCACCCUCAAGAAUUAAACAUCACAUUUGUAGAAUUGAACAAAAUAGUUAACUGAACACCCGCAUUGCACGACAUAUAUAACAUAUACACUAGAGCAGAAGAUUGCAUGGUAAAAGUAGAUAGCAUAAUUCACUAGAAUUUGUUAAGGAAAGGCAGUAGCUAGCAAACUGAACAUGGGUCCUUAUAGUGAGCUAAUAAGACAAGCUACUCCUUAUUGUCGGAGAUAUCGAUGACGAUUGGCUCCUUGGACAUGGAAGAGGGCGAGGCCUCCACAUCGUGGGUGCCCUCGUCGUAGUGGUGAGUUGCUUGAGCCGCUCUGGGCACCAACCUGCUGGCUCUCUAGAUGAGGUAAGCACGUGCACGCUGAGAAAACACCUUGUAGUCUUCGUCGAAGGCACCGAGGGUGGCCCCGAGAAAACGCCAUGAACUGUUGUUUAAAGCAGCCAUCCGCGUUGCGGCGUCGGCGCGUGAGGCGUCGAUGGUGGCCUCGACGGCGAGGUGAUCCUCCAAGAUCUGGGGGUCGGCACGAAUGGCAGCCAUCGCGGCCUCAUCCGCACGUGCGGCCGCGAUUUGCUUCUCCCUGCCAAAUGCUCCUUGAGAUCCUGGUUAUACUACGUGCACCAUGGCUUAGGGCGGCGCUUAGUUGGUGGAGGGGUCGGUGAUUUGGGUGGAAAGUGUCGCGCUGGCGGUCGGGGCAUGUGGGAUGUGGAAGGAGGAGGAUAAUGGGGGUCGGGUGUGGAUUACCUGCCUAGAUAGGCGAGGCCGAGCAGCGUGAAGGAGGGUCGCCGGUGAGGAGGUGGCACUGCAAGCAAGGAGUGAAGGUUUCAACUUGGAAAGGAAGGCGGAAACAGGGGAAAUGUGUCUUUUCGUAAGGGGGAGGGGCGGGGAGGUAGAUAUUUCUGCGGAAGCCGAAAAUUUGAAAUCGCUUCAGCGAAAAAACUGGCGCACAAGUGCCAUCAGACACGGUCCCUUAUUCAGACGGGGCUGUGGACUGUAGCCGUCACACCUUCUCGCGUAAGCCGUAUGCGUACUAUACUCCGACGGUGCUCCAAGAUAAACUGUGUGGAAUCUACUUGAUUUUUCGUCUUGAUUUGAAUUACAUAAUGGGGUCACAGCGGCAAUGGACGGUGUUUGAAUUGCUAGACCUUUUAUCUGCAGUGAACAUGCAACUAUGUGUGUGUCGUAAAAAAUUGGAAUUAUUCAGGGUUCGUUUGGAAAUUUUAUACAUUAAAUUAGUUUUCUACCCAUUUCAGGUGCACAAUUCAAAAUUAAAGCACAUGCACAUGCUUCGGUGCACCAACAUGGGUUUUAAAAUCAUAUAUGUGUCAAUGGGUUUAUGCUUAUGUCCCAUGCAAGAAAUUGAAGGAAAUAUGCCCUAGAGGCAAUAAUAAAGUUAUUAUUUAUUUCCUUAUUUCAUGAUAAAUGUUUAUUAUUCAUGCUAGAAUUGUAUUAACCUGAAACUUAGUACAUGUGUGAAUACAUAGACAAACAAAGCGUCCCUAGUAUGCCUCUACUUGACUAGCUCGUUAAUCAAAGAUGGUUAAGUUUCCUAGCCAUAGACAUGUGUUGUCAUUUGAUGAACGGGAUCACAUCAUUAGAGAAUGAUGUGAUGGACAAGACCCAUUCGUUAGCUUAGCAUUAUGAUCGUUUCAGUUUCAUUGCUACUGCUUUCUUCAUGACUUAUACAUGUUCCUCAGACUAUGAGAUUAUGCAACUCCCGAAUACCGGAGGAACACCUUGUGUGCUAUCAAACGUCACAACGUAACUAGGUGAUUAUAAAGAUGCUCUACAGGUGUCUCCAAAGGUGUUUGUUGGGUUGGCAUAGAUCGAGAUUAGGAUUUGUCACUCCGUGUAUCGGAGAGGUAUCUCUGGGCCCUCUCGGUAAUGCACAUCACUAUAAGCCUUGCAAGCAAUGUGACUAAUGAGUUAGUUGCGGGAUGAUGCAUUACGGAACGAGUAAAGAGACUUGCUGGUAACGAGAUUGAACUAGGUAUGAUGAUACCGACGAUCGAAUAUCGGGCAAGUAACAUACCGAUGACAAAGGGAACAACGUAUGUUGUUAUGCGGUUUCACCGAUAAGGAUCUUCGUAGAAUAUGUAGGAGCCAAUAUGAGAAUCUAGGUUCCGCUAUUGGUUAUUGACCAGAGAUGUGUCUCGGUCAUGUCUACUAGUUCUCGAACCCGUAGGGUCCGCACGCUUAACGUUCGAUGACGAUUUGUAUUAUGAGUUAUGUGAUUUGAUGUACCGAAGGUUGUUCAGAGUCCCGGAUGAGAUCACGGACAUGAAGAGGAGUCUCGUAAUGGUUGAGAGGUAAAGAUUCAUAUAUUGGAAGGUUGCAUUCGGACAUCAGAAUGGUUCCAAGUGAUUCGGGCAUUUUUCCGGAGUACCGGGAGGUUACCGGAACCCCUCGGGGAAAGAUAUGGGCCUUGUGGGCCAUAGGAGGGAGGCUAACCAGCCCACAAGGGGCUGGUGCGCCCCCCACAAGGGAGGAGUCCGAAUUGGACUUCGGAAGGGGGCGCCAACCCCCUUUCCUUCUCCUAUUCCCUCUCCUUCCCCUUUUCCCCCUCCGGUAGAAGGAAAAAUGGUGGGGCCGAAUCCUACUAGGACUGGAGUCCUAGUAGGACUCCCCUCUCCCUGGUGCGCCCCUUGUUGGCCGGCCUCCUCCGCCCCUCCUUUAUAUACGGGGGCAGGGCACCCCAAAGACACAACAGACAAUCUCUUAGCCGUGUGUGGUGCCCCCCUCCACAGUUUUACACCUCGGUCAUAUCGUCGUAGUGCUUAGGCGAAGCCCUCCGCCGGUAACUUCAUCAUCACCGUCACCACACCGUCGUGCUGACGGAACUCUCCCUCGGCCUCAUCUGGAUCAAGAGUUCGAGGGACGUCACCGAGCUGAACGUGUGCAGAUCACGGAGGUGUCGUGCGUUCGGUACUUGAUCGGUUGGAUCGCGAAGACUUCGACUACAUCAACCGCGUUACUAAACGCUUCCGUUUUCGGUCUACGAGGGUACAUGGACAACACUCUCCCUCUCGUUGCUAUGCAUCACCUAGAUAGAUCUUGCGUGAUUGUAGGAUUUUUUUUUUGAAAUUACUGCGUUCCCCAACAGAAAUGGGGAUGAAUUUCGAACACCACGGCACCGUGGCUCUCCGACAAAUGUUGAGGUGCUUUUGUAAUUCUAGUAAAUCCAAAACCCAUCUGAAAUUCAUGAACCUUGGCAUGCUAUCAUGGAAUGGCAUCAACAUGCUGGGGUAAAAAAUAUUGUCCCAUUUGGGGUAGGUUGUGAAGCUUCUCACAAACCAGAGCUUCUCACAAGAAAGCUUCACGGUUCCAUUAGGGAAACGUGUCACCUUUGUGGACAAAACGAUAUUCGUCGGCUUUUCUUCCUUUCAAUUUUUUCCUGGUGUCCACAUAGAACAACAGGAGUGUCGUGUUAAAUUUUGGAUUUUUUUCGGGGAUCGUUUGGACAAUUUUAUACUUUAAUUGAGUUUUCUAGGCAUUUAUGUGCAUAAUUCAAAAUUGAACUACAUGCACAUGCUCCAGUCCAUAAAAACGGGUUGCAAAAUCAAAUGUUUGUCUUUGGUUUGCAAGAUUAGGUCACAUGCAAGAAAUGAGAACGAAUGUCAAACACCUUGACACUGUCGCUCGGCCGCUAACAUUGAGAUACAUGGUUUUAAAAUUCUAGUAAAUCAAAAACUCGUCUGAAAUUUAUGAAACUUGACAUGAUAUCAUGGAAAGGCAGCGACAUGCCGGGGUAAAACUAUUGUCCCAUUUGGAGCAAGUGUGGGUAUAAGCUUCUCGCAAACCAGAGCUUCUGUCACAACAAGCCUGAUGGUUUCGGUAGGGUACGUGCCACCUUGGGGGAUGAAACGAUAUAUGUUGCCUCUUCUUACUUUCAAAAUGUUUCUCAUGUCAACAUAGAACAACACGAGUGUUGUGUCAAUUUUUGGGAUUUUUUGGGGUUCGCUUGGACAUUUUUAUACAUUAACUGAGUUUUCUAUGCAUUCAUGUGCAUAAUUCAAAUUUGAACUACAGGCACAUGUUCUAAUGCAUAUAAAUUAGUUGGAAAUUCAAAUUUGUGUCCUUGGUUGCAUGCUUCGGUCCCAUGCAAGAAAUGGAAAUGAAUGUCAAACACCCUGGCACCGUCACUCAGCCGCAAACAUUGAGAUACCUGGUUUUUAAAUUCUAGUAAAUCCAAAGCUCGUCUGAAAUUCAUGAAACUUGGCAUGCUAUCAUGGAGCGGCAUCAACAUGCCAUGGUAAAUUUUUUGUCCCAUUUGGGGCAGGUUUGGGGAUAUGCUUCUCACAAACCAGAGCUUCUCACAACAAGCCUGAUGGUUUCGGUAGGGAACGUCCCGCCUUUGAGGACGAAAUGGUAUCCAUUGUCUCUUAUUGCUUUCAAAAAAAUUCUCGUGUCAACAUAGAACAACAGGAGUGUUGUGUCAAUUUUUGGGAUUUUUGGGGUUCGUUUGGACAUUUUUAUGCAUUAAUUGAGUUUUCAAUGCAUUUAUGUGCAUAAUUCAAAUUUAAACUACAUGCACAUGCUCUAAUGCAUAUAAAUUGGUUGAAAUUUGAAAUAUGUGUCCUUGGUUGCAUGCUUAGGUCCCAUGCAAGAAAUGGUAAUGAAUGUCAAACACCCUGCCACUGUCACUCGGCCGCAAACAUUGAGAUACCUGGUUUUUAAAUUCUAGUAAAUCCAAAACUCGUCUGAAAUUCAUGAAACUUGGUAUGCUAUCAUGGAGCGGCAUCAACAUGUCGUGGUAAAUUUUUUGUCCCAUUUGGGGCAGUUUUGGGUAUAAGUUUCUAACAAACCAGAGCUUCUCACAACAAGCCUGAUGGUUUCGGUAGGGAACGUCCCACCUUUGGGGACGAAACGAUAUCCGCUGCCUCUUAUUGCUUUCAAAAAAUUUCUAGCGUCAACAUAGAACAACAUGAGUGUUGUGUUGAAUUUUGGAAUUUUUCGGGGUUCGUUUGGACAUUUUUAUACAUUAACUGGGUUUUCUAGGCAUUUUAUGUGCAUAAUUCAAAUUUGAACUACAUGCACAUGCUCCAGUGCAUAUAAAUUGGUUGGAAAAUCAAACAUGUGUCCUUGGGUGCAUGCUUAGGUCCCAUGCAAUAAAUAGGAAUGAAUUUCAAACACCAGGGCACCGUUGAUUGCCAGCAAAACGUUGAGAUACUUUGUUUUAAAAUUCUAGUAAAUCCAAAACUCGUCUGAAAUUCAUGAAACUUGGCAUGUUAUCAUGGAAUGGCACCCGACAUGCUGUGGUAUUUUUCGUGUCCAUUUUGAGAGAAGGCGCACUCGAAUAACAACCAACAAAGGCAUUUUGAAAAAAUAGCUGCCACUUUAAUAUCUCAAACAUUUGUAUAAUUCAAAUCAUGGGUGUUCUGUUAACCAUUUACGUGACGCCACGUGUCUUCGUUUUAAUGGCUAUAGGAGGUGCCGGCGGACGACUGCUUGACUGAACGGGAGGCGUGCGAGCGCAGUCCGGUGCGCGGGCUCACCGAGAGGCUCACCGGGAAGCGUGCGAGCUGUUCAACGUAGGAUUUGUGCAUCUCUUCAAUGCAAAUAGUUCAGAUUGAAUACGGUAUGAGCUGUUUAACCGUGCCACGCUUCAGUUAAGCAGUAAAGUGGCAAAAAAUAAAUCAAAAAAUAUACGUGCUGCCACACGCCCCGUGUGUCGUGCGAGCAGGCGUGAGUUGACGGGACGCAUGCGAGCAGUCUGCCCCGCAGGCAUGCCGGAAGGCGUGCGUGCAGGUGUGCGUAUUGACGGGGAGGCGUGCGAGUAGCUGUGUGAAAUGAUGGUAGGAAAGGCAGAAGUCCGCCGCGCAGGCUCACCGGGCGAGACAGCUUUUGACCGCUGCCUGCCUCGCUCCCACUGGUCCGUAUUAAUUGCGUGCUGGAGCCGCCGGCCUAAUAGGCAGCCGCACCCCCGGUCCACAGUGGUCACCAACGUCUGGACUCUGGAGUGUAUGACGAUGCCGCUGAAGCGCACCGUCGGAGGGAGUGGCGACGCCGGGGCUAGUGAAGCACCCGCACAAUGCGUGAGGCUAGGGAUAGAGGUUGCCUUCACCGCCGACGAGGUCUCGCGUGGGCAGCAGCACGACCUUGACUUCGUCGGCGCCGUCUGAUACGUCUCCAACGUAUCUAUAAUUUAUGAAGUAUUCAUGCUAUUAUAUUAUCUGUUUUGGAUGUUUAUGGGCUUUAUUAAACACUUUUAUAUUACUUUUGGGACUAACCUAUUAACCCAGAGCCCAAUGCCAGUUUCUGUUUUUUCCCUUGUUUUAGUGUUUCGCAGAAAAGGAAUAUCAAACGGAGUCCAAACGGAAUGAAACCUUCGGGAGAGUUAUUUUUGGAACGGAAACAAUCCAGGGGACUUGGGGUGUACGUAAGGGAAGCAGCAAGGAAGCCACGAGGUAGGGAGGCGCGCCCUACCCCCCUGGGCACGCCCCCCACCCUCGUGGGCCCCUCGUGGCUCCCCUAACCGACUUCUUUCGCCUAUAUAUGUCCAUAUACCCUAAAAACAUCGGGGAACAGAAUAGAUCAGGAGUUCCGCCGCCGCAAGCCUCUGUAGCCACCAAAAACCAAUCGGGACCCUGUUCCGGCACCCUGCCGGAGGGGGGAACCCUCACCGGUGGCCAUCUUCAUCAUCCCGGUGCUCUCCAUGACGAGGAGGGAGUAGUUCACCCUCGGGGCUGAGGGUAUGUACCUGUAGCUAUGUGUUUGAUCUCUCUCUCUCUCUCUCGUGUUCUUGAGGUGGUACGAUCUUGAUGUAUUGCGAGCUUUGCUAUUAUAGUUGGAUCUUAUGAUGUUUCUCCCCCUCUACUCUCUUGUAAUGGAUUGAGUUUUCCCUUUGAAGUUAUCUUAUCAGAUUGAGUCUUUAAGGAUUUGAGAACACUUGAUGUAUGUCUUGCGUGGGAUACCCGUGGUGACAAUGGGGUAUUCUAUUGAUUCACUUGAUGUAUGUUUUGGUGAUCAACUUGCGGGUUCCGCCCAUGAACCUAUGCAUAGGGGUUGGCACACGUUUUCGUCUUGACUCUCCGGUAGAAACUUUGGGGCACUCUUUGAAGUACUUUGUGUUGGUUGAAUAGAUGAAUCUGAGAUUGUGUGAUGCAUAUCGUAUAAUCAUGCCCACGGAUACUUGAGGUGACAUUGGAGUAUCUAGGUGACAUUAGGGUUUUGGUUGAUUUGUGUUUUAAGGUGUUAUUCUAGUACGAACUCUAUGAUAGAUCGAACGGAAAGAAUAGCUUCGUGUUAUUUUACUACGGACUCUUGAAUAGAUCGAUCAGAAAGAAUAACUUUGAGGUGGUUUCGUACCCUACCAUAAUCUCUUCGUUUGUUCUCCGCUAUUAGUGACUUUGGAGUGACUCUUUGUUGCAUGUUGAGGGAUAGUUAUAUGAUCUAGUUAUGUUAUUAUUGUUGAGAGAACUUGCACUAGUGAAAGUGUGAACCCUAGGCCUUGUUUCCUAGCAUUGCAAUACCGUUUACGCUCACUUUUAUCAUUAGUUACCUUGCUGUUUUUAUAUUUUCAGAUUACAAAAACCUAUAUCUACCAUCCAUAUUGCACUUGUAUCACCAUCUCUUCGCCGAACUAGUGCACAUAUACAAUUUACCAUUGUAUUGGGUGUGUUGGGGACACAAGAGACUCUUUGUUAUUUGGUUGCAGGGUUGUUUGAGAGAGACCAUCUUCAUCCUACGCCUCCCACGGAUUGAUAAACCUUAGGUCAUCCACUUGAGGGAAAUUUGCUACUGUCCUACAAACCUUUGCACUUGGAGGCCCAACAACGUCUACAAGAAGAAGGUUGUGUAGUAGACAUCAAGCUCUUUCUUGGCGCCGUUGCCGGGGAGGUGAGUGCUUGAAGGUAUAUCUUUAGAUCUUGCAAUCGAAUCUUUUUGUUUCUUGUUUUAUCACUAGUUUAGUCUAUAAAAGAAAACUACAAAAAAAGGGAAUUGAGGGUGCCUCAUAUGCUUCAUCUUUUUAAUGUCUUCCGUGAAAAUAAGGAUUCCGAUAAUUGUGCUCAAUUGCUAGAGGAAGAAUGCAUUAAAAUGUUUGGCACUAAAUCUUUGAAUGAUGAGCAUGAUUGCAAUGUUGUUAGUAUGAAUUCUUCGAAUACCCAUGAUGCUAAUGAUAUGCAAAGCCACAAGCUUGGGGAAGCUAUGUUUGAUGAAGAUGAUAUUUUUUGUCCCCCAAGUUUUGAUGAGCAAAUAUAUUAUGAUGAUAGCAUGCCUCCUAUCUAUGAUGAUUAUUGUGAUGAAAUUUAUGCUAUAAAGAGUAAUGAUAUCCAUGAAACUUGUCAUCAUGAUUUUAAUGCUCAAAUUGAUUAUGUGAAUAAAGUAUCACAUGAUAGUUAUUUUGUUGAGUUUGCUCCCACUACUAUUCAUGAGAAUAAAUUUGCUUAUGUGGAGAGUAAUAAAAUUUAUAUGCUUGUGCAUCAUGAAAAGAAUGCUUUGUGUGAUGGUUAUAUUGUUGAAUUCAUUCAUGAUGCUACUGAAAAUUAUUAUGAGGGAGGAAUAUAUGCUUGUAGGAAUUGCAAUAAUAUCAAGUUUCCUCUCUAUGUGUUGAAAAUCUUGAAGUUAUGCUUGUUUUACUUUCCUAUGCUAGUUGAUUCUUGUUCCCAUAAGUUGUUUGCUCACAAAAUCCCUAUGCAUAUUAAGUGGGUUAGGCUUAAAUGUGCUAGUCAUAUGCUUCAUGAUGCUCCCGUUAUGUUUCAAUUCUUAUCUUUUAUGUGAGCAUCAUUAUCAUCAUCAUGCCUAGCUAAAAAGGCAUUAAAGAAAAGCGCUUGUUGGGAGACAACCCAAUAUUUACCCUUACUGUUUUUGUGUGUUCACAUGAUUAUGCUACUGUAUUAAUCAUGUUUUAUAGCUUUUGUUUCAAUAAAGUGCCAAGUAAGACCUUUAGGAUAGCUUACGGUGAUAGUUAAUUUGAUCUUGCUGAAAAACAGAAACUUUUGCGCACACGAGAUUAGUUUUCAUAAAUCACAGGAACGUGCUUUUCAGUUGAUUCUUUUUGCAGUAGAUCAAUAAACAAAUUAUAUAGGACUUCCUAAUUUGGUAGAAUUUUUUAGGUUCCAGAAGUAUACGUUUGAUACAGAUUACUAAAGACUGUUCUGUUUUUGACAGAUUCUGUUUUCUAUGUGUUGUUUGCUUAUUUUGAUGAAUCUAUGAGUAGUAUCGGAGGGUAUGAACCAUAGAGAAGUUGGAAUACAGUAGAUAUUACACCAAUAUGAAUUUAGAAUGAGUUCACAACAGUACCUAAGUGGUGAUUUAUUUUCUUAUACUAACGGAGCUUACGAGUUUUCUGUUAAGUUUUGUGUUGUGAAGUUUUCAAGUUUUGGGUGAAGUUUCGAUGGACUAUGGAAUAAGGAGUGGCAAGAGCCUAAGCUUGGGGAUGCCCAAGGCACCCCAAGGUAAUAUUCAAGGACAACCAAGAGCCUAAGCUUGGGGAUGCCCCGGAAGGCAUCCCCUCUUUCGUCUUCGUUUAUCGGUAACUUUACUUGGAGCUAUAUUUUUAUUCACCACAUGAUAUGUGUUUUGCUUGGAGCGUCAUUUUCUUUUGUUAGUAUUUUCUUGCUGUUAUUUAGAAUAAUGUUUUGCAUCUUUAUUUUCAAUAAAAUGUCAAGGAUAUCCUUUACCAUGCUUAUUUUGCAAGUAUACAUGUUGCUGUUUCAAAACAGAAAGUUUACCGCUGUUGCAAAAAUUCCCUAGAAAAGUCAGAAUAUCAUAAAAUGUUGAAACUUUUUGAAUAUUGAGCUCUGAUAAAUUUACUACAGUGGGAAUUUUCGUUCAUAAUUUUUGGAGCUAGGAAAGUAUUGAUACUCUUGCAUUCUUUACAGACUGUACUGUUUUGGCAGAUUGCUGUUAUGUUUGCAUUGUUUGCACAUGUUUGCUUGUUUAAUGACUCUAUUUGAGGAUAGGAGUAUUAGAUAUGCAGAGACAUUUAGUAUGCAAUGUUGAAUGAUAAUUUUUUUGAUUUGCUACAGUAGAGAAUUAUAAGGUUUUUGCAUUGGUUUAUACUAACUUAUCUAACGAGUUCUUGUUGAGUUUGGUGUGGAUGAAGCUUUCGAGAUUUAGGAAACCGUGAUAUAAAAGGAAUUAAGGAGACACAAAAGUUCAAGCUUGGGGAUGCCCAAGGCACCCCAAGAUAAUAUUUUAAGAAGUCUCAAGCAUCUAAGCUUGGGGAUGCCCCGGUAGGCAUCCCGCCUUUCCUCUUCAACAAUUAUCGGUUAGUAUCGGUUGAACCUAAGUUUUUGCUUCUUCACAUGAUAUGUGCUAUCCUUGAAAUGUCAUUUUAUUUUGUUUUGCUUGCUGUUUGAAUAAAAUACCAAGAUCUGAAAUUAUUAAAUGAGAGAGAGUCUUCACAUAGCUAUGUAAUUAUUUAACUACUCAUUGAUCUUCACUUAUAUCUUUUUGGAAUAGUUUGUCAUUUACUCGUGUGCUUCACUUUUAUCCUAUGAGUAAAUGGUUGAAUGAAUUGAAUAUCAUAAAUCUGAAAUUAUAUAUGUUUCAUAUGCUUAUCCCAUGGGGAGUAAUGACUUCACAUAUAAUAAUUAGAGGUGGUAAAUUUAUUGAAGUUUAGCAAACAUUGUAUUGGUCACUUGAACAAUUCAUGAAAGAAUAUCGAAGGAAGAGAGAUUUCACAUAUAAUAUACUAUCUUGGACAUCUUUUGUAAUUGUGAGCACUCAUUAAAAUAUGACAUGCUAAAAGGUUGAUGUUGGACAAGGAAGACAACGUAAUGGGUUAUGUUUUCUUAUAUCCGAAAUAAAGUAUAUUAUCAUGGAUCGCCCAACACGUUGAGCUUGCCUUUCCCCCUCAUGCUAGCCAAAUUAUUUGCACCAAGUAGAGAUACUACUUGUGCUUCCAAACAUCCCUUAAACCAGUAUUGCCAUGAGAGUCCACCAUACCUACCUAUGGAUUGGGUAAGAUCCUUCAAGUAAGUUGUCAUCGGUGCAUGCAAUAAAAAUUGCUCUCUAAAUAUGUAUGAUCUUUUAGUGUGGAGAAAAUAAGCUUUAUACGAUCUUGUGAUAUGGAAGCAAUAAAAGUGACGGACUGCAUAAUAAAGGUCCCUAUCACAAGUGGCAAUAUAAAGUGACGUUCCCUCGCAUUAAGGUUUUGUGCAUCCAACUAUAAAAGCACAUGGCAACCUCUGCUUCCCUCUGCGAAGGGCCUAUCUUUUACUUUUAUGCAAGAGUCAUGGUGAUCUUCACCUUUCCUUUUUCCUUUUAUCCUUUGGCAAGCACCUCGUGUUGGAAAGAUUCUGAUAUAUAUAUCCAAUUGGAUGUAAGGAAUCAUGAGUUAUUAUUGUUGACAUUACCCUUGAGGUAAAAGGUUGGGAGGCGAAUAUAAGCCCCUAUCUUUCUCUGUGUCUGAUUAAAACUUUGAACCCAUAAAUAUCGCGUGAGUGUUACCAAUUGUGAAACACUAAAUGAUAGUUGAGUAUGUGGAGUUUGCUAAAUCAAAGCUCUGACAUAGACUCUUCCUGAAAAUAAGAUGAAUUGUAAUUGUUUGAUGACUGAUAACACGGUUUGUUAGUUUUCAAGAAGGUUUAUGAUCUAUACUUUAACAUGUGAAUAGCUUGUUACUUGAUCAUGAGAAGCUUUAUGAGAUGAGCUACUAUUAUGAUAUAUAAUGAUGCUAGAAAAGGUGAAUGAAAUUAUCAUUGAUCAAACUUGUGCACCUGCUAGCAUUCACACUUCAUAAAUUAUUUCUUUUAUCAUUUACCUACUCGAGGACGAGCAGGAAUUAAGCUUGGGGAUGCUGAUACGUCUCCAACGUAUCUAUAAUUUAUGAAGUAUUCAUGCUAUUAUAUUAUCUGUUUUGGAUGUUUAUGGGCUUUAUUAAAAACUUUUAUAUUACUUUUGGGACUAACCUAUUAACCCAGAGCCCAGUGACAGUUUUUGUUUUUUCCCUUGUUUCAGUGUUUCGCAGAAAAGGAAUAUCAAACGGAGUCCAAACGGAAUGAAACCUUCGGGAGAGUUAUUUUUGGAACGGAAGCAAUCCAGGGGACUUGGAGUGUACGUAAGGGAAGCAACGAGGAAGCCACGAGGUAGGGAGGCGCGCCCUACCCCCCAUGGGCGUGCCCCCACCCUCGUGGGCCCCUCGUGGCUCCCCUAACCGACUUCUUUCGCCUAUAUAUGUCCAUAUACCCUAAAAACAUCGGGGAACAGAAUAGAUCGGGAGUUCCGCCGCCACAAGCCUCUAUAGCCACCAAAAACCAAUCGGGACCCUGUUCCGGCACCCUGCCGGAGGGGGGAACCCUCACCGGUGGCCAUCUUCAUCAUCCCGGCGCUCUCCAUGACGAGGAGGGAGUAGUUCACCCUCGGGGCUGAGGGUAUGUACCUGUAGCUAUGUGUUUGAUCUCUCUCUCUCGUGUUCUUGAGGUGGUACGAUCUUGAUGUAUCGCGAGCUUUGCUAUUAUAGUUGGAUCUUAGGAUGUUUCUCCCCCUCUACUCUCUUGUAAUGGAUUGAGUUUUCCCUUUGAAGUUAUCUUACCGGAUUGAGUCUUUAAGGAUUUGAGAACACUUGGUGUAUGUCUUGCGUGGGAUACCCGUGGUGACAAUGGGGUAUUCUAUUGAUUCACUUGAUGUAUGUUUUGGUGAUCAACUUGCGGGUUCCGCCCAUGAACCUAUGCAUAGGGGUUGGCACACAUUUUCGUCUUGACUCUCCGGUAGAAACUUUGGGGCACUCUUUGAAGUACUUUGCGUUGGUUGAAUAGAUGAAUCUGAGAUUGUGUGAUGCAUAUCGUAUAAUCAUGCCCACGGAUACUUGAAGUGACAUUGGAGUAUCUAGGUGACAAUAGGGUUUUGGUUGAUUUGUGUCUUAAGGUGUUAUUCUAGUACGAACUCUAUGAUAGACCGAACGGAAAGAAUAGCUUCGUGUUAUUUUACUACGAACUCUUGAAUUGAUCGAUCAGAAAGAAUAACUUUGAGGUGGUUUCAUACCCUACCAUAAUCUCUUCGUUUGUUCUCCGCUAUUAGUGACUUUGGAGUGACUCUUUGUUGCAUGUUGAGGGAUAGUUAUAUGAUCUAGUUAUGUUAUUAUUGUUGAGAGAACUUGCACUAGUGAAAGUAUGAACCCUAGGCCUUGUUUCCUAGCAUUGCAAUACCGUUUACGCUCACUUUUAUCAUUAGUUACCUUGCUGUUUUUAUAUUUUCAGAUUACAAAAACCUAUAUCAACCAUCCAUAUUGCACUUGUAUCACCAUCUCUUCACCGAACUACUGCACCUAUACAAUUUACCAUUGUAUUGGGUGUGUUGGGGACACAAGAGACUCUUUGUUAUUUGGUUGCAGGGUUGUUUGAGAGAGACUAUCUUCAUCCUACGCCUCCCACGGAUUGAUAAACCUUAGGUCAUCCACUUGAGGGAAAUUUGCUACUGUCCUACAAACCUCUGCACUUGGAGGCCCAACAACGUCUACAAGAAGAAGGUUGUGUAGUAGACAUCACCGUCGUGCCCCCCUAGCCGGAGCCGGAGGUCAACAACAACUCCGGCAACGACUGCAACUCCGACAGAAAACCGGUUAGUCAUCUAUAUACCCAUUUGUGCGGCAAACAUAUCAUGUGUUUUCUUUGGUUAACCCCCCCCCCCACCCCGCCCCUCUAUAAUUUUUCUGGAAUACAAAUCCUAUGGUUAUGUUCUCUCAGUCCAUGAAAUCAGAGUAAUUAAGAUCCGUUAGAUGCACGUAGUGUAUUGAUUGUUUGAAUGUUAUCCGUAUAGAGUUAGUGAUUAAUUGUUUGUUCUAUACAAAUGAUUUUUGCUAAUAAUCCGACUAGGGUUAGCUUGCGUGCUAAUAAUUCGUGGCCAUAUCUUGAGAAUUGAUUUUGAAUGUCCUACAUAUAUGUUUGUGCUUUUUUUCUUCCUGAUCUUGAGAAUUGAUUUUGAAUGUCCUACAUGUUAUGCCAUUUUUUUCAUUCAGAUUGGUAUGUACAUAGAUGAGGCUCCGACCAGCGCAGCUGCCGGAUGUAGAUCAUGGAUCCGGCUGUGCGGCCAGAAGCACCCCCUGGACCCGAGGAACCAGUAGAAUCUCCAUCGGAUCGCAUCAGCGAUCUCCCGGACAGCAUCCUUGGGGAGAUCAUCUCCCUUCUCCCCACCAAGGAUGGAUGCCGCACACAAGUCCUCGCAUCUCGGUUGCGCACUCUGUGGCGCACCGCGCCUCUUAAUCUCGACUGUCGUCAGCUAUCUUUCGAUGAUGAUUCUGAACUCCCCGGAGCCAUCAUCUCCUCCCACGAGGGCUCCUUUCAACGCAUAUGCAUCCCGGCAUGCUACCUGCUGGACAUACCCUGCACAGUGGCCGCCUGGCUGACAUCCCGUCAAUUCGAUAAACUCUAGCAGCUUGAGUUCAACCAUUACUAUAGCGAUAGUUUACCACCAAGAGCUGCAUCUGUGCCCUCACCACAGAUGCCCAUCUCAAGGUUUUCCUCCUCUCACCACACCACCACCUUGACCCGGUGCCAUCUAGCAGACUAUCUGGUACAAAUGCUUCGACUGCCACUGCUGAAAAAGCACUUGUAAUUCUGGCAAUGAGCACAAAAGUUUUUGUUUUUCAGCAAGAUCAAAUCAACUAUCACCAUAGACCAUCCCAAAGGUCUUACUUGGCUCAAGCACUAAUUAAAACACCAAAAAAAUUACUACAGAAGUAAUAAUGUGUAUUUAUUGAAAAACAGAACAAAAAACAAAGAACACAAAAAUAAAAUUGGGUUGCCUCACAACAAGCGCUAUUGUUUAACGCCCGUAGCUAGGCAUAAAACAUAGAUCUAGGUAUUGUAAUAGAAGUGAGGGAGAUCAUCCAUGCUCAUCUCAUACUCCCUCCUUUCAGCAAUAAGCUUUCUUUGUGGCAAGCAAAAAUAAUCAAAGGGGCUAGAUUUAAUAGGGUAGGUGUUGGGGAUAUUACUACUGGGCGUAAACCGGCCAGGAGAGGCCGGGUUAACUUCAUCAGUAGUCUAUUAUGUUUGAAGCCCAUGAAGACAGACGGUGACAUUGUGUAAAGGCCCAGAGCCCAGAAAUCGGUUUAAGGCCUGUAGCUAUAACCGGCGUUGAUAUGUAACUUGCAUUGUAAGGUAGAAAGAGCGGAGACCGAUCCGGACACGUUUAUGAGCCGGCCUCGGGACUCUGUAAACCGAAGGGCGACAACCCAUGUAUAUAAGGGGACGACCCGGCGGCGGUUCAGGACAACAGACAACAACUCGAGACUCAGGCAAAGCGUAUUCGCUCCCUGGUCAUCGAAACCCCAUCAAUUCCAGCACAACUAGACGUAGGCUUUUACCUUCAUCGUAAGGGGACGAACUAGUAUAAAACUCGCUUGCGUCCCUUGUCCGCGUUAACCCCUUUAAGCUAACCCGUAGCGAUGACUCCACGACUAAGUCCUUUCAUGAGGACAUCUGCCGUGACAAAACCACGACAGUUGGCGCCUACCGUGGGGCUAUCGCACGAUGGUUUCAAGUUCUUGGAGGGCAGCUUCGAAGGACUCAUGGGUUACGCUGUGGGCCGGAUAACCAAACGUCGUCGCGGCAAGCUCUACGCCGACAAUGCAGGGUGGGGCCCCGAGGCCGACUCAAUCGAGUACGGGUACCGGGUCCCCUUUGGUGGCAUACACGUUUUCAUUGGCAAGAUCGGCGAGCCGGGCCCUGAGCCGGACAUCUGCACCGACCUCGUCGAAAUGGCUCAGCGUGCGCGAUCUGCCCGGGUCAAGCCUGCCAUGAAGCGUGCCUUCGUAGGAGUCAUCCAUGGAGGGGAAUACGAGGACAGAUCGGAAUCUGGUGGUGAGACCGUCGUUUAUUCCGGCGACGAGUCAUCGACCGGAGAGACCGAGUAGUUAUAUCAGCUACAAGAUGGCUGGAUUGGAGGCUGUUCCGAUGGCGACAGUAUUCCAGACCCCUCUGAUCUGCCAAACCGGGUUGGAAUCUUCAUGGCCGGUACACAGCCGGCGCUCCACUCUUCGACCGCAGCAGCAAUGAUCUCCGGAUCAGUAGCGGCGCCGGCAGCCAGGGCAGGAGGCCCUAUGCGGCCGCGGGCUCAGGUUUUAUCUGAUCUAUUUGAUGUGUUGGCAACACUGAUGGCAGAGGCUAACCCAGCGAAUCAGGAUGCGCACAAUGCGGAAAUCACGAAAGUAAAGGAUCAAAUUACUCAGGCCAAGGCCGAUUUGGCAGCUGAGGAUACCAGGAUGGCCGUGGAGCGGGCCGCUUUGGAUGCGCAGGCUUACCGACUUAUGCUGGAUCAGAAUGCAUCGCACGAAGUCCUAAAGAGAAGGCAUCGGUCUCGCCCGCCUCCGGUUUAUGAUGCUAGGAACCUCUUUAACACCCCAGGUGCGGGGACCAGUAACCCGCUGGUAGCAAACCGAGCGGAGGCACCUGGAGCGGGGGCGCCGGUUCAGCCCCGUUUGAUCGAUCCGCCUCAUCAGAACAACAUUGUGACGCAGCCUGUCCCAACACCACCGGGUCAUUACUCUACUCCGAUGGACAAUCUUGUUGCUGCCGCUUCAUUGCUGGAGGCUAUCCCAAUUGAAGGCGAUUCUCCGGCGGCGGUCGAGACGCGUCGGGUUAAAGAGCUUCUUCGGACAGCCUUGGUGCAAUAGGAGGCUUAUUCAUACAGUCGUGAUCAGAUUCAUUCCACCCCCCGUCCAAGCCGGAGUUACAGCAGGCGCAUGGAUGAACCGGCCGUGUCAAGCAAUGCGCGGAACCGUGAACCGCCCCGUGGCCACAACCCGGCAGGGGGCGCUGGUGAUGCUCAGGAACUGGUGGACAGGGCUCGUGCACGCAGGGAGGCCGAGUUAGCGGCGCAGCAUGAAGCCCGUCAGCUUGCUCCGGUUCGUCCAACCACAUCAGUAGAGCCAGGAGUCACCUCUAGUUCCUUGGGGGUGUCGUGUCUUGUACCGGCAUUGCGCAACGUGCGCCUGCCCAAGGAUUUCAAAGGCCCGCGCAAGGUGCCAAAUUACACUGCCGAUUUAUCCCCUGAGACAUGGGUUGAAAGUUAUGAGAUGGCCAUGGAGAUGUUGGACGUGGAUGAUGCGGCAUGUGCAAAGUAUUUUACCAUGAUGUUGGAAGGGAUGGCCCGUACUUGGCUAAAGAGUUUACCGGCGAAUUCUAUCAGGUCAUGGGCCGAGUUAAGAAACUGGUUUAUCCAGAAUUUCAAGGAUACAUGUAAGCAGCCUAUGUCGAUUGUGGACUUAGCUGCCUGUGUCCAGGAGGAAGGAGAGUCAACAACCCGAUGGGUGCGCCGGGUUUCAGAAAUUUUGCAUUCAUCAGACCGCAUCAAUGCGGAUACUGCAGUUCUGACCUUAGAAGGCAAUUGCCGGUUUAAACCUCUGAAGUUGAAGUUGGGACGGCUGAAACGCCAUUGCAAUCACAUCGGAACCCUCAUGGCCGCUUUAGUAAAGUAUGCUGACUCUGAUAGUACCAAGGAUCCUGAGUCUGAUGAUGAUAAGACAGGGAAGGGAAAGAAGAGCGGCAACGCCAAGGGGCACCACCACAACCCGACGGGUCAUGGAAAUGGCGGCAAACGUAAAGCGGAUCACAUCAUGGACUUUGUGGCCAAUACCAGCGCACAGGACAAAGGCCAACGGCGCAAGGGUAAACCGCCCCAGCGCGGUGGAGCACCUAGCCCUAACCCGGACCGCCUGUCUUACCUAUUGAACCAGCCCUGCCCGAAACAUGCACUACAAAAAAUACACUUCCGUGAUGAUACGUGUUUGUCACAGUAGGUCGCAUUUUUUGUCAUGCAUGUACAUCCAUGACAAAUUUAUGACAGAAUCAAGAUAGUCAUACCUGUGCUGUCGUAGAAGUGUUCCAUGACAUUACCAAAAUUAUCAUCACGGAAGUGUCCACUUCCAUGACGAUAAAUCGCGUGUCACAGAAGUGCUUUCGUCAAGGGUGACCGACACGUAGCAUCCACCGUAACGGAACACCGUUAAGCUAUCGGGUCGGGUUUUGGAUCCGAUAACCCGUUAACAGCCCCGACCAAUGGGGAUUUUCCACGUGUAAAAUCAUCAUUGGCUGGAGGAAACACGUGUCGACUCAUCGUUGGGACAGAUGUCAUCCACUCAUUGGACAGAAGGCGCCUAUGAUACGUUGACACGUGGCACGGCCCAACAGAGGCCCAUUCCUGUGAAAAGGCUGGCCCGUUUGACUUGGUCAAAAGAUGGCGGGCCGGCCCAUGGAAAGCCUGUUAACGGCCCGUUCGCAUAUAGCCCAUUUACGGCCCGCUAACCCAAGGCCCGUUACGCCCUAUCCGAAUUAGGCCCAGUAGCGUCAUCUGGACCAUCCAAUAUGAUUCCAGCCCAUUUUCACUUCUGGCCCAUGACGUCUUUCGGCCCAUAUGAGGCUCUAUGUAACUCUUGGCCUAUUAACGGCCCGUGGUGAAACUGGCCCGCAAUGAACAGUGUAUCACUUUACACCCAUUAACGGCCCGUGGUGAAACUGGCCCGUAAUGAACAAUAUAUCACUUUAUACCCAUUAAGGUCCCGUUAUUCAGUUGGGCCGUUUCCAGCAAAUGUUAUCUUUCGGCCUUCUCAGAGCCCAUUUAUUCUUGGGCUCAUUUCCAGUGUUCGUUUACUUACGGCCCGUUACUGUCAUUUUCUGCUUGUGGGCCAAAUUCAGCCCGUGGUUACAUCGGCCCGUUUGUGGUCCGUUAAUACGUUGGGCCAUUUUCAUAGCGUCAUCAAAUACGGCCUAUUAACGAUGGCCCGUUAUGGUCAUACGGCCCAUAUAAGGCCCAUUGAUGAUACGGCCCGUAGAAGCCCCAUUGUUUCUACGGCCCGUAGAAGGUCUACUGUUUCUAUGGCCCGUAGAAGGCCCACUGUUUCUACGGCCCGUAGGAGGCCCAGUGUCACUACAGUAAAUAUUAGCCCAUGGUUAUUGUGGCCUAGUUUUAAAAAGAACUGCACUGACUACAAGCAAACAAAUAAACAAGACAACAAGGAAAUAAAUAAGCAAGCAACUUAUGCUAGGCUAUCACGGUUGUUACACAUAUUACAUCCACUGGGCAUCAAAGUUCGCCACCAGUGCAAAUAUAGGGAACAAAGCAGCAUAUCAUAUACACUGGUUGUCAAAGUUGGCGACCAGCACAAAUAAACGCCGCAGCAAAACAAAUCCAGAACUGAAACCACUUCAGAAGAUCUCAAGAAAUAAUAUCCUGGGUACCCAUAAUGCUGGCAAGAUGCUUAGCAAGCUUAUUAACUUUCUCUUGUUUGGCGCUUAAAUCCUCCAGCGCUUGCUGUUGCACCAGAAAAUAUGCAUCUGAAUUCUGCAGGGACUUCCUCAGUCCUUCAGCUUCCUGUCGCAGCACAUCUGAUCGAUGUCUUUCAACUUUAAGUUGAGACUCAAGAAGACGAACUGAUUCAGGCAGCGAGUUCGAAGAGCUUGUGCCAGCAGUAGUGGCCAGUAACUCGAACACUACAUCAAGACAGGACUUUUGGGUUCCCUCACUGUCGUCAAGAUAGUUUUUAUCAGCUUUCUUGGAGACCAACACGGAUGUCUCACUAUCUUGAACCUUAUCUGCAUUACUUCCUUUACCAUUGGAUAACGCGGUACUGUUCUCCAAUAUUUUGUCCGCAUUCUAAAAGAGAAACAAGCAGACACAUCACAUGUUUACCAUGUUGUAUAUGAAACUCAUUUUGGUAAAUGAGUUCAGUAGUAAAGUGGACAGGAUAACAGCAUGAAACAAACAUAUAUCUAUGUACCAUGGUCACUUUAUGGUCUAUAUCAUUCUAGUUUUUGUUGCCAAAUCAAGAUAGAGACACAGUUCAAAUAAUAUUUUCUCAAGACAAAGCAGAAUAGACAGAAUAUAAGUGUGGGUAACUAUAGAGCAAUAACAACACUUGUAAUGUGCAUGACAUGAGAACAUAACUGUUUAUUCAAUUGAAACUGAAAUCAACAUAGAGCAUGUUACAACAGCAAACCAGUUAAAGAAACAGGUUUAAAACAUACCUGUUGCGCCAUUGGAGUUUCAAUUCCAUCCUUCAAAUUUGAAAAUAGUUGGUAUGAGUAAAUACAGUAAUGCAAGAGCAAAGGAGUAUGAACCAUAGCUACAGAACCUGACCUGAGAACAAAUCUUCUUCUCCUUUAAGCGUUGAGUUGGGAUUCGGAGUGGUGGUCCUCGUGCUUUGGGCACUGCAGUUCCCUUACUAACCACUCGUGUUUGGGUGCUCUGUGGUGGAGACGGUGCUGUGUCAACUGGAACUGGGUUACUAUCUGCCGGGGUUGGGGUUAGAAGGGGUGUAGCUGGUUCUCUGUCCAACUGGGUAGGGGUACAAUCUGCGAGAGUCUGGGUUAUGUGUGGUGGAUCUGGUCCUUGGGCAAGUACAACCGUGGUUCUAUCUGCAUCAACUGGUAGCACUAUCUUUUCUGAAGACCGUGUUGUUACUCCCUUAGAUACUGCCAUCACGCUCUCCAAUUCAAAUGGUUGAUAAACAAGAAAAGUAAUCGAAAGUAUAGACAUUGUAUGAUAGACAGGUGCAAUGGAUAGUGGGGAAUAAAAGAGGGCAUGAAAUAAUUCAUAUUUAUGUUGUCUAACCAAACAGGAUAGCAUGACACAAUUUCACAUAUAUGAUGGCUAACUAAACAGGAUAGCAUGACACAAUUUCACAUUAUGAUGGCUAACUAAAAAAGAUGGAAAGACAUAGUUCAAAACAUGAGACUAUGUAAACAGGAUGACAUGACAUAACUAUAUAAUGUGUUUAUUAAAUAGGUUGGCAUGCCAUAAUUCACAUACAUUCAUGGAUAGAAUGCCAUAAUUCUAAAUAUGAUGACUGUAAACACUAAACAGGAUGAGAUGAUAUAACUAUAUGAUGUCUUUAUUAAAUGGGUUGCCAUGCCAUAAUUCAGAUAGAUGAUGUGUAUGUACUAUGUAAACAUGAUGGCAUGAUAUAAUUCAAAUAUAUGAUUUAUAUAGUAAGCAAGUAAGCAGAUGGCAAUCUAUAUAUGAUGUAAAAACUAAGCAAUGCAAGACAACAUGCAUGACAUGGGUAAUAUAACCCUGCCAAGUUUGGGCAUAGACCUCAGGGGGAAAUAGGACUGGUCAUCAGUCUCUGAAUCCUCCUCUGAGGAGCUCUCUAUAGCCAGCAAGAUGUCUGCUUCAGCAGGUAGCAUUGUCUGCUCUGAAUACCUUGUUUUCACUCCAGAUACUCCCAUCACCGCUUCAAAUGGCUGAUGCACAGGAAGAGUAGUUGAAUAUACAAACGUUGUCGACAAAUGGAACACGUAGUACAAAAAAAUGAUAGCAUGAUAUAAUUCACAUACAUGAUGAUUGGCUAAACAGCAUGGCAUUGAAUAAUUCACAUAUAUAAUGCCUUUGCAACAAGAUAGCAUUGUAUAAUUCACAUAUAUAAUGUCUUGCAACAAGAUGGCAAUGCAUAAUUCACAUAUAUGGUAAUUAGACAUUGAACAGGUGGCAUUCACACAAAGCAUGUCUAAACUAAUCAAAUGGCAUAGCAAUGCGAGACACCAUACGCACGAUAUGAGCAACAUAACCCUGCCAAGUUAGAGCAUACACCUCGGGAGGGGGGAAUAGGACUGGUCAUCUGUCUCUGAAUCCUCCUCUGAGGAGCUAUCCGUAACCAGCGAGAUAUGCGCUUCGUCAGAUAGCAUAGUCUGCUCAGAAGACCUUGUUUUCACUCCAGAAUUUGCCAUCACCGUGUCAAAUGGCUGAUGCACACGAAGAGCAGUUGAAUGUACUAACAUUGUUGACAAAUGUAAUAUGUAACGGAAAAAAAAGGAUGGCCUGAUAUAAUUUACAUAUAAGAUGACUGGCUAAGCAGGAUGGCAUUGGAAAAUUCACAUAUAUGAUGCCUGGCUAAACAAGGUGGCGUUGCAUAAUUCACAUAAACGAUGAAUAAACUAAACAGAUGGCAUUCGCACAAAGGAUGUCUAAACUAAGCAGAUGGCAUAUUUGAUGUAUAAAGUAAGCAAUGCAAGACACCAUAUGCAUGAUAUAACCAACAUCAGCAUGCCAAGUUAGAGCGAAGACCUCAGGGGGUAAAUAGGAGUUAUCUUCUCCUUCUGAAUCCCCCUCAGAACAGAUAUCUUCCUCUCGAUUACAAUCCAAAAUGCGUGGAGGAGGGGCUGCCUUUGCGCCUACCAUGGAGCGACGUCUGCAUGAAAUUAUAUUGCCACGCAAGGCUCGUCUCUUUUGCUCUACAUGUUCAGUUCCAUUGUUUACAAUAACUGUCAUGCAUAGGAAUAAAACAUAGUGAGAUUAUGUAAGGAGUGCAUGCAGAAAUCCAGAGUGAUGGUAGCAACCUGUGGAUAGACACAAAACCAAUAAUAGCAGGCAGAUAAUGGCUUCAGUUAAUAAAUACAGAUAAUGGCUUCUUUACUGUUUGUUUCCCACCCAACAUGAAACUCAUAGCAGACACCGGAGAUUAACCAGAUAGUAGAUAGAUACUAUUGAUAGCGGCCCCGAUAUGUACCCCAAAACCAUUUAAAAACUCAAGUUUGACCAUUAGUUUGGAGCUGACUCAGAGUCUAAUCGGUGAACAGGACGAUAAAAUAGCAUGUAAUAUUAAGCGAUGCAUAACGUAAGCAGACACGAAAGAGUGCGACCUCUCUUGCGGACCCGUGUAGUCCUCGAGGUCAUCUGCUCGGUUGAUGAUGGUAAUGCAGUUUUCAUGGCUGCCAGCGGCGGGGAAGAAGAUCUGAGGCGGCGAAAGACAGUCUGGAGGCCGGAUCCCUGCUGUGCUGGACCCUUCUGUCGUUGGAGCAGCUGAGCUGGGGUGGACAACGGCGCAGCAGGAGCGGGACAAACCACGCAAGAUUUUCUUUGACAACUAUCUGUAAGAGAAGUAAUUCUGUAAGGGCUCGUUUGAAUUGGAGGAUUCCAACAAUACAGGGAUAGGAAAUAGACAGGAAUAGGAUAGGAAUGCACGUGCAAAACAGAGAAUUUAAAAACACAGGAUUUCUGCCAAUCUGGGUGUUUGAUUCACAAAAAUUGGAAGAUCACAGGAUGCAAAGAAGCAUGGUGAGAUUAAGUCAAACCACAAGAAAAUGUACGGUUAUAAUGCUAUUAUGCUACUAUCUCUUAGUCUUGUGCUUCAUGAAUAGGAAUUUGAAAAGGAGGACAAGUGAAAAUUAAAAUUCCUACGUUUUUUCUUUCAAGGAGACACUAAAGGAACAAAUCCGUGUGUUCAGUGGACAAUAUAUAUAACAUGUAGAGUAAAAAAGAGAUGCAACAAGUGUACAACCUCUUUGGCAAAGCCAUGUUGAUCUCAUCGUGAUUGGGUUGGCCAGUGAGGAUGCUCCGGCUGACUUUGCUGUCGGAGGAGGGGAAGAAGAUCUUAGGCGUUUGGAGAUGGAGCCCGAGGUACUGCUCCGCUGUGAUGGAGGGUUUCGUCGUUGGAGCAGCUCCGGUGAGUUGUACGACGCCGAGGCUGAAGCAGGACAAGAGAGACAACGAACAACGUUAACCUGAGUGGAAUUCUAAUAGCAUCUCCAAUACAUGACGUAAAAUACAUAACCACAAAGUGCUAGAUGUAAAAUACAUCAGCCGCUCAUCUCUGAACUUAACUGUCGAAACUGAACUUAACUGUCGAAACUGAACUUAACUGUCGAAACUGAACCUAACUGUCGAAACCGAAUUUUGUUGUCGAAACUGAAUUUUGCUGUCGAAACUGAACGCACUAGCAAGGUGAGGCUACACGUCGGUCGACUAUCUUUUUCAUCUCUGGUCAGUCGAUUUUGCAGCCGUUGGAUACGAAAUCAAGGGCCUGCGGUUCAUCUUCAACCUCCACCCCCCCUGAGCCGCCAGCCACCACCGGCCAAACAGCAGCCCCCCGCCGCCCGCGGCCGGCGGUGCGCCGCCCCGCCCGCCCCGAAAACACUCCNNNNNNNNNNNNNNNNNNNNNNNNNNNNNNNNNNNNNNNNNNNNNNNNNNNNNNNNNNNNNNNNNNNNNNNNNNNNNNNNNNNNNNNNNNNNNNNNNNNNNNNNNNNNNNNNNNNNNNNNNNNNNNNNNNNNNNNNNNNNNNNNNNNNNNNNNNNNNNNNNNNNNNNNNNNNNNNNNNNNNNNNNNNNNNNNNNNNNNNNNNNNNNNNNNNNNNNNNNNNNNNNNNNNNNNNNNNNNNNNNNNNNNNNNNNNNNNNNNNNNNNNNNNNNNNNNNNNNNNNNNNNNNNNNNNNCCGUCCAUCCCUCUAGGCCCCCACGUGCCGAGCUUUUUCUCCGGCGAUCCCCACGCCACCGCCCCGCCAACGCCCCGCCACCGCCGGCGACCACCGCCCCCAUCCUGAACCCUAAGAUAGAUAGUGGGGUACCUCUCCGGCGAGCCCCCCUCCCCGCUGCAGCUGGUUCUUCCUUCACCCCGGCGAGCCCAUCCCUUGAAAAUUGACUGACCCAAAAGUCGAUUCAGUCGACUGAAGUGUAGCCAAAUCGGAGCAGCAUCGCAAGCAAGAGCAAGAGCGAGAGCAGCAGCGCGAGCAAGAGCAGACCAGGCAGGGGACCGAGAGCAAGAGCAGCGCAGCAGCGCGAGCGAGAGCUAAAGCAGCAGCAGCUCCUACUGAUGUGGACGUCGCCGCCGAGGGAGCGACGCCGUGGAGGAAGUGGCCGGCGACGCCGCCGUGGAUGGAGCCGCGCCGUGUCGGCUCGGGACCGAGCGCCGACAGCACCGUGAGAUCGAAUCAAGAAGAAAAUGUGGCGAUUAGUGUACAACCUCUUUGGUGGCGCCGAUUAGGCCGCAGCUUCAUCCGAGGAAACGGUGAUGAUGAUGCUCUUCCGGUGGUGCAGGUGAAGACGGCGGUGUGGGAAUGGAGGUGGCGCGAAAGACGAGGGGAACGUCGGGGCAGCUCCUUGGAGGUGGAGGAUGGGGUGGCUGAACCGGCGGGACGAUGAGAUCGACGACGGAUCCUCAUCCGGUACGGUGGAUGAGGGACGUCGAGGUGUUGCUGUGGACGACGUCGUCGGGGAAGAAGCUCCGGCUGGGUGGCGGACGGAGCAGGGUGUGGGGUUUCGUCGCGGGUUUUCGUGGCCUCGGUGUACGAAUGGGUGGGCGGAUGGGAUGGCAGUGGGGAACCAUGGCUUAGAGACGCGCUUGUCCGAAAUGUGGGGUAAGUUACGAAAGUACCCCCCACCGAUUUGAGGCGGUUCUUUCGGUUCAGGGGUACCACGGGCAUUUCGCGUGUCAGGAUUUCACAGCAGGUGGGAGUUUUUGCGCGCGUUGUAAUUUCGGAAUAGCAAGGCGCGGGUUGAGAUGGAGGGAGUUGAAGGAUCACAACGAGACAAAGAUAUAUCUUAAAUAUUUCGGGCUAACAAGGCGCGGGUUGAAAUUUCCGGACAAGCCUAACGUGUACUGUACCAAAUCAAUGCGCACUACAAAUGUCAUUCAAAACUUUGAAUUCAUGUUAUGUUCAAUUAAAAUAUUUCGCUACGUGUAUAAUGCAUGCAACCUACUACUCAAAUGAACGUUUUAGUGCAUUCCAAACGUAUAUACUACCGCUUCAAUAUGAACUAAAUUUGAAUAAGAUCUACAGUAAUGAUUGUUGUGAAGUCAAAGCAUUUGAAUUCGUUUCUCUGUUUUAAUAAGAUCUACAAUCAUCAUUAUUGUCAAGUUAAACCAUCAUUUGUGUAUUAUCUUCACAGCACACCACAUGAUUAGUCUCGAGUUACAUAUGAACUAUGUGUACUAUAUGAACUNNNNNNNNNNNNNNNNNNNNNNNNNNNNNNNNNNNNNNNNNNNNNNNNNNNNNNNNNNNNNNNNNNNNNNNNNNNNNNNNNNNNNNNNNNNNNNNNNNNNNNNNNNNNNNNNNNNNNNNNNNNNNNNNNNNNNNNNNNNNNNNNNNNNNNNNNNNNNNNNNNNNNNNNNNNNNNNNNNNNNNNNNNNNNNNNNNNNNNNNNNNNNNNNNNNNNNNNNNNNNNNNNNNNNNNNNNNNNNNNNNNNNNNNNNNNNNNNNNNNNNNNNNNNNNNNNNNNNNNNNNNNNNNNNNNNNNNNNNNNNNNNNNNNNNNNNNNNNNNNNNNNNNNNNNNNNNNNNNNNNNNNNNNNNNNNNNNNNNNNNNNNNNNNNNNNNNNNNNNNNNNNNNNNNNNNNNNNNNNNNNNNNNNNNNNNNUUUUGAAUCCACUUUAUUUUGAUUUCAAAUCACAUUACAUUUCUAGCUCUAGCUAGAUCUUCAUAAUCUAAACCAUGUCUCAUAUGUAUAAUGUGUUUAUCACAUUAUGUAUGGUGCCCCGCCCCCUACGCCUACAAGUAUUUAGAUGUGAGUUGCAAACACCACACAUUACCACAAAUUCAAAUAAAAUGUGAGAAUGUUCGAUAUAUAGUAUUGUUUAGAUUGCUCGAUAUUUAGUUGUAAGCUGCAAACGCCGCACAUUAUCACAAAUUCAAAUAAAAUGUGAGAUUGUUUGAUGUAUAGUAUGGUUUAGAUUGUUCGGCAUUUAGCUGUGAGUUGCAAACGCCAUGCAUUAUCACAUUAUGGUAUAACAUGUGCACAGCACGUGUAUCACCGCUAUAUUCAUGCAUGCAAUGUUUAAAACACUAUGAUCUCCUAUUCAAAUAUAUGAAUCCGCUUUCAUAUCAAAUUAUGAUCUUUGUUAGCCUCUUAUACCCACACAAUCCUCUAGCCUUUGUAGCUACCACUAACUUUCUCUCGUGCAUGCACACGCCCUCCUCGCCCUCCCCCUCCCUCGGCAUUCUAUCCACCGGGCACAUUCAUUUUUUUCUUUAGGUCGUUCUCCCAGAGUCUCCACAACUCCUUUCUGACACACACCGAUCGAUAAACCUCUCCAGCGAUGCCUGCCUACAGCAUACACACACAGCUUCGAUCUCCUCCUUUAUGUGUCCUUGCCUCGUGUCUCUCAUAUGGUCAGACACACGUGUAAACUCUCGCCCCUCUUUGCAUCGAUCUCACAACCGCACACUCCUCCCCCUAUCUAGCUAGUAGUUGGGCCUCUCGCACCACCUCCUAGCUCCAUUCUCUAUGUCUAUCCGUCUCGCUGGGCCUUAUUUGCCUCUAACAAAUGGACGUACACCGACCGAUCUCUCGCUAUACAUAUAGCCAGCUAGGUCCUUAUAACUCGUUUUUACCCACACAUCGAUUGAUCUACCUCAUUAGUUGUGUCUCUCCCUUCCUCCAACAAACAACAAUUGACCGAUCUAGUUAGGUUUGCUUACCAAACACAUGGUUCCCCUUCAUCAUCCAUGGAUGCGUCCCGACAGAUCUAUCACGCACAGGCACACACAGAAACACAUCCCCACUCUUAUUGAUAACAUUGCAGUUCCACCCUCAGUUUGUCUAGUAGGCCUCUCCCAACAUCUCUGAGAAGCAACUUCAUCACCCAUCCAGCACUCUACCCCUCUCCCUCCCUCUCCCUCCCUCUCUCUCUCCUCUCUCUCUCUGUCCCAUCAUAUUUCCCGUCCUUCAGUUAUGUAUGGAUGUCGACCGAUCUCCCUCAAGACAUAGCUGGGUCUCUCCUUCUCAACACAUAUACGAGUCGUUCUACCUCUAUAGUUAGGCCUCUGCCUACCCCUCCCCCNNNNNNNNNNNNNNNNNNNNNNNNNNNNNNNNNNNNNNNNNNNNNNNNNNNNNNNNNNNNNNNNNNNNNNNNNNNNNNNNNNNNNNNNNNNNNNNNNNNNNNNNNNNNNNNNNNNNNNNNNNNNNNNNNNNNNNNNNNNNNNNNNNNNNNNNNNNNNNNNNNNNNNNNNNNNNNNNNNNNNNNNNNNNNNNNNNNNNNNNNNNNNNNNNNNNNNNNNNNNNNNNNNNNNNNNNNNNNNNNNNNNNNNNNNNNNNNNNNNNNNNNNNNNNNNNNNNNNNNNNNNNNNNNNNNNNNNNNNNNNNNNNNNNNNNNNNNNNNNNCGAUACAUCAAGCGCUCUAGUCAUGUCUACCUGCCACACACAAACUUGACAUGUGCCCUCUAACGUUCCGGUAGGCCAGUCGCCCUAUAUCUUUGACUUGCACACACACACACACACACAAUUUCGAUGGAUCUCUUCAUCGAUCUCGCACCCACCCACUUGAUCCUCUCUUCGACUCUAUCGAUAGCUAUGACCCCUCCCUCUCUUCUCGUGGAUUGCCCGACCCUCUAUGUAUGAUAUGGAUAGGCCUCAAUUUCACACACGUUGCAUGCAAAAUUUUGUUUGAGAUGUCAUCAACACAUAUUCCCACAAAUAAUUCACGAAAUCAACCCCCCACCCCCGACCACAAAACAAAAAACACUCACGAACGCGGUUUGUAUCUCUCACACACACCCACGUAGGUGGGGGCGUGCACGAAGAGAAGAGGUGCAUGCACGGCGCACGUACUCCCGUCUCUUUCCCAACCACACCCGCGCGGGUACACGGUGGAGCUCAUUUCUGUACGAAAAAGGCAUCCCACGUGGUAAUUUGGCACGUGUACUGGUUGUCCACUUGGUGGAGGGAGGAUCGUCUACCACGGGUGAACAAACAAAUUGCGACUUGACGCGUUAUGUUAAAUUAAAAAAAGAGGCAAACCAUGUGGGGCCUACCUUAGAGGCAAGGCUCUAUACACCGAAGUACUUUUGAUGUGUCCCGUCAACUCGCAGAACGAGGAGAAGCUUGCUUAGUAUGCCGUCUCCCCCGCCCACGGGCGCGGUGGCUUGCUGGAUGAGGUGAAGCUUGCUCCUCCCUCGUCCAUGCGCGCGGUGGCUCGCAGGACGAGGAGAAAAAUUUACUACUCCCUCCGUUUACUCCUCGUCCCUACUACCUUGGUUAUAGAGAUUAUAUCAUAUUGUUUGGAAUAUAUAUGUCCUUUAGUAGAUUUCAAUAUGUACUACUAGUACAUACUCCAAACACUGAUGUAUAUAGACGUAUUUUAGAGUGUACAUUCACUCAUUUUGCUCCGUAUGUAGUAGCACUCUCCCUCGCCCCUCGACCCUCGCCCACGUGGUGGACGUGCAGCAAUUCAUUCGGUCUCAUAUAGCCAGAAUGAUAUAUACUGCACUACCAUUAUUGCUCGACUUCCCGAAGAGGCGAAGAGCCAAUCGCAAGGUUAAUAUUUUGGAGAUGCCAAGCGCAAGGUUAGUAGGUGCCGCGUCAUUUAUAAAUAUAUUUUUUUCUUCAGUGGCACGUACGCAAUAUGAUAGGUUCAUAUGGAGAGAAAAGGAAACCGCUCCACUAUAUACAUAGUCAGGACGGGCCAGCCUACACGGUUGCUUGCUGGGGUUGCUCUCUUCACACUCUCUCGCAUAAAAUGACUGUGGCCACAUCUCUAACAUCCCGGCGGAUCACGUCCGCUUGGGGAAGGGGUGGAUGCUUAGUGUAGAUGCGGUGGCCGUCGCCGACGGCGAAAACCCACUGUCGGCACGUCCCGAUCAAGGAUCCCCGCCGUUCUCUCUCACAAAGCCGGUGAGGUUGCCUUCGUCCCUUGCUCACUGCCGCGACGUGGGCAGUUGCCGCCUCCCGCCGCCCUCCUCAAGGUUGAGCUACGUCCCUCAGGUACAACUCCCUUUACAGCCGGCUUGCACCACUGCUCCAGCUGCCCACAUCACUCCCUGUGGAUAUUUCUCUACUUCUUUGCCCCGCACAUACCUGAUACCUCUAUUGGCUUCUACGUACUGUAUUUGUGAUGAGUUUAUGUCUCAUCAACUAGUCCUAGUAAUCUUAUUCUAAUCACGCUUCUUCAAUUUCUUUGCCACAGGGAUGCUCAUCUCGAUUUUGGUGAAACUGCACAAAAUGAUCCGAUGGCCAAAAGGUUGCAAACUUCAUUUAUUAGGAAGCUCGAAGGUUGCCAGCAAAUUGAAGCCUGGUCAGGGUUCACGGUUCAAGGGCUAGGGACUGCAUGGAUCAUUUUUUUCUUUAGCUGCCUCUGUUCCAAAAUAAGUGUUAACUUUAGUAGUAGUACAACUUUGUAAUAAAGUUUGCACAAAGUUGAGACACUUAUUUUGGAACGGAGGGAGUACAUAUUUGCUAUGAUCUGUCAAUCAUUGAGAUGCAAUAGCAUGCAUGUUAGUCUCCUUUGUAUUUGAUGAAAUGUUGCAACGGGCAACCUUGGACGCAAGAUACAUGUAACAGGAGCUGGAAGCUUCAUAGCAUUGUACAAAUUUAUCUCGCUGAUAAAUUACAGUACGUACUAGUACUAUACUAGUACUUCCUCUGUUCCUAAAUAUAAGUCUUUGUAGAGAUUUCACCAUUAACCACAUGCGGAUGUAUAUAGAUGCAUUCUAAGUGUAGAUUCAUUCAUUUUGUUCCGUAUGUAGUUCACCUAGUGGAAUCUCUACAAAGACUAUCUACUAGUAAUAGCUAGCCCCCACUACUAGGAAUUCUCUAUCCUCUCCUUGAGCCACAUCAUCAAAAUUGACGUAGCCGUUAGAUGAAGUAAAUCAGUCAUAAUAGCCGUCUGAUCUAGACGUUGAGAGGCUCCGCACUAAGCCACAUGCAAGCAUGCAGAAAUACCGUGGCACAUGCACGUGAGUGGGUUUUAAAUCACAUCAACAUGUCUGCAUGCAAGCAUGCACCGGUAGCAUGCAUGUAAGUGAGCUUUUAAGUCCCAUUAACAUGUCAAAAAGAAAAAUAUAAUCCCAUUAUGCAGUAGGAGUUGGCUGAUCUUUUUUCCUUACGUGGGAUGAUCUAAAUGAUGAUGGGAGUUUAUUUAGUUUGGCUACCACAUUUGUCAUGUGGUUAUAGAUUUUUUUUAGUUCUAUGAAAUCGAUAAUUUUGCGCAGAGAGAUAUACCGCUGUUCCGCGGCAACGCGCGGGGACUCAUCUAGUAAUAUUUAGGAACGGAGGGAGUACUAUGUAAAGAGUUAGGUGUCGCACGGUGAUAGUGUGAGGUGGGCCAUGUAAUCACUGAGCCUGCGUGUUUUCACUGCUCUUGCACUCCUCCGCUGUAAGAAUGGAGAAAAUUGUAAUCUACUACCUCCUUUCGCCGAAAGCAUGGGACAUCCAGCAGUCCUACCACCUCAGUAAUAAAGACCAAUGAGCCGUCAAAUCACAUAGACCCAACAGUAAGUUGGACGGACGAAGAAACCAUCACUCUUGCGCCAGUGAGAGGUCGUGUCCGCUCUGCCCGGGCAUGAAUGCGGCACCGAUUCUUUGGAGCGGCGCUGACCGUUUCGGGCGGGAAGCGCGCGCGGGCGAUGGAGGGGCUUUGGGUGGGCCAGGCUGGUCAGGAGCGGGCGUGGCAGUUGUCCGCAUGUCCCUACCGGACACGCCCGGAAACGAGAGGAUGCACCGACUCUCGCGGCUAAAAUCGUACACUACACACCAUAUCUCUGUAGGAGUAGGUCGAUCUGUCGCACUCUCUAACACACACAUGCUGUUAAACACACACACGCACACGCACGCACCUUGGUCCCGUUGCACCUUCUAACGUGACUUAUUACACCUAGACGGAGGGAGUAGUAAGUAUACGAGAUACGGUGGCACACUGACUUAAGUCGAAUACAAGUGCCCAAAAUUUGUGUGCAUGUUAUAAUAAGGAUUCACUUAAAAUAGUACGUGAGCGAACAGAGGGAUCAAUUGGACAGUGUUCCCGAGUAGUAGCGAGAUGUGUGAGGUAGUAAGAUACACCGCUGGCGCUUCUAAUUUUUCUUAUUAAUUUGUUUGUUUCACCCUCUGACUGGUGGGACCCAACGUACUACGUGGAGAGAGGUAAGGUGACUAAGGCUGCAUUAUUUCUACACCACUGUGGAUAGUCUUACCACCAAAGCCACAUGACACGAUUAUGAUUGAAAUCCUAAUGACUCCCACACACACACAAAAACACGGCAUGCCUGUCACACGAAUGCAGGAAUGUAUAAAAGGUUAUUUUCCUCUCGUUGAACAUAACGGGAGGGUUGUGUAGCUGGUUAGCCUGUUCGCUCAUCAAACUUGAGGUCUCGGGUUCGAUAACUACACUUGAGCAUAAUUUUUGCCAGGAGGAUUCUUUGACUGGUCAAAAUGUUUUCUAGGGUUUGCACGCUUCACACUCUCUCUCGAGUAUAUAUAUACACGCUGGAGCCUCAGCGCUUGUAGUUGCUCUCUUCACACUCUCUCGCCCUCUCCCGCUGGAGCCUCAGCGCUUGUAGUUGCUCUCUUCACACUCUCUCGCCCUCUCCAGAUCUAAACAAGACUUUGUUGGCCUCUCUCUCCCCUCACUGCAGCUCAAAGAGCCGGCAGAAUCCGUUCACCGGGAAGGGAAGGAGGCUUAACGUUGUCGCCGUCGGCGAGGGAGGGAAUCCACUACCGGCACUGCUGUUCACUUUCCACCCAGCGGCGGCGCGGGAGGGCCUCCGACCCCUUCUUCUUCGCAGCCGUCCCGUCGCCCACCGAACCACGCCCCAAGAACCUUAAGGUAUAUUUUACUUACUCCACAUGCAUUGCUCUAGCUGCAUGUAUACCAUGAAUCUAGGACGUGGUUCAAAGAGGAAAGGAGUGGGGGAAAGUAGUGGGAAAAGUUGUAUAUAGCAUGAAUCUAGGAUGUGGUUCAAAGAGGAAAUGAAGGGGGAAAGUUGUAUAGCAUGAAUCUAGGACGUGGUUCAAAGAGGAAAGGAAUGGGGGAAAGUAGUGGGGAAAGUUGUAUCGCAUAAAUCUAGGAUGUGGUUCAAAGAGGAAAGGAAGGGGCGAAAGUACUAGUUCAAAAAGGAAAGGAAGGGACAAGGCUGUAGAGUUUGAGCAGGACAGAUUUGUUGCGCUCACAUAGGGAAAGGUGUCUAAAGAUAACAAAACUGGGACCAGCACAAAUAUGCUCCUUGGUUGUUUGUUAUUUGUUGCAACAGACUGUGCAUGACCACAGUACAUCGGUAGAUGCACAUGGUGCUGGUGCGUCCACUGUCCCGUGCAACUCAUUAGCUGUUGUUAAUCUAAGGCCCUGUUUGGUUAAAAACUCCCUAGUCCCUACCUGCUUGGUUCCAGGGACUAAACAUGGACUAGAGGUUAUUAAAUGACAUGAUAAAAGACCAUGUUACCCCUAGUAAUGAACUAAUAGAAACAAGGUGCGAUGCGUGGCAGGGGCAACUGUUGGAAAAGUCCCAAAAAGACUCCCUCGGGGUCUUCUUUCUUUAGUCCCAAAUGCCCACUUUUAGUCCCGAAAAGUCCCUCCUGUUUGGUUUAGAUGUGACUGACACGGAGUUUUUUUAGUCCCUACACCAAAAUGUCCCUGUAAACAAACACCCUCUAAUAAUGCCGCUGGAAAAUUGAUGCAAUGCCACAGUUAAAAGCAAAUUACAUGUUUAACGAAUUUUAUUGUUAAUAUAAUCUCUAUGUUAAUAUUAAUCAAUGCCACCGUUUGAGAAAUGCUACUGUCUUGCUUUCUUUCCCAUUUAGAUAAGGUAGAUGCUUAUUUUUGUUGGCUUCUGUGUCAUCCACCGUUAUUGACCACUAAUUGUUUCCUUUGCACCUCUGUGUAAACAGGGUUAUCUACUUCACCUCGUUGCCAUUGUGACCUUUUGUUGCACUGCACAAAACACUUUUGUUUUAAGAGUGUUUUGUGCAGUUCAACCAAAAUGUCACACUGACAACGUUGCUUGAUUGCUUGAUCUUAGUGGAACUGCACAAGAGGAGAUCUUACUUCCUAUCCGUUAAGGCGAAUUUGGUUCAGAUCUUCUUCUUGUGAGUUGUUUGAAUUCCGCAUCAUGAGAGGUCAGUACUAGCCUUCUUUCACAUGAUUCUGCAGUGUGCUUUCAUAUGUUGUGCUACUUGUACGAUAAUGUUGCUUGAUUUUAGUGAACUGCACAAAUGGAGACAAGACUUCCAAUCUGUAUGUGCACCAUAAUAUCCCAUUGAGGUAAGAUAAGGAUAUUUCACAACUGCUGGCCUGUAUUUUGCCACUUUCAUCAGAAAAUUAAGUUUAGUACUAUACUUUUGCUCCCUAAUUGACAUGUCAAAUCUUACAUUGAAGGCGAAGCUUGUCUGUUAUUGAACCAAGUGAUGAAGGGGAAGAACAAGCGGAAGAAAAACAAAAAUCAACUCCCGGUGCUGUAAUGAAGCACUGGAACUGUGAUGACACAAGUAAUGAUAUAGUUUUGCAUCUUAAUUUAUUGCUAUGGCUGGAACGAGCAAUUGUUUUGCCACUGAUUUGAUGCCAUACGUAAUUAUCUCUACUUGUGCAAACAGGGAUCUUCUUUGAAGAUACCAUAUAUUUUAGUGGAACUACACAAGAAGAUGUUGGAAACAUUAAACUAAACGAGGAGUAUAUAGUAAGCAUGGCCACCCCCGUAGAUAGCAAAAGAUGGUUCCGGAGAAGUGCUUCAUCUGUAUGCUCUACACAAUCAGCCUCCUGACAAAUGUUGGUACUCACCCACUGAUUUCAUCCAUAUGAUUGAGCUUUGUCAUCUCUAUUGGUGUUGUGCUACUGUUUAGAUACUGUCAUGAAAAAGUGGUAUUGUCCUUGAGAAUUGCUUCAUCUGUGCUGUUUUAAAUAUUUCCUUUCCUUUUUUUCGAGCAAACAGGGAUCAUCUUCCUCUGAAGAAGAAUAUGGAGUACGUGAAGUGACUAGUUCCGAUUAUGCCAGGAUGAAGAAGCCCUGUCUAUCUUCUCAUCAGAAGGAGCACUUGAAGGAUGGUUACAUUACUCCCCACAAGACCAAACUAACUUCAGCUCAGAAGGACUGAAAAAUCUCCAUUUUUUGCUGUGAUGCGCGAGUACAAUGUUGUUCUAAGAUUCUUUCUGGUGAGUUCCAUUUUUCUAAAAGUGUGCUCUACAUGGACCAUGUAUGUGCCUGUUGAAACUGUCAAUUCAUAGUAUAGUUUGCUUUAUACUAAUCACUUUUUUGUAUUUGUGCAAACAGGGGUGCUCAGCUUGAUUUCAACGGGAACUGCACAAAAUGUUCAUGAAUACAUCGAAUCAUUCAUUUCCACCACAAGAAAGGAGGUGCCCAUAAGUUCAAGGCGUUGCAACAUAUAAGGGCGAAAUCAUACAAGCUACGCACGAAUUUGGUUGAUUUUGGUGGAACUGCACAAAAAAAACAGCUGGUUUAUUUAGCACGAGGUGCCAUGUCAAUGUCCGAACUGAUGGCAAACCCUGCCCAUUUCACAAUCGUAGGCAUUUGAUAUUUUGGAAUGGGACAACCUUGUCAAAUUUUGCUCAUUGAUUUUAGCAAGAUAUGCAUUUGAUAUUUUCGAAUGGGACGCCCUUUGCUGUCAGCAGCGGCGAUUAAUUUUUUCUUUAUUCUUUAGUUGUGAAGUAAAUAUUGCCUCUGACAUGUGAGUCGCUGAGAUGCAUAAUCAUCGAUUGUUUUGAAUGUUCUCUAUGAAUUUCCAGGCAUGUGUGUUUGAUUGCAAUGUACAGAAACGCUAAAAAGCUGCUCAAACUCUUUGUACUCCUUCUGUUCCUUUUUACUUCGCACAUUGUGAAAGUGCAUACUUUUUUGUAUAAGAUUGGUCAAAGUAGAGAUACUUUGACUGCAGACAAAACUUGUAUGCAGACUAGAAAGGACCAGAGGGAGUACAUGUGAAACUGCUGCAAACGUGGUGAUCACCCUGGGAAUAAUGCUAGUACGUAUUGUUUUGCAUGUUCAUCCAAUGCCAGUGAUACAGGAAUUCGAACUAAUCGAAAUAAAUUCAUUCAUACACGGCCGGAUUUCAUAUAAACAUGCUGGAUUUCAUUACAUUUCAUACAUUCUUCAACUAAAAAGGGGCUUUGUGGCCGCAUGCAUCUCCCAGAUGCAGAGGCUGGGGGUCAUCCUCCUUUUCGAAAAAAAAACUAAAAAGGGGUGCGCUGAAGGUAUAAUUAAUUAACCGAAGCUACCCACCUGUGUCCCGCUGAGCCAAACAGAAGCUUCAGUGACUUAACUGCAGGUGCAAUUGCGUAACUGACAUGUGCCCUGUUGGGCCCACGUGUCAGUCAGCCAACUGCACCAGCAGUUAAGUAGAAGCAGCGUUCUUCUCCAGCGCAGCUCUCCGACUCCACGUCGCCGCCAAGAAGCUAACCGGCCGUCAAUGGUCAACCCGCCUAGCUUGGCUUCAACCGGAGGGUAGCAGCGGUGGCCUUACUUGGACCCGAGCGGCGGCGUCCUACCGUGUUCUACUCUUCCUCGUUUUCUGUGUGGCGCGGCCUCGUUGGCAGCGGGGCGGGGCCUCGGCGGAGCCGGCGAUGUCCUCUGUCUCGUUGCCGGCGGGCGGCGCCUCAGCGGAGCGGUGGAAAUCCUCCCCCACGUUGAUGGCAGGGUGGGGCCUCGGCUGAGCCGGCGAUGUCCUCUGCCUCGUUGUUGGCAGGGAGAGGCCUCGGCGGAGCCGGCGGUGUCCUCUGCCUCGUUGUUGGCGCCGCGGGGCCUCGGCGGAGCAGGGCGUCGUCGACGCCAGUGGAGCGGGGACUCGUCGGAGCCGGCAUUGUCCUCUGCCUCGUCCUCGGUCUCGCCAAACAGCCCCUCACCCGCUUCAUCACCCUCUUUGCUAGCCUCUUUGUAGGCGGCCGCAGCCUCCGCCACCCGCAUGCGGUACCGCCAGUGCUCGAGGCGGCCCUUGCGGGCGGAGCGGUACGAGUCGAGCAGCGCCUCCUGCUCCGCCCGCUUCGUGGUGAUCUGCUCCUCCGCCUGCAGGUGCUCCUGGAGGAGAUGGUGGUUGUAGGCGGCGUCAGCCUGCGUCUCCCGGAACUGCUCCUCACGCAUCGGCCUCACCCUUUCCAUAUAUUGGGCACGGGCCUCGCCGAUGGUCAUGGUGCAAUGCACCGGCGAGGAUGGCGCGGAGGAGGGGGUUGGCGCCGGAUCGUCGACUACCAUGUUCUCCAUUAGGACGUCGACGUCCUCCGGCUACCUGCCGGCCAGCCGGUCGGCAGCAAUGGCUGCCAUCUCCUUGUGGUCCGUCGUCCGCCCGUCCCAAAGAGCGCUAGAGCGCGAGGAAGCCAUGGUGGGCAGUAGUGGUGUGGAUAGGAGAAAGGGAACGGAUGCGGAUGACUGCGGCUAUGGCCGGCGCAGCAGUUUAUAUAGCAAUGGUGGGCGGGCGGAGGGACGGACGUGUGGCGCCGGAGUAGCCGCCUCGGCAACCGCGUAUCAUUAAUGUGUGCGGUAGAUGGACGGACGGAUGGCACUUGUGUCGUUUGAAGGAGGAGCAAUCGCCUGCACCGGGAAGCGGGGCGGCCGGCGCUGACUGUUUCGGGCGGAAAGCGCGCGGGGGCGAGGAGAUGACUUUACUUGGAUAGGAUGACAAUGGGGACCCACCAGGUCCAUAGCCUCACGUACGCAAGUGCCUCCUUAUUAUAUAUAUAUAUAACUAUAAUUUAUUUUGCUUCCUCCUGGUUUCCUGACAUCACGGUCCCACACCAUUGUCAACCUAUGUACUCCCUCCUUUCCGGUUUAUAGGGCUUAUCUCAAAAUUUUAGUUUUUCCAUUUUAUAAGGCUCAAUUUGGCUGUUUUCCAUCACAUGUUCAGAUUCCAAGGUACAUUAAAUCAUUGCAUGCAAGUAUUAAGAGAAAAUUGACCAAUGCAUGUACUUUAUGCAUGCAUGCAUUGCAAUUAAUGCAUUGAUAAACAUAAUUUUUUGAGGAUAACAAGAGCAUUAAUUAGGUGCUUUUGCAAAACUAUAAAAAGUAUUCCACCACUCGCCAUCUACCUUGAUUGGUGAGAUUUUUGAAUUGAGCAUUAUAAACCGGAAAGGAGGCAGUAGUCAAUAAACGAGGAAUUGCACAAGAAGCGGCCGACAGCUGGGACCAAGCAGCUCGAGCAGUAUUUGUGUUUUUGAGGUGUGAGCACUGCAGAUUUUUUUCGAUGUUUACCCUAGAUAUUAAUUUUUCUCCUCUGAACAACAACGAAAACAUCACUGCAGGUAUUAACUGGGCGGGCUGUGGCCCGUCUAGCCCAGGCCAGAUAUCUAGCCCAGAUAUUAUUUUUUUUCAAGAUGAAAAUAGCUAGCCCAGCUAUACUUUUUUUUAGGAAUACCCAGGCAAGGUCAAGUUGUUAUUCACCGCCCCGCUGGGCUGAAAAUCUUUCCUAGGAGGGAUGCAUUAGGCUUGACAAGAAAAUGGGCUUUAAGAAAUAAUAAAUGGGAUGUAAUUAUAAAAACUGGGUAGUAACUAUUAAAAAAUGCACCAAACAGUGAUUACUUUAUAAAAUAUUAUUUUUGGAAUAUUGAAAAUUUUAAUUUCAUUAAUUGUUGCGAGCGCAAUGUUUCGUUGGAUUUUUACGUAAUAUAAAUUUAUAUUGAAAUUGUAUUUUAUCUGACUAGAAAUUUCGGGAUAAAAAUAUUUGGAUCCCAUCAAAAUGUGGGAAAUUUUAUUGAAUUCUGUUUUGAACGGUUGGUUGAAAUGGGUUGUACUUUUAACAAACUGUAAAUGGGAUGUUCUAAAUUCCAUUAGAAUUCAAAAAUGGGCUACACAUUCUUACAAAUCUCAAAUGGGCUAUAAGUUCUCUGCCACACACUUCUGGCCUUACUAAGUUGACGCGUCCCCUAAAAAAACAGAGUUGACGCGUAUGCAAGGCUUUGUCAACUUAUAGUCAACACACGGUUCUAGCAGCAGUGGCCGUUGGAUGUCCAUCCAAUGGAUGCCGUGCUUCUUCUUCAAUCUCGGAUAUUCUAGCUUCACCCGCCCAAAAAAUGAUUCCUCCCCCUGACAUCUGGGGCGCACCGUUUCGGAAGCUGACCUGUGGGCCUACUAAGUUGACGUACCAAGGGCUUUGUCAACUUAGUCAAUAAUAAACGAUUCUAGCUGCAGUGACCGUACGAUGUCCAUCCAACGGCCGUCGUGCUUCUUCAACCUCUGGUCUUCUUGCUCCAGCCGCCCAAACCAGCGCCGGUCGUGCCUCGUGCUCCUGCCUCCCGUUGCCGGUUGUGCUGCCGCGGAGGCCUCACCGCCCCCUACUACUCCCACCGCUAGCCAGGCCAUCCCUCCACUCACCCACACCCCCUGUUAUUCUGCGGCGACGGCAGUGCAGCCAAACCAGUGAACCCUCAUACUCCUCUUCGUGUGUGCAUCCACUGCCGCGUCUUCCCCGGCUCCAUGUCGUCCCCUUCCUAGGCCUCACCGUCGUCCACCGCCGUGGUGCUCUCGGCGCGGCAUGGUCAACGUGGUCAAGGAACGACUUCCAUCGGACGUGGACUGUACGUGGAGAGGCUGAUAGCUGGGUCCACGGCAGCUGCAAGGAAGUGCCUCCUUAUUACGCGCAAAAUAAUUAUUCCUCCACCUGACAGCGGGGACCCACCGGACGGGCCACCGUAUUUCGCGAAAAAAAUGAUUCGCCCCCUGACUGCUGGGACCCACGAGCUACAUCUUCGCACGCAAGGAAGUGCGUCUGGAAAAAAAAUUAUUCGCCCCCUGACUGCUGGGACCCACCAGCUACAUCUUCGCACGCAAGGAAGUGCGUCCGGAAAAAAAGAUUCGCCCCCCGACUGCUGGGACCCACCAGCUACACCUUCGCAUGCAAGGAAGUGCGUCCGGGCAAAAAAAAACNNNNNNNNNNNNNNNNNNNNNNNNNNNNNNNNNNNNNNNNNNNNNNNNNNNNNNNNNNNNNNNNNNNNNNNNNNNNNNNNNNNNNNNNNNNNNNNNNNNNNNNNNNNNNNNNNNNNNNNNNNNNNNNNNCGGGCAAAAAAAACGAUUCGCCCCCCUGACUACUGGGACCCAGCAGCUACACCUUCGCACGCAAGGAAGUGCGUCCGGGCAAAAAAAACAAAAUGAUUCGCCCCCCUGACUGCUGGGACCCACCAGCUACAUCUUCGCAGGCAAGGAAGUGCCUAACAGUCGGGACCCACCUGGUCGAAGCGUACGUAGCGUUGUCAUCCUGGUCGCGAACAUGUACGUACAUACUGGUCGAUGUAGAGGCGCGCACGUGUCGUAGUAGAGGCGUGCACGGGUCGUAGUAGAGGCGCACACGUAGCAUGUACACGUACGUACAGCGGCUAGGGUGCAAGAAAGAAAAUACGGCCACGUAUGUGUACAUACGGGCGGGGUCUCGAACGCCUAGUCGCGCAUACGUACGGCGAGGGCUCGUGUUCAUGGGGAGGCAACGGAAUGCGUCGUGUUCAUGGGGAGGCAACGGAAUGCGUCGUGUUCAUGGGGAGGCAACGGAAUGCGUCGUGUUCAUCGGGAGGCAACGGAACGCGUGGAGCCAACCGGCUUGGACGGAACAGGCGAUGGAAACGAGGCCUGGCGUACCGCAUAACGGAGGAAACGGCCUUGUGUUCGACCGGCCACGUUCGGAACGGGGUCCUGUUGAUCGGGAGGGGUGUGGCGUACCGCAAAACGGAGGAAACGGACCUCCUACGGUCGAAACGGGGGUCCUGUUNNNNNNNNNNNNNNNNNNNNNNNNNNNNNNNNNNNNNNNNNNNNNNNNNNNNNNNNNNNNNNNNNNNNNNNNNNNNNNNNNNNNNNNNNNNNNNNNNNNNNNNNNNNNNNNNNNNNNNNNNNNNNNNNNNNNNNNNNNNNNNNNNNNNNNNNNNNNNNNNNNNNNNNNNNNNNNNNNNNNNNNNNNNNNNNNNNNNNNNNNNNNNNNNNNNNNNNNNNNNNNNNNNNNNNNNNNNNNNNNNNNNNNNNNNNNNNNNNNNNNNNNNNNNNNNNNNNNNNNNNNNNNNNNNNNNNNNNNNNNNNNNNNNNNNNNNNNNNNNNNNNNNNNNNNNNNNNNNNNNNNNNNNNNNNNNNNNNNNNNNNNNNNNNNNNNNNNNNNNNNNNNNNNNNNNNNNNNNNNNNNNNNNNNNNNNNNNNNNNNNNNNNNNNNNNNNNNNNNNNNNNNNNNNNNNNNNNNNNNNNNNNNNNNNNNNNNNNNNNNNNNNNNNNNNNNNNNNNNNNNNNNNNNNNNNNNNNNNNNNNNNNNNNNNNNNNNNNNNNNNNNNNNNNNNNNNNNNNNNNNNNNNNNNNNNNNNNNNNNNNNNNNNNNNNNNNNNNNNNNNNNNNNNNNNNNNNNNNNNNNNNNNNNNNNNNNNNNNNNNNNNNNNNNNNNNNNNNNNNNNNNNNNNNNNNNNNNNNNNNNNNNNNNNNNNNNNNNNNNNNNNNNNNNNNNNNNNNNNNNNNNNNNNNNNNNNNNNNNNNNNNNNNNNNNNNNNNNNNNNNNNNNNNNNNNNNNNNNNNNNNNNNNNNNNNNNNNNNNNNNNNNNNNNNNNNNNNNNNNNNNNNNNNNNNNNNNNNNNNNNNNNNNNNNNNNNNNNNNNNNNNNNNNNNNNNNNNNNNNNNNNNNNNNNNNNNNNNNGCUCACUGUUCAUCCAAUCGAUCGGCUUCAAUUAGCAGCAGUAGCGAAGGAAUCGCUCCAUCGGGUUCAGUUAACAGCCAUCGAUCAAUCGCUCGGGUUCAGUAACGCGUAGCCUGCAGUGCAAUCGCUCGGGUUCAGUUGGAGCCCAACGCCUCGCUCAGGUUCAGUUAGAGCCAACACGCCUCGCACACACACGCGUACGUGUACGAGAGAAACGCGCAUCGCUCGGCCCCCGACCUCCCACCGUAACCGGCAGCUCCCCGAAAUUUUCCUACCCCUCGCUUCUACCAUGGUUUUUUCCGUCAUGGACGGCCCAAAGAAUGUCAUGCAGUUGCGUCUCCGGCCCGCCCAGGACGAAAAGCCCAUUUUCUGCCAUGAUUUUUUGUCAUAGAAGUAGGAGCCCACCACAUCUAUGAUGAUACCGGGUUCUGUCACAAUUAUCGUCAUAGAAGUGUCAUAUGUAUGACAGAAAAAAAAUUUGUUCGGCCCAAAAUGUCAUGGAUGUGUCUUUUUUUUGUAGUGAUGGGACGAAGGAGAUGCCGGCCACACACCUCUGGAAGGACUGCUACAUCAUGCAAGAGUUCAAAAAUUCUAAUGCUUUCCGGUAUGAUCACGGACCGGGUGGCGGCUCAGGCCCUGGUUCUCAUGGGCCAGGUUAUGGUGGAGGAAAUUCCGGUUCAGGCUUCCAUGGUAAUCAGGGCGGACAUAACAAUCAAGGUAAUCAGGGCAACCAAGGUGGCUACAAUAAUCAGGGCAAUCAGCAGCAGCAGCAGCCGGGUUACAAUAAUCAGGGCAAUCAGAGCAAUCCGAAGCAGUUGAAUAGUGGGCAAUAUCAUGUCUUCACCACUAGCUUGGACAAGUGUGACCACAAGCUUCAUAAGAGGGCAGUGAGCUCCUUGAACCGGCGGUGCCCCGUUACCUACGCUGGUCUGAGCAGCCGAUUGUGUGGAGCAGAGAAGAUCAUCCACCCCAGGUUGACAAUCCAGGUCAUCUGGCAUUGGUGGUGGCACCUCAGGUAGGAGGUUAUAAGUUCACAAAGGUACUCAUGGACGGAGAGAGCAGUAUCAAUAUCUUGUAUUAUGAAACUUUCCGUCGCAUGGGGUUAACAGAUAAAAAUCUUAAACCGUUCAAUACGGUGUUCCAUGGUGUGGUGCCUGGUAAAUCGGCAUAUCCUGUUGGUAAGAUAGCUCUGGAGGUGGCUUUUGGAGAUGAUCAUGACUCGAGAUCAGAAGCUUUGACCUUUGAAGUGGUGAAAAUCAGAAGUCCGUAUCACGCCCUGUUUGGACGGCCGGCUUAUGCUAAAUUUAUGGCACGACCUUGCUAUGUCUAUCUUCGGCUCAAGAUGCCGGGUCACAAGGGAACUAUAAUCGUCCAUGGGAGCCGCAAGAUUGCUCUGGAGUGUGAAGAAGGUGAUGCAGCUUACGCUGAGUCGGUUUGUGCCACAGAAGAGUUAAAGUUUUACAAAGAUAACGUUGAUCCGGCAGAUAUGACUUCAUUAAAGAAGCCAACUACAGAGCAUGAUCCGGCCUUGAAGUUUAAAUCGGCUGAUGAGACUAAGCUUGUUGACUUCGUACCUGGUGAUUCGUCCAAGCAGUUCAGCAUCAGCGCUAACUUGGAUCCGAAAUAGGAAAGUGCGCUCAUCGAGUUCAUCCAUGAGAAUCGGGACAUCUUUGCGUGGAAGCCUUCUGACAUGCCAGGUGUACCGAGAGAACUCGCUGAGCACACACUUAAUGUUGAUCCUAAGUAUAAACCGGUCAAGCAGUUUCUCCGCCGGUUCAAUGAAGAAAGACGUAAAGCUAUUGGAGAAGAAGUGGCCAGGCUCUUAGCGGCCGGAUUUAUCGUUGAAGUUUUCCAUCCUGAGUGGUUGGCUAAUCCGGUGUUGGUGCUUAAGAAGAACGACACUUGGCGGAUGUGUGUGGAUUACACAGAUCUCAACAAAGCUUGUCCAGCAGAUCCUUUUGCCCUCCCCCGUAUUGAUCAAAUUAUUUAUGCUACGGCGGGUUGCGAGCGUUUGAGUUUUUUGGAUGCAUAUUCCAGUUAUCAUCAGAUCAAGAUGGCAGUUAAGGACCAGGAGAAGACGGCCUUCAUAACCCCCUUUGGAGCCUUCUGCUAUGUGUUCAUGCCCUUUGGGCUCAAGAGUGCCCAGGCGACUUAUCAACGGUGUGUGCAGAAUUGUCUUCAUACACAAAUCGGCCGUAAUGUUCAUGCCUAUGUGGAUGAUAUUGUGGUCAAGUCAAGGAAGAAGGAGACGUAGAUUGAUGACUUAAAGGAAACCUUUGAUAACCUGCGGGUUUACAAGAUGAUGCUUAAUCCGGCUAAGUGCGUUUUUGGUGUACCGGUAGGCAAGCUCUUGGGCUUUCUGGUGUCUAACAGGGGCAUUGAGGCUAAUCCGGAAAAGAUCAAGGCAAUCACCUCCUUGGCUAAACCGAAGUGUAUCAAUGACGUUCAACACUUGGCAGGCCGGAUUGCUGCGUUGAGCCGGUUUAUCAGCCGCCUUGGCGAGAAGGCCAUUCCUUUGUAUCAGAUGCUGAAGAAAACGGAUAACUUCGUCUGGAGUGAUGCCGCGAAUGAAGCGUUUGAGGAUUUAAAGCGACAGCUAGCUAACCCGCCGGUUCUUGCUGCCCCGGUUGACAAGGAGCCAUUGUUGCUAUAUGUGGCAGCUAAUGCUCGGGCUGUCAGUGUGGCUAUUGUGGUGGAGCGCAAGGAGGCAGGAAAGGAGUAUCCGGUUCAGCGUCCGGUUUAUUAUAUCAGCGAGGUACUUAUUGAGUCCAAGAAGAGGUACCCACACUGGCAGAAGCUGGUAUAUGGGGUUUUCAUGGCAAGCCGGAAGCUCAAGCAGUAUUUCCAAGGUCAUCCCAUCACAGUGGUCAGCUCUGCUCCUUUGGGAGAUGUAAUCCAGAACAGGGAAGCAAUUGGCCGGAUUGCCAAGUGGGCCAUAGAGCUCGGGCCUCAUGGGUUGAAGUAUAUACCCCGCACGGCGAUCAAAUCUCAAGCACUUGUGGAUUUCAUCAACGACUGGACAGAACUACAAGCGCCUGAAGAGAAGCCGGAUCACACUUAUUGGACUAUUCACUUUGAUGGGUCCAGGCAAUUGGAGGGCUCGGGGGCUGGAGUCGUAUUAACUUCCCCACGAGGUGUUAAGUUUUGUUAUGUUCUCCGUUUAAUGUUCCCUUGCACUAACAAUGCAGCUGAGUAUGAAGCUUUACUCCAUGGUCUUCGGAUGGCUAAGGAGAUGAACCUAAGCCGAGUUAAGUGCUUCGGUGACUCAGACCUGGUGGCUCAACAGGUGUCUGGCACUUGGGAUUCCAAGGACCCACUCAUGGCAGCAUAUCGUCGUGAGGUGGACAUUGUUGCUGGUCACUUUAAAGGUUAUCAGGUGGAUCAUGUGGACCGGCGGAAGAACGAAGCGGCGAACGCUUUAAGCCGCCUGGGUUCUCAACGUAAACCGGUUCCGCCUAAUGUCUUCUUGGAUGUUCUGUAUAAUCCGUCCGUCAAGCUCCCUGGUGAAGAGGAUUUGGCUAUUCCUGAUCCGGAAGCUCAGUUGGUGGCGGCUCUUCAUGUUAUCCCGGAUUGGACGGUUCCUUAUCUCGCAUAUAUGAACCGGGGCGAGUUACCAGAGGAUGAGACAUUGGCCAAGCAGAUAAUCCGGCGGUCCAAGCCUAUGACUAUUAUCAAUGGAGAGUUGCAUCAUUGCAGUGUGACAGGGGCAUUUCGGCGUUGUGUGUCUCCUGAAGAAGGCUGUGAAAUUUUGUGUGAGAUCCAUGAAGGAGACUGUGGUCACCACGCCGGUUCAAAGUCUUUGGUGGCCAAAGCGUUUCGUCACGGUUUUUAUUGGUUGACAGCUCAUGCUGAUGCCGAGGACUUGGUCAGACGAUGUGAUGGCUGUCAGAAAUUCUCAAGGUGUGCUCAUGUACCGGCUCAAGAAUUGAGGAUGAUUCCAAUUACUUGGCCGUUUGCGCUUGGGGGCUAGAUAUGGUUGGGCCUUUUAAGAGGUCCAAAGACAAGAAGACCCACCUUUUGGUGGCGGUUGACAAGUUCACAAAGUGGGUCGAAGCAGAGCCCGUUAGCAAGUGUGACGCAGCCACAGGGGUUCAAUUCAUCAAAAAGGUGAUCUUCCAGUUUGGCUUUCCACAUAGCAUCAUCACCGACAAUGGCACCAAUUUAUCAAAGGGUGCCAUGAAGGAGUUCUGUCAACGUGAGCACAUCCGGCUUGAUGUAUCAUCAGUGUCUCACCCACAGUCCAAUGGUCAAGCGGAGAGGGCCAAUCAAGAAAUUUUGAGAGGCAUCAAACCCCAGCUUAUGGUUCCCUUGCAGCGGACGCCGGGUUGUUGGGUUGAGGAGCUACCUUCAGUGUUAUGGAGCAUCAACACCACACCCAAUAGAUCGACAGGAUACACGCCGUUCUUCAUGGUUUAUGGAGCGGGGGCAGUUCUUCCUAGUGACAUCCGUCAUGACUCACCUCGUGUAGCGGCAUAUGUUGAAGCUGACAACGAGAAGGCACGGCAAGAAGCUCUCGACCUGUUAGAUGAGGAGCGUGACAUAGCGGCCGCCCGUUCAGCGAUUUAUCAGCAAGAUCUACGUCGCUAUCAUAGCCGCCGGGUUAGAACCAGAACCUUUCAAGAAGGAGACUUGGUGCUUCAGCUCAUCCAGGAUCAGACGGAUAUGCAUAAGUUAUCCCCACCUUGGUAAGGACCUUUUGUGGUUAGCAAGAAUCUAGACAACGGGUCAUACUACCUAGUCGAUGUUCGAGAGCGCAAAGACUCACGUAAAUCGGAGGAGGAGACCAACCAACCGUGGAAUAUUGCUCAUCUUCGGCCUUACUAUACUUGAGCUAUAGGCUCUGCUUAUGUACAUAUUAUGACUAUGUAUAUAUUAUGAUCAAUAUAAUAAACCGGAACCUCAGCUAAAGCGUGGUAUCUGUUGUUUUCUUACAUCAUGUGUGGUUACAUGGAGCUUCUGUUUCUAAAGCGGCGUCCGGUUUACCCCUUGGUUUAGCUUUUCAAAGGCUUUAUAUUAUAUCACUUGGGGGCUUGGUCGUAUCCGAACCAUAGCUACACCUUUUGAUAGGCGCAAUGCCAUAGCAUCACUUGGGGGCUUGGUCGUAUCCGAACCAUUGCUACACCUCUUGAUCAGCGCAAUGCCACAGCAUCACUUGGGGGCUUGGUCGUAUCCGAACCAUAGCUACACCUCUUGAUCGGCGCAAUGCCAUAGCAUCACUUGGGGGCUUGGUCAAACCUGAACCAUAGCUACACCUCUUGAUCGGCAUAAUGCCACAGCAUCAUUUGGGGGCCUGAUCGAACCCGAACCACAGCUACACCUCUUGGGGGCUUGGUCGUGUCCGAACCAUGGUCACACCUCUUGAUCGGCUCAAAGCCUCGCCUACAAUGGUUCUUAUUUGCCUUUGUUUGAGUUCCAUUCUCUUUUUUGAUAAAGAUUUUUUUUUCUUUUUAGACCGGCGUUAAACAACCCGGUCCGACUGUCAAUUAAAAAUUGACGGUACACGAUCAAAUCAUAGUCCGGAGACUAUUUGCCCAGUCUGAUUUUCAAUUAAAAUUUUAUUAUGGAGUAAACCGGUGUUUAUCAUAACCCGGAACGGUUUUCAUUAUAAACCGGCCUUAUAUCAACAGAAGUGGUUUUCUCCUAAAAGAUUUGGGUUAUAAGCCCCGCUACAAGGUUGGCCAGCCAACAUCAUGCAUAAAGGUUGCAGGUAUUAUAUAUUUACAUUUUGGUUAUAUGUCACAACCUAAGUUAUCAUCUUCGGUUAUAUAUAUAUGAGUAUCAUGACCCGCCCGGCGGUAAACCGCCAGGGCGCUUUAAGCUUCUUGUCUGCAGAAACAGUUUGGACAAAUGAAUAUGUAGAUCAUAGCUUACGUAUGACGAAUCAAGCCAGUAUCAAUUGUAGAUAAAUAUGCGCGAAGGCAUAUCAGAACAAAUAUUUUAACUAAGCCUAUUACAAGGCUUUCCAGUGCCCAACAGGAUCAUUGUUUUCUCAAAAUACAUGUCGCGGCAUGUAGAAGACUAAACCGGCCUCCGGUUCAUGAUUGGUCACCAACUUGGCCUGAUGGUUGCGGGUCAUCUCGCGCCGGUUCAGCUUCUUCUUCUCUACCCAGUGGCUGGAAAUCAACAGUUGCCCAGUCGAUCCCAGUUAGGGCUUGGAAUACAUCUUCAUCACUUAUCAGCGUCGACGGUUCAAUGUCAGGGGCAUAAGUGUGCUUACGGAUUGGCGGGAUAAGAUUCUGAGCUUCGGGGAUUGGUGCAGUAACCCGCUUGUUCUUGUCAUCAUAGUUUGCUUGAUAGUAUGACAGGUCCGCUUCUUCAACUAGUUGACAAGCCAGUGGGCAUACCUCCCGGUUUAUGAUUCGGAGAUCAUCUUCGCCAAAUUCUGUCCCGUCUUCCUUCAAACUGGGAUAACCUUGGGCCGCUUCAAUCGGAUCAAAGUCAGGUACCCAUGCCUUUGCCCGGGUCAGUGCAGCCAAAGCGCCCGUCCUAGCAGCAGACUUUUUCAAUUCGUCAACCCGAGCAGGAAGCAUGGAUAACCUUUCUAAGGUAUCUUUAAUCAAGGUGGGAGGAGGAUUGUUGUGAGAAGCAGUAUAUAUGAUCCGUUGCGCGUCGGUAUACAACUGCACUAUCAUAGUAUAGGCUGCUUUUAACUUCUUCUAAACGUCAGAUCCCAAGUGGCCAAUACGAGUUCCUCUAUCAUUGCAAGGAUUAGUAAACCGGUAGAUACAUGAAAGAAUAUGGUCAAAUCGGGAGUUACGGAUGCUUACCAAACACGGCUGCGGUCAUGGCAUGAACCUGCCGCUUUAUGCUGGUCAGUUCAUCAACCACCGGUUUAAGAGCAGCUUCUGCUUUCUCAGCCCUUUUGAUCAAAUCGGAUUUUCACUUUCCCAAUCCGACCGUUCCUUGUUGAAGCUUUCUUUCAGUUUCUCCAUAGCGCCUAGAGCGCUAGUCAACUCUUCCUUCGCCUUGGAGGUUUCAGCUUGUUGCAAUUUAAGGUUUUCCUGGAGAUCAGUGGUUUGGCUCUCUUUUUUGCUCAGCUCAGCCUACAAAGAGACAGUCAUAUGGUGAGGUGACAGUACAUACUUGAAGUACCAAGCCCAUAACAAGUUAUGCCCUUGGCACUUGGGGGCUAAUGCAUAUUUGCUCUGUCAGACAAUUUUUUUGAAGUCCCAAGCACAAUACAAGUAUUAAGCUUGGUACUUGGGGGCUAAUGUGUAUUUGCUCAUAACUUGCUAAAAAAGGAAUUCUUCUACAAAGUCCCGCUUCAUCUUUAUAUAGUUAAACCGGCCCUUGGGGGCUACAUCGGUGAAGUUAAGAUGCAUUGUUGCAAGCUCGAGAUUGCUAUUAAAGUCCCGGUUUAAGUUGCUAUCUUAAACCGUCACUUGGGGCUACUGGAAUUGAUAAGCUGCAAAAACAAUACAGAAAGAGAAGCAUGUAUAAAGUUCCCUCAUAUUUUCUUUCAUCAUAUUGACCAGACCGGCUUCAUAGUCACGGCUGGUGAACAGACGGUUCAGAUAGCCGGAAUGAAGGUCUUGAGCGUUCAGAUGGGCGUAGGUGGACAGAUCGGCAUUCCAUUUGCCUUUGCCAAUUGCAGAAAAUUCCUCCUUGGCGGCAUGCUUCGACAAAGCGACAGGAUUCCCUGGAUCCGUAUAGCCAACGCCAGUAAUCAGAACAUCACCACCCUUCUCCUCAGCAGCUUGUACUGGGGUCGCCGGUUUGUCGAUAUUCUUUGCUGGACUUGCCGGUUUGUCAGUCCGGAGACAACUGGCCGGUUGGUCAGCAUGGCCUGUGGUGUCAAUUUCUGCCUGCUCAGCAACAAAGUCAUAGUCUUGAGGCGGUGGGUCAUUCAGCAUAUCAUCAAGGUUGGCUUCUACAGGAUCUGGAGUUUUCUCCGGUUCAGGAGCUGUGUCUUCUUCUGUUGGUUUGUUGAAGCGAGCUUUCUUGCUUGGUCUGGGCUUAGCGCUGACGAAGUAAAACAUGAAGGUCAGUAUAGCGUGUAAAAUGCAUGUCAAGAAUAAAGCAACUGAACAACUUACCCAAUAACCGUUUUGAGGGGUGGAAGUUUGGUGGCUGACGACUCGCCAGAGGAUGAAUGAGAAGUGCCCUCAUAAUUGGAAUCAGACGGAUUAAGAGGUUGACGAAAACAACCUACUUUGGGGCAUGACAUGUCAAGGGAAUUAGAGACCUCUGAUCGGUGUUUCUGAACCAGACUGUUCAGUAAACCGGCGGAGGUAACUACCUGGACACUAUGCCGGGUUGUGCGGCGAGCCUCGUGUUUAUGCGUCUUCACAAGAAAGUUUGGAUCCAAAUAAGCAAGAGGAUGUGAAAUUUUAACUUUCCGGUUUGCUCGACGGGUUUUUAGUGAAGGCAAAGGGUUUGAAUCGGAGGAAAGAACAAUUACCUCUACAGCAUCGGCGUGACUGACUUCAGCGUCAUCCUGGCAAUAAUCAUCAUCAAUAAGGCGUAUGAAAAAUGAACCAAGUGAGUCAAGUUCUACCUCAAAAUCCGGGUUACCCACAUCAUCAUCAGCCGGUGGAUCGGAGGAUGCAGUGGUUCUCUUUCGGUUGGCAGGUUUUUUCACAGCUUUGGUCUUUUGGCGGGUUGGCUUCACCGGUUUGUCUUGCGGAGGUUUCUUGUUCCAGAACGGAUCAUCGCCCUGCCAAAAAAUCAUCACAUUUUCAGAGAAUAUUGGGAUAGAAGCAGUUUCUGAUAAACAGAUGGUAUGAUUCUUACAGCUGGCGGUUUGUUGAUGGCGCAGAAAGGGAGUAGUCCGGUUUGAGCACAGGUAGCCUCUGGUUCAUUCAACAUCUUUUUUACAGCCUUAGUGACUUCGUCAUCUGUAAGCUGAAUAUCAAUGUGCCGCUAAGCAUCCUUCAAAUUCCCUGUAUACUCACACAUCAAACCGGGGCGCUGGCUUAAGGGCAAAAUGCUCCAGGUUAUCCAGCAGCGCGCAAAAUCAACUCCUGUCAACCCGUUUGCCAUAAAGGCCCUAAGCUUGGAUACUUGAGGAGCAUAUUUGAUUCUCUCUUUAGCUGUCAGCCUUUGAGGAAAAGGGUGUGUGUUGCUCAGGCGUUCAGGACGGUAACCCGGCAGGGGGUUUUCAUCAGCUGGAGACGUAUCCUUGCAGUAAAACCAGGUCUGGUUCCACUCUUUGGGGUGACUGUGGAGAUUGGCGUGAGGAAAGGUUCCUCUUGAAGGUAAACCUCACAAAACACUUGAAAGUGGCAGAUGUUGGUUACAGAGUUAGGGCCGAUGUCUUGUGGGCGCAGUUGAAAGUUGGCCAGUACAUCCCGGAAGAAUUUUGAACCGGGAGGGUUGAAACCCCGGCUUAAGUGAUCAGCAAACACGAUAACCUCUCCGUCCUUGGGAGUAGGAGGACAUUCCGGGCCAGAGACCCUCCAGUGAAUGACAUCUUUCUUGCUUAAAGCACCCGUUUUGACAAGAUUGUCUAACUGCUCUUCAGUUACUCGAGAAGGGACCCAAUUGCAUUCGUAAACUUGCUUGGCCAUGGCAGUAAUGGAUCUACAAACAUGAUAAUUACCGAUUUAAAGAUUUACGGUGGACAAGCUAUGGGGCGGUUCAAAGAUGUAAGCACAUUGUCAAACCAGGGUUGGUUGAUCAUAAACCGGAGUUUAUUAAAGCAAAGGCUAAAUAUGACGUACAAUGGCGGUUCAACAAGGGGACUAAUGGUAUAUACUGGAUUGUCAUUUUUUCUACAAAGUUAAACCGCCUAGUCUGACAUUGAAGAUUCAAGUCUGCAGAUGUGUAAGUGAAGGAAAAACAGAUUUCACAAACUGGUAUUAUAAUUUUGGAUCCCCGCAUGUCAGAAAAGGAAAGUAUAUUCAAGACCUAGGAAGCAGUACCGCAGCAAUGGGGGAAGGUUCAGAUGAGAUCUUCUGUUUUGAGAUGCAUAGAUGGAAACAGAGACUAAAGGCUAUCAUUAUACGAAACAGAUAUUCAGGAUUCUAUCAAGAGUCAUUAUAUGAGCAAAGAACGCUGACGAACACCGAAGAACGCUGAAACCCUAGAACAGAUCUAUGGCGGAAAGAGCAGAGAGCUUACCAGUGCUGAUGAAGAAGCGGAGAGGCGCCGCAGUUUUCUGGUGCGUUCAGGGUGAUGCAGCGGCCAGAGUCGAAGCAGAGGCGACGGUCGACGGUGGCGGCGGAGCUCCAAAGGCUGAGUGGCGCAAGGAAGACGACGACGCGAAGAGGCGCGAGGGGAAAGGUGAAAAUGACCCCUCGGCCCUAUUUAUAAAGGCAAGGGAUAAGUGUCAGGCGCGAAAAUCGAGGAGCCAGAAAUUUGGAAAGCGGAGCUAUCGCCUCGAUUGUCGGAGACCCAUUAAUGAAGAUGUGUCAUACACCGUUUUUUAUAACAGAUGAUGUCACGAUGGUUUACCACGAUCUGGGAAGAUGACGUCACGGCGGUUUACAAAAUUAUGUGAAAAUGUUGAAGACGAAGUUUUCUUGAGGACUGACAUGAACCAGUUCAAAUCAGUCUGGGGCCUAAUGUUGGGGAUAUUACUACUGGGCGUAAACCGGCCAGGAGAGGCCGGGUUAACUUCAUCAGUAGUCUAUUAUGUUUGAAGCCCAUGAAGACAGACGGUGACAUUGUGUAAAGGCCCAGAGCCUAGAAACCGGUUUAAGGCCUGUAGCUAUAAACUGACGUUGAUAUGUAACUUGCAUUGUAAGGUAGAAAGAGCGGAGACCGAGCCGGACACGUUUAUGAGCCGGCCUCGGGACUCUGUAAACCGAGGGGCGUCAACCCAUGUAUAUAAGGGGAUGACCCGGUGGCGGUUCAGGACAACAGACAACAACUCGAGACUCAGGCAAAGCGUAUUCGCUCCCUGGUCAUCGAAACCCCAUCAAUUCCAGCACAACUAGACGUAGGCUUUUACCUUCAUCGUAAGGGGCCGAACUAGUAUAAAACUCUCUUGCGUCCCUUGUCCGCGUUAACCCCUUUAAGCUAACCCGUAGCGAUGACUCCACGACUAAGUCCUUUCAUGAGGACAUCUGCCGUGACAAAACCACGACAGUAGGGAUCUAUAAGGUCAAGUUUGGGAGGAAUAGGUUCCUCCUUCAGCCCUUUGUAUUUGAUAAUUAUUUCUUCAUUGUAAGUAUUCCUUUGAUUGAGCACCCUAAGUCUAUCCUUAAGCACAAACCCUAAUCCAUUAUUUUGUAUAGCAAAAUUUUCAUUGAGCUUAGAAAUUUUAUCAAUCAAAACAUCGGUAGGGACCUUCUUUCUUAGGUUUUCAUUGUAAGCAGCAUAAUCCGGAGAUUGUAAUCUCCUAGUUUCUUCUUGAAUAAAAAGGAUUUCUUCUAUAGGAGGACAAGCACCAUUAAUAUUAUAAUGAGCAAAUAUUUCACCAGCUUCUUUCAUAAUGAACCUAAACUCGUGAGCUAGAAAUAUAGUGGUGACACACUUAAUUGAAGGAUCAUGAAUAUUGGAAAAUUCUAGUAAAAGCCUUUGUAUGGAAGGAUGUAUGUGAACAAAUUGUCUUUCAAAUUCCACUAUGAGCAAAGAUAUCGCAUCCGCAAGGCUAAUAAUUUUAUUAAGGAUAGAUCCUCCUAGCAUGGGUAUUGUACCAGCACAAGUAAAGAAUCUUGAAUAACCCCUUUUCCAAUGAUAUUACCACUAGUUACGCGGAGUUUUUUAAUAACUUCAUGAGGAUCAUUAUUAGCAAAGUCAUCAAAGUUUUACUCAAGAUUAUUACUACCCUUUUCAGCCAUAACCUCCUCAGAUUCAGACAUGGCGGCAAGAAACCAAUCUAGCACACAAGCAACCAAAGGCAAACGAAAGAAGGGCGAAUAAAAAGGCAAAUAUUUUUGUGUUUUUUCUGAAAAUGUUUUAGAAGUGGGGGAGAGGAAAACGAGAGGCAAAUGGCAAAUAAUGUAAUGCAAGAGAUUAGAGUUUAUGAUGGGUACUUGGUAGGCUUGAUGUAGAACCUCCCCGACAACGGUGCCAGAAAUUCUUCUUGCUACUUCUUGAGAUUGCGUUGGUUUUUCCCUUGAAGAGGAAAUGGUGAUGCAUCAAAGUAGAGAUAAGUAUUUCCCUCACUUUGAGAACCAAGGUAUAAAUCCAGUAGGAGGUACAAGCAAGUCUCCAAUCUAUGCACAUGCACAAACAAUCAAACAUUGCGCCCAACGCGAUAAAGGGGUUGUCAAUCCCUUCACGGUCACUUACAAGGAUGAGAUCUGAUAGAAUCAUUAAAUAAGCAAACAUAUGCAAACAAUGCAAACAUAACAGCAAUCUGCCAAAACAGUACAGUCUGUAAAGAAUGCAAUCGUAUCAACACUUCUUAAACUCCAAAUAUUAUGAAAAUUUACCACACCGUAGAAAAUUUAUUACAGCUUAUUAUUCAAAAAGUUUCAACAUUUUAUCACAUUCUUACUUUUCUACGGAAUUUUUGCAACAGUGGUAAACUUUCUGUUUUGAAACAACAACAAGUAUACUUGCAAAAUAAGCAUGGUAUAAGCUAUCCUUGACAUUUUUAUUGAAAAGAAAGAUGCAAAACAUUAUUCUAAAUAACAGCAAGCAAAUUCUAAAAAAAAUAAAAUGACUCUUCAAGCAAAACACAUAUCAUGUGACGAAUGAAAACAUAGCUCUAAGUGAGGUUACCGAUAAUGUUGGAGACGAAAGAGGGGAUGCCUUCCGGGGCAUCCCCAAGCUUAGUUGCUUGGAUAUUCCUUGAAUAUUACCUUGGGGUGCCUUGGGCAUCCCCAAGCUUAGGGUCUUGUCACUCCUUAUUCUCCUCAUAUCGACAUCUCACCAAAAACUUGAAAACUUCAAUCACACAAAACUUAACGGAACUUCGUGAGAUAGGUUAGUAUGAUAAAGAGCAAACCAUUUCACUUUGGUACUGUCAAAGACAAGAUUAAUAAUUGUUUCCACACAAUGCCUACUGUAGCAUAUCAUUUCCACAAUUUAUAUUGAGCGAUAUAAGCCAUAGAAACUAGGAAACAAGCAAACUAUGCAUUGAAAACAGAAUCUGUCAAAAACAGAACAGUCUUUAAUGAUCUGAAUUGUUCUCAUACUUAUGCAACUCUAAAAAUUCUGAUAAAUUAGGAAAACAUAGGUAAUUUGUACAUCAAUCAUCUAUAAAACAAUUCAGAUCAAAAGCACGUUCCAAUGAAUUAAAGAAAUUCAUGGACUGGGCGCAAAAGUUUCUGUUUUUGGACAAAAUCAAGUCAACUAUCAUCCACACUAUCCCAAAGGCUUUACUUGGCACUUUAUUGAAAAAGCUAUAAAACUGUAUUACUACAAUAGCGAAAUCAUGAGAACACACAAAAACAGUAGGUAAAAGUGUUGGGUUGUCUCCCAACAAGCGCUUUUCUUUAAUGCCUUUUUAGCUAGGCAUGAUGAUUUCAAUGAUGCUCGCAUAAAAGAUAAGAAUUGAAACAUGAAAAGAGCAUCAUGAGGCAUAUGACUAGCACAUUUAAGUCUAACCCACUUCCUAUGCAUAGGGAUUUUGUGAGCAAACAAUUUAUGGGAACAAGAAUUAACUUGCAUAGGAAGGCAAAACAAGCAAAGCUUCAAGAUUUUCAACACAUAGAGAAGAAACUUGAUAUUUUUGCAAUAUGUAAAAGCAUAUGUUCCUCUCUCAUAGUAAUUUUCAGUAGCAUCAUGAAUGAAUUCAACAAUAUAACUAUCACAUAAAGCACUAUUUUCAUGAUGCGUAAGCAUAGAAAUUUUGUUAUUCUCCACAUAAGCAAAUUUAUUCUCAUCAAUAGUAGUGGGAGCAAACUCAACAAAAUAACUAUCAUGUGAUUGAAAAUAGAAAUCAUGAUGACAAAUUUCAUGGUUAUCAUUAUUCAAUAUAGCAUACUUGUCAUCAUCAUAAUCAUCAUAGAUAGCAACCUUGUUCUCAUAGUCAAUUGAAGCCUCAUCCAAAAUGGUGGAUUCAUCAUUAAAUAAAGUCAUGACCUCUCCAAAUCCACUUUCAUCAUUAUAAUCAUCAUAAAUAAUAGGCAUGCAAUCAUUAUAAUAAUUUUUCUCAUCAAAACUUGGGGGAGUAAAAAUAUCAUCUUCAUCAAACAUAGCAUCCCCAAGCUUAUGGCUUUGCAUAUCACUAGCGUCAUGGAUAUUCAAAGAAUUCAUACUAGCAACAUUGCAAUCAUGCUCAUCAUUCAAAUAUUUUGUGCCAAACAUUUUAUUGACUUCUUCUUCUAAAAAUUGAGCAUAAUUUUCCGAUCCAUCAUUUUCAAGAAAGAUAUUAUAAAGAUGAUCAAUAAUAUGAUGCAACCUCAAUUCCAUUUUUUAUGUAGUUUUCCUUUAUAAACCAAACUUAGUGAUAAAACAAGAAAAUAGAAGAUUCAAUUGCAAGAUCUAAAGAUAUACCUUCAUACACUCACCUCCCGGCAACGGCGCAAGAAAAGAGCUUGAUGUCUACUACGCAACUUUAUUCUUGUAGACUCGUGUUGGGCUUCCAAGCACAGAGUUUUGUAGGACAGUAGAAAUUUUCCCUCAAGUGGAUGACCUAAGGUUUAUCAAUCCGUGGGAGGUGUAGGAUGAAGAUGGUCUCUCUCAAGCAAUGCAACCAAUCUUUGUUGGUGUCUUGUAUUAUUGCAGUAUAAAGUCUGUAUAUCUGAGCUUGUCGUUUAGGUUGCUGUAGAAUCAAUGUGAUGUUGUGGCGAGUGCUACUCGUCUCGGUCUUUUCUUGUUUUGUAUCCACACAAGUGCUGGCACACAGCAUAGGAGAGGUGCAUUUCAAAAAAGGAUAAUGUAAAUUUGGAAGUUUAUUAUCUGCACUUGACUUGUCGAAGUUGUAAAAUCAACCAGUCUGUUUGUUUGUUUACAAAGGCAAAGAGAUAGAGAGAAUUGCUGCGAAAUGAUACUUGUGAUUGAUCGAGAUGCUGAGAAAUUCUUGGCUUAAAUAUGCAUGGAGAGCAUUGUUCUCCUAGUGAUUCCUUUGCAGAGGAAUUCAGUUGUGAAAAAUGAUGAUUGUGUGUUUGUGGAAUUCUUCCACUUGAUUGUCUUGGGCUAAAUCUUGCUAAUCAUUUGGGUAAAAUCGUUGAGAAGAAGAAUUUGGAUAUCUUUGCAAUCGGGCGGGAAUAAUGUGGAAGUAAAAUCAAGAGCACCAUAAGACUUACACGUGCACGCUAUCGUGAUGGCAAGCUUCCUUCCAAUGUAGGAGCAAGCAAUCAAGCUAGCUAUUAAAACAUUAUGUAUGAUUGCUCGAUCGGUUCCCAACAGCAAACAAACAUUAUGUAAGAUAAGCAAGCUAAUAGGUAGAGACUAUCUAGUCUCAUUUUCUUUUCUUUAUUCUUUAGUUCAUGUUUUAAAUAUUUGACACUAUUUAAAAAUCAAAACUGAUUCAAGCUAGUUUCAAAUUGCUUUGAAUAAUUUUAUGUGACUUUACUGGACCCUCCCAACGCUGCAUAAUAUAUUUCAGGGAUUUUGAAUUUAUAUUCUAUUAUAUUAUUAUGAAUAUAAACAUAAUUCAAAUACAAUAUUUAUUUAAAUUUAAUACCCUUUUAAAUGUUCAAAAAUCUUGGUUUGACUAAUAACCCUUGAAACAAUUCUCAAAUAUUAAUGAAGGGCAUUUUGGGUUCAUUGAGUACUUUUUUUUAGAGUUUUAGCCCUUUAUUUAUAUUUUGAGGCUUUGAAUUUCAGCAACUCAAAUUUAACUGAAUUAAAACAUGAUGCAUCGAUCCGCCGAAAAAACAAAAUGAUGCAUGUAUAUAUUGUUCUAAUGCAACAAUUUACACUAUUGUCUGAAAAAAACUAUGUACACUAUUUGAUUCUAGGGCUGUGACACGAAAACCUUGAGCUCCUGACUCUAUUUCUCAUAUGCUUGUAAAUGACCUAUCUAUUAUUUGAGAAAUAAAGUUGUAUUAUUGUUAAAAAAACUUGAGGGGUGAAAAAAACGGAAUAUAUAAUAAUAAUAAGUAUAUAUAGGAAAACUAACAUAUUUCUCGUCCGAUUAAGAGUCGUUCUCCGUUUUAGUAUAAUAAAGAAAAGGCGAUCCAGUGGGCCGGUGCCGGGCUGGGCCGAGCGUGAGACGGGAUAUGUAUAUGAAACCAGCACUGCCCCUGGCGUCUGUCUGGUUGAAACCCUAGUAGGACACCAGGCGAGCGGCGGCGGCGGCGGCGUGGUUAGCCAUGUCUUCUCUUCUCAGCCCACCAAAGCCAGAAAUCGAGUUCAAAGAGGCGGAGGGGAAGGAGGAAAGAAGAUGGAAAGCGAGUCCGCUAUGGGGACGGAGGGGGAAUCCGGCAAGGAGCAGGAUUUGCUGUUGGAUCCGGGGAGGAAACUCGGGAAGAUGGAAAUCGAGUUAGGGAAGUGGACGGAGCAGGCUUCCGGCAAGGAGCAGGAGACGGUGCGGGAUCUGAAGAAGAGGCACAGGAAACUCAGUAAGAAUCGUAGGUACCUCUUGCAAGAUAUCGUCUCAGGGAAGUUUAAGGAAUUGUAUUCCGAUUCCGGCCGCAACAGGGUAAUGGGGAUUUUCAGGGAAGCCGAGGAGCUGGACAAGGAGUUGAUGAUUAUUAAGGAGAAGGAGAAGGAGAAGCAGGAGACGGUGGUGGAUUCCGGCGAGGAGGAGAUGGGCAGGGAUUCGGCGCGGCACCAGUCCCUGAUGGAGGGGCAACUCAGGAAGGAGCAGGAGAGACUCAGGAAGGUUCGGUACCAACUCAAGAAGAAGAUGAGGAGCGAGUCCGACAAGGACCCGGCGAUGCAGAGGAUGCUCUUGAGUCAGCAGCAGAUACUCUGGACCAAGGAGCAAGCACUCUUGACGGUGAUGAGGCAGUCCGGGAUGGGGAUGGGGAUGGGGAUGGAGAUGGAGAUGGAGAUGGAGAUGGAUUCUGAUUCUGAUUCUGAUUCUGGCUCUGGCUCCGGCUCCGGUUCCGGCCAUGAGAUGGACGAGAGGGAUUCCAGCAAGGAGCCGGUGAGGGAUGCCGGCGGCAAAGAGGGGCAGAUGGCCAAUGACUUGGUUGGUGUUCUUUCCGGCCACCUUGGGAUGCUUAAGAGGGAGAUCUCGUUCCUGAGGACAGAGGUCAAGUCCCGGGGAUUGGCUGGAAACAGGGCUUGUCAAGAGCAGAUCAUGUCUAACCUAAGGCCCCUCGAUGAAAAUCUUCUCAAGAAGGUGAAUUUGCCUUACCUAGGUUCCAACACUGAGGAGGUGAUGGAUUUUCUGCUGGUCGAGACGCAGCAGUUGCUCUACCGCUUCAACUCUCUCGCAUCCAUUCUACAAAAACUCAGAAUCCCCAUAUCUUCCGACAAGAUUGAUAAGCUGCGUCUCAUAUCCAAUGCACUUGUGGGCAUCUCGGAGCUUAUCAAGAGGCACAAAUCUGUUGCUGCUGACAAGCAAGAUGGUGAAGAUCGUUUGGACUGUGCCGGCUGGGAGGCUACAUGGGGAAGCUCGACAGGAAGACAUGGUUGCUUUGACGACAUAAGUAAGCAAAAAUAAAUACCGUCAUCUAGCUAUCUUUUCCUCUCUUUAAUUGGGCCUCAGUCAAUUCAAUGCACUUUUCCUUUUUGUAUAUGUCACUGCAAAGCAAAGUAGAACUCUUCUUAUAUAUGCAUAGAUUUUAAUCUGCUAAUUUUAUUAAUAGCUCGAUCUCUAACCGUCCGCAAUCUCUUAAUUUUGUGCUGCAGCAACAUUGAGUCCUAUGCAGUUUACGGCUUCCACACCUGGAAGCUUCCCAUCAUCGUCCGUGGCUGGUCCCGCCUUGGAGAUCUACUCAAUCAAGCUCAUUAAUCUGAAUCCUAAUCUGAGUUGGCCCAUUGAUGUCUAUGGUGUGGUCGCUGCACGGGAUGAUUUUGACCACAACCGCAACAUUCUCUUCUGCCGGUCAAGUGCAGACUGCCAAAGAAUUAACCAAGAGGUUUGUAUAAUGUCUAUCUUCUCGUCUAAUUGUUAUAAAGGAUUAUGUGUAGAGCAUUUGUUGUGUGACAAAGGAUUAAGUUAUAAUUGUUGCGUUAUGUUUGUAGUUUAAACUUAGUUGUUUGGUUACCUACAUACCUUGGAAUUGUUGUGUGUAAUCAGAUUCGUUUAAGGUUCAAACUAGUCGGUAUCAGCUUUAGGCAAGUUAUGCAGGCCAGGGAGUAUGUACUGACCUGCACCGUUGAAAUUUUUCUGCCAUAUUUAGUGAGCAUAGAGCAAAUCAGCAAGAAAAGCAAUUAAAGUAGUCUCGCACUUGCCGAGGCUGUUUCUGGAUGAUAGCAGGGCACAUGCCACUGUUAUGUUUAUUUCUGUAUAUCACACAAGUAAUGCGGCACAUGGGCAAAGGCCGAGCGAAUAUGGCUGACAUUGGCCGCCUGAUUGGGUGGCUGUGUGAUUGAAGGAGGGUAGAGAUAUGCAAAGGUUGUAAAAUCGACUAUGGAUAUUGACCUGCUGUUUCUUUGGGUGUAAAAGCAGAAGGUGUCGGUUCUAAAUCCAAAUUCAAAACCUGUGUAUUAUAGUGGUACAGAUUAUUAGGAUCUGUUUGCGAACGGAGUAUUUUUUUUCCAGAUUUUGGCCAUAUAAUAUCUGUUAGUCUAUGUCUAGUUAAACUAGUUGAACUGAAUUGUUAUUUUGCAUCAUGUGUGUGACUGAUGUUGAUGAACAUGGCGCUUGCAGGACCCUUUUUUGCACUUGAUUGGCCCGUCUCGUGCAAUUGUAGCUGAAGAACCUGUGAUGUUUCAAAUUGAACUGAAAUUGAAGUAUGGAGCAAAUUUCAAAGAUACAGCAUCGUUCACUUCCAACCAAAGUUAUCGCUCCAUCAUGCCAUAUGAUACCAUGCAGAUCUAUAACCGCUGUUGUACAGCAGAGAUAAGCCUCGGGCGAGUUGCUCCAGCAAUCCAGGCCACAAUUGUAGGUGUUUGUGUGACUAAAGGGGAGUGGCCUUUUAAGUAUGGAUGUAAAGUUUCUUGCUUCUUUUCUCCUGCUGAUGCAACGGAGGGAUGCGAGGCAGAAGUCGUUUUGCUUGACCGCCGUGCUAAAAGGAUGCGUGCGGGAUCAGAUGGGUAUCUUUCUUUGUCAAGAAAUGUCGUGUCAGUGGGAUUGCAGGGCACACUCCGAGUCGUCACAGAAGCAUACUCAGAGUCCGGACUCAAUAUUGUUCGAAAAUAUCACGCUGAAUUUCCUAUCCAGCAGAGUCAGAUAGAUAGUCGUGAGUGCUCAGUUGACGGCUCCACAUUGAAGAUAGUUGUUGCUUGGUCUCGCCUUGUCAUUGACAAGGAUGAUCUUGUACUCGAUGGUUAUUGAAGGUGCGUCGACCUAGCUUGUUGCUGCUGCUGCUAGUUUGUCAAAUCUUAUGUAACAGCUCUUGUUCUUGCAUAUAUACUAUAUUUGAGCAUGUAGUUAGUUGUCAACCUGUGCACAAAAAGGAACCUCUUGUUAGGCAUAGGUUUGGCAAAGCAUAAUUAUUUUUAUGGCAGAUUUGACUGGCUCCAUUUAUCUUUUCUCUCAUGCCUGCCAUUUGGUCUUGUAGGAGGAACUGAGGAUGCACAAAGGAACAAUGGAGCUGGUGGUGCUGUGUGUUAAUUCCUUAGUUUAGAAUGGAGCUGGUGGUGGCAUGAAGACGUGGUUCCUUAGUUUAGAAUGUUGAAUCGUGAUGAUGUCUAGUUUGAAAGACGAGAAUUAUCAUAUGGUAGUACUGCUGAUGACUAAAAAACUAUGCAUGUUGAGGACUUUGUCCAUGGUUUGAUUCUGUGGGUUGAGAGCUACUGUAAUUUGGUUGGCUUCCUCGACAUUAUGCCUGUGAAUUUUUUGUGCCUGAGAAAAUUGUUGUUCUUGCCUCACCAGGCCAGAAUAUGGAAGAGGGUCUGGCCUGGUGGACAUUAAUUUUCCACAUCCUCCUCGUUUUAUUUUCAGGCUGAUGCACCAGGCGUCCAAAAUGGGUGGCCUGGACCAGGCUAACCGUGCUGCCUCAUGCUUAGUCCUGGCCAUGGGAAGCCCGGCUCGGCCCGAAAAAGCCCGACCGGGCCUGGCCUGAUGCUGCUCCCGGGCUGGGCUUGGGCCUAGAUUUUGAGCCUGAAGGCCGGGCUGGGCUGGGCCCGGGCCUGUCGUUUUUGCAAUUUCCCGAAGAGGCCUGGCCCGAGGCCUGUUGGGCUUUUAUGUGUUCGGGCUGGGCUUGGGCCUAAAAACCAGGCCUGAUGGCCGGGCCAGGCUCAGGCUUGGGUUUUUUACUUGGGCUUGGCUAGGCCCGGCCCGAGUUUUUUGCCAGGUAUAGUCAUGCUCCAUCCAGGCUAACUACUUGCUCCUAUUCUCCAGGCCAGGCUGACGCCACCAGCCUCAGGACAUGCACCAAACAUGAACGAGGCAACUCUCAGGGAAGCUCCCAGGAGCUGUGGAAACGAAGAACCAAAUGGCUCAUAAUCUUGCUAUGUUCUCAGGCCUACUACAAGUAAAAAUAAUGAUAAAACCCAGGCACUGCUUGAGAUUGAAAAAAAAAUGUCUCAACUUUGUGAAAUGAUUUUCAACAAAACAAAUAUAUAAAUGCAUGCACCUCAUCAGCAGACUUUGUUCAUCUUAUUACCAGCUAUGUAUGUAUGUAUGUAUGUUAGGCUCAAUCUUGCAGAGCCUACUCACCCGUAACAACAUGAACAAUAAUCAUCAUGCAUUACAUACAUACAUCACAUUGUUGGAAAUAUUAGCACUUUUUCGAUUAGACUUAUCCACGAGUAAACAGUAAGCAGGGCAUAAAAGGUAUGCAUCUCAUAGCGAUACCUAAGCAUACUAGCACGUACAGAACAUAGAAUCGAACCUUCUAUGAGCAGCACAUAUACGGCUAGCAUAAGUACGAGUAAACGAGGGAUGAACAGAUCAUACCCUCCGGUUGGCCAGGCCAACGCGGCGGCGGCAGCAGCAGCCUCGGCGUCGUCCGUGGCCUUCUUCUUAGCGGCGUCGUCGUCGGCCAUGGUGUCGAUGCAGAGGAAGUAGUGAAAGCAGAGGCGAACGGAGUUGGGGACGGAUCGGGAGCAGUCGCGUCGAGACGCUCCCCAAAAACCUUAUUGCCGUUCUCCCGGGCAGGAUCUCGAACGACAGGGUUCCGGAGGCACCUGCUCUCUCGACCAGCCGUGCACGCGGUCGUCGGGAUGGGAUCGCCGGAGGCAGCACAGAGUGAGGAACAGUAGAUGACGGCUAGGUCACGCGAGAGGGAGAGAGUGAACCGAACUAGGUUACUCAACUGGCCAGAGCCUUCUUAUAUAGUCUGUAAGGAAGAAAGUCAUGGGCCUUGCGGAGGCCCACGAUCGAGUCGGCCCACUCCCGGCAAGGGAGUCGACGAAUCCCGACAAGGGGGUCGACGAAUCCCGGCAACGCAAGUCAGCCCACAGUCCAACGUCUUGGAUAGUGGCCCACAUGUCAGCGACUCGUUAAUUAAUCCCUGAUUAAUUAAUUCGUUCCUGAGCGGCAAAAAUAAGCUUCGGCUCAUUCCCGCAACCCGCGGCGCGCGCGUCGUGACGAGGCGAGGCAUGGCGAGGCAGGCGGCGGAGGAGGAGGAGCGCGCGUGUACCACUCCUCUUCCCAAGCUCCCAAUGGCAAGUGGUAGAGCAGCCCUUAUAAAGGGGUCUCAACUCUCCUCAACUAGCAAGGUGUGACUAAACUUCCCACCACCUGCCAUCUCAUACAUGGGCCUCAAGAUUAACCAGGGAUUAGUGUCUUAUAUGGGCCUAAGCCCAUCCAUAAUCCAACAAUCCCCCACCAGAUCUCGAGGCACAUAAGUUUGUCAACUGUUCCAAACAAUGUUUGAUAUACCAGAAUUUUCAGUGGAGACUGUUAAGUUGAACUUCCACCUAGAGCAACAGGAUUAGACUUCUUCACAACUGAACAAUGGACUAUGCCUUGAAUUGUCAGUUUGGCGUGCAGAAGUUUCGCCUAUUGUCAGCUGAUACUCGGCUGCCGUAGGCUAAACCCCACGGGUGGAGCUUAUUAGUCAUACUCCGCACCUUCUCAUGAGCUUACUAGAGAUUACCCAAUCACAUAGACUGUGACCAGCAGUCGGGCUCACAUAUGUGUGUUCCUCCAAGGAAUGCUCUGUAGGUUAGCUUCUUGCUUACAUAAGCUUUGGAACACAUUAAGACAAAAGUCAGCCUGCCUUACAGAAUUGAGAGUAUUACUGCAUCUUCAACGGAGUGAGUUUAUUAAGGAUACUCUCCUUAGUUGACCGCUGGAUUGUUUUUCCAGGUCCUAAUUCACGGGAUCUCCGAUCACAUAGGUUGGGUUACCCCCAUGGCAACUUCUGUGGGUCUUAUACCCAUCUCCCUCGAUGCAUUUUCUAUCACAAUCCGUGAUAGCCCUUUCGUAAAAGGGUUUGCCAGAUUCUUAGCCGUCUGGAUAUAAUCCAACGCCAUUACUCCGGAGUUUCUUGAUUUUCUGACAGAUUUCAAUCUUCUUCUUAUGUGCUUUGUGGAUUUCAUGUUGUCCUUUGAACUCUUAGCCUUGGCAAUCACUGUUUGAUUGUCACGGUUCAUAAGGACAGCCGGCAUUGGUUUAUCAACCACCGACAAAUCCAUCAAAAGCUCUCGAAGCCAUUCUGCUUCGACGCAUGAUGUGUCUAAUGCUGUGAGUUCUGCUUCCAUAGUCGAUUUGGUUAAGAUCGUCUGCUUGCAAGACUUCCAGGAAACAGCACCACCACCAAGUGUGAAGACAUGUCCACUUUUGGCUUUCAUCUCAUCAGCAUCAGAUAUCCAAUUCGAAUCACUAUACCCCUCAAGUACCGUCGGGUACCCAGAAUAGUGAAUUCCAUAGUUCGCAGUACCUUGCAAAUAACGCAUCACUCGCUCAACAGCAUGCCAAUGCACAUCUCCCGGAUUGGAAACAAACCGGCUCAGUUUGCACACAGCAAAUGAGAUAUCAGGACGAGUAGCACAUGCUAGGUACAUCAGUGAACCAACCACUUGAGAAUAUCUCAAUUGCUCUACAGCCGUGCCUUCGAACUUUCGAAUCCGCACGCUAGGAUCAUAUGGUGUUGCAGAAGGUUUGCAGUCCGAAUAUCCAAAACGGCUCAAAAUCUUCUCAACAUAGUGGGAUUGCAAAAGUGUAAUUCCACCCUCAGAAUUUCUCAGUAGCUUGAUGUUCAGGAUAACAUCAGCCACACCCAGGUCCUUCAUCUCAAAGUUGUGAGAUAGAAAAGACUUGACCUCCUCAAUGACCUUGAGGUGGGUCCCAAAUAUCAGUAUGUCAUCGACAUACAGACACAUUAUAACUCCUUCGCCCCCACCGUAGCGAUAAUAUCAGUAUGUCAUCGACAUACAGACACAUUAUAACUCAUACCCUAGUUUUCGUUUUUUAAAAUAGAUCGGUUUUUCUCCGGUUUAUUUAUUUAGCGAGCGUUCGCUCGUUUGUUCGUUUUAACGAACGCGUUCUUCGUUUAGAUCCAGAUAACGAACGUUCGUUCGUUAGUCUGUUCGUCAGUUUUCUUUUUCUCGGAUUUAUUCCGCGAUUUUUCUGAUUGCGAUUUCUGAUCCGAUCUUAGUUUUUGUUUAUCUUUUCGCUCGUGAGUCGGAAUCAGGCGAUUCAAGCGCCUAGAUCUUCGUCUCGAGACCCUCUUUCUGUCUAAUCAACUUAAACAAGAUUUUGAUACUGUAAAAUUUGACCUUAGUUCAGAUUAGUAAACGGAUCUUGUUUCUUUCGCCGUUUGAGUUUCGUUGUUCCGUUUGGUUUGAUUCUUUUUGCGAACCGGAGUUCUUAAGUUGAACUUUCUGGUCAGCCUCGUUUAUUUGAGUUUUGCUUGUGCAUCUUUGCUUGUUGCUUAUGUAAGUUAUUGUUUGCUUGCGAUAGAAUUCCCGGAGUGCGAAGUGUGUUACUACGAGUCUCUAGGAUUCGCGGAUCGUCAGCAAGGCAAGUAACACAUUGAUCAUACUCUUUUCAUACCCAGUUUUUACGCAUUAGUUCCUAUCCUCAAACAUUGCAUGGUUAGGAUGUCUUUAACUUGUGGGUUGGGAAGUAGUUGUUGAGGUAGAACCUAUUGCCCUGUUACUAUCAAACCCUUGGGAGUUACUUCUACGUGUUGCUUAUAUUGCUAUGCUAUGCUCGUAGACGUGGUUGGGUUUGAGUGAAUCCAUGACAGAUGUGAGAUUGUUAAUUAAUGGGUCAACUUAAGGUGGCAACUUAAAUUACCAUCUGGGUGGAUUGAGGCACCUGGGGAACCCAGUGUUGUCUGUUUUAUUUUUUUGGAAAUCCCGGGGUACCCGUGUGAUCUUCCUAUGGACCGCCACCCAGGCUUAAAGGGAACUGAGAUGAUUCAUGCUAGAAACUUCCGUGUGUAGCCACAAGCUACUAUGGGCUCUAGCAUAGUUGAGUAGGUUACGUGAAGCUCUUGAAGAGGUAGAUCACCAGGUAGUGGGUUUUGUAGGUUUGGUAUGGUCUACCCGGAGUAGAGAGUUAAUGUUUCUGAAAGACUGUGUCUCGGUCAUUCGUUUCUCAAACACCAUGCAGUGCGAGAAAUCAACGGAGGCGAUCGAGUCUUGUGGGGAAAAGUGCGCAAACCUCUGCAGAGUGUACAAUCUAAUCAUGGUUAGCCGUGUCCCCGGUUAUGGACAAUGUUGAGUAUCUAGUACUUGGGUUAUCACAUGUAUCUCAUCACUCUUAAUUAAUAUUGUUGGGUUGUUAACUAUUUUAAUUGCGAUUGAGUUGGGGUUAUACCUUCUCAAUGUUUCAACCACCAUGAUAGUUAAAUUAAAAUCUAUUCCUUUGUUGUAGGGAAAAAUUGGCUUUUCGCAAAACUAUAACCAUAGAGCUUUCCACCAACCAAAUAUGCAUGUAGUGAUAGCAUUAUUCUGUUCUUACUCUAUUGUGUUAUAUUGCCAGCAUAUUCCAUGUGCUGACCCGUUCUCGGGCUGCAAUGUAUUAUGUUGCAGACUUUUCAGACGAGGAGUAAGGUUCGUUAGGUCGUUGCCGUGCAGCUCAGCUAUGCCGUUGGAGUUGAUGGACUCACUUUAUCUUCCAAGCCUUCCGCUAUUAUCGCAUUAGAUGGCCUUAAGCCAUAUUAUUGUAAUAAGUUCUCUUCUGAGACAUUCGAUGUAAUAAGUGUGUGAUUGCUACUUUGUUAUAAAUCCUUCGAGUACUGUGUGUGUCAGCAUUACUGAUCCAGGGAUGACACUGAAGCACAGAGACUUGACCAUCUGAGGUCGGGUCGCUACAGAACGACGCGCCCGACCUAGAAGCAUCGCCCGGCGCGUCCCGCCGGUCACCGCCCCUCACCACCGUCGUCUCCUCCUGUGUUUGCUACCGGUUCCGUUCAUGCAGCAGCAUGUCCCGUAGUUGCAGCUCCCCCAUGACGAUAGCCGCAGCUCCGGCGUGCGCCGAUUGCAGGUCGCAGCACAUCCGCCGCCCCUGCUAGUCGCCCCAUGGUAUCAAUUUUGAUGCCGUUCGUAGCAAAAAAUCGGAGACAUUCCAGCAAAAAACAAGGUUCCAGCAAAAACAUUAUAUAGUUCCAGCAAAAAAAUUGUGUGGUUCCAGCAAAAAAUGAGAUGGUUUUUAGCAAAACAUUUAUAUGUUUGUCGCAAAAAAAUUACAUGGAUCCAGCAAAAUUAGAUUAUGGUUCCAGCAAAAAACACAAAUGCAGCAAAAAUUACCGUGGUCGCAGAUUUUUGGGUGGGUGGGUGGUAGCAAAAACAUGGUCUGGUUCCAGCAAAAUUAAAGCAUGGUUGUAGCAAAAAAUCGAUUGGAAAAACAGAUAAUGUCAUGAAGAUGGAUGUAGCAAAAAUCCACAAAACACCGGUAGUAACAAAAACCAAAACGGAUGUAGCAAAAUGGUUCACCGGUUCCAGCAAAAAUCACCAUGCUAGCAGAUUUUGGGGGUGGGUGGCAGCAAAAUGGUUCAAUGGUUACAGCUCUUUCGCUGCACGGUUGCAGCAAAAUCCCAUGCCCUGUCGCGCACGGGGUCGUGCUCGCUGUCUUGCUGGAUGUAGCAUGGACUUCGACGGUCCAGCUAGGCGUCGACCACUAGCAGCGGCGUCCGUCGCCGUUUCCACCACUUGCCUUUGCUGCUCGCAGCUCCACCAAAUCUGGUUGCAGCCCGCCUCGUACAGCAUGCCAAACUGUUCGUACUCCGGCGAGCAGUUGCAGCGGUGCCACGGCAGCGAACGUCGGCGGUGGCAGCGGGGGCUUGCGGGAGGGGAAGGAGAGGUUGCGGAGAGUACGAGAGCGGCAGCGCGGGGGGAGUGGGAAGGAGGUCUCGUUCUCCGGUGAGCAGUUGCAACGGUGCCAUGGCAGCGAACACCGGUGGUUGCAGCGGGGGCUUGCAGGAGGGGAAGGAGAGGUCGGGGAGAGGACGAGAGCGGCAGCGCGGGGGGAGUGGGGAGGAGAAGAACGAAGACAAGGAGGUAGGGGAUGAAGUUGUGGAGAAGAUAAGGUGGGGUAGGGAUACACGCGUCUCACGCGGGGCGCGGUUUGGUGGGCGCAAAAGGCCAGCGUGGCACGAGACCGGCCGAAUUUUCGGCCGGCGCACCGCACACAAACAUUACCCAUAAAAAUAUCUGUAAUUUUUUUAACACAAUAAAAAUAGCUUUAAAAUGUUCACAGUUUUACAUAUGUUCACACUAUCUUUGUUUCAAGAAAAUAUGUUCGCAUUUUCUACAAAACUUAAAAAUUCCCAAAAAAGUUCCAUUUUUUUACUAAAACAAAGUCCAUCUAGAAAUGUACAACCAAAAACAAAAGAUUCUUUUCAUCAAAAACAUCUAUUCAAAAAAAAAUCUUUUUCCGUAAAAAAUAUUCUUUUUUAGAGAAAUGUUUAAAUUUUCAUAAAAAUGUUAACUAUUCCUAAAAAGUGUUCCAAUUUUUAUGAAAACGUUAACUUUUAUUAAAAAUAAGGAUUUUUCACGGUUAACCUUAUUAUGGACAUUUAUUAAAAUUAAAUAUAAAAAAUGAUGCACAAUGGCGCAUGAAGCUGGUUGUGCCUUUUUUUGCACGGUGCAACGCAUGGGCAAUUUUUCUAGUAAUAAUAAUAAGUAUAUAUAGGAAAACUAACAUAUUUCUCGUCCGAUUAAGAGUCGUUCUCCGUUUUAGUAUAAAGAAAAAGCGAUCCAGUGGGCUGGUGCCGGGCUGGGCCGAGCGUGAGACGGGAUAUGUAUAUGAAACCAGCACUGCCCCGGGCGUCUGUCUGGUUGAAACCCUAGUAGGACACCAGGCGAGCGGCGGCGGCGGCGGCGUGGUUAGCCAUGUCUUCUCUUCUCAGCCCACCAAAGCCAGAAAUCGAGUUCAAAGAGGCGGAGGGGAAGGAGGAAAGAAGAUGGAAAGCGAGUCCGGUAUGGGGACGGAGGGGGAAUCCGGCAAGGAGCAGGAUUUGCUGUUGGAUCUGGGGAGGAAACUCGGGAAGAUGGAAAUCGAGUUAGGGAAGUGGACGGAGCAGGCUUCCGGCAAGGAGCAGGAGACGGUGCGGGAUCUGAAGAAGAGGCACAGGAAACUCAGUAAGAAUCGUAGGUACCUCUUGCAAGAUAUCGUCUCAGGGAAGUUUAAGGAAUUGUAUUCCGAUUCCGGCCGCAACAGGGUAAUGGGGAUUUUCAGGGAAGCCGAGGAGCUGGACAAGGAGUUGAUGAUUAUUAAGGAGAAGGAGAAGGAGAAGGAGAAGCAGGAGACGGUGGUGGAUUCCGGCGAGGAGGAGAUGGGCAGGGAUUCGGCGCAGCACCAGUCCCUGAUGGAGGAGAUCAUAUCCGUGGAGAGGGAGCGCAAAGACCUGCUUGGCUCACUUACUCCUACCUUUUCUCUCUGGAAAGAGAUUGAUUCUCAAACAACCUGGACGAUCGCCACAACGGAGUCUGCUACUUUUUCUAGGGACAACAAUGAGAAUCCACUUGCAGACUACUUCAACCUGAUCCUCCAAGGUAUGGAGGACCUGGGUCAUCGGAUGCUUUCUACAUUAUAUUUUCUCAACAAAUCCGAUGACUCCGUCUGCUCCUACAAGGCCACCGAAUUGUGCAAUGCAGCAACCAAACUGAAUAUGCACAUCAAGGGAUUCAGCAUGAAGCCGGAGCCAGAGCCAGAGCCAGAGCCAGAGCCAGAGGAGCAGCCGGGGCAGAUCGAUUUGUCGAGUCUUUUCAGAAAAUAUUGUCGAUUUCCUGAUAAUUACAACAACACCUUGGCCCGGUUAGAUAUGGAGGAGCAUGAGGAGAACAAAUGUGAGGAUGUUCAUGUGAAGAAGACCAAGGAAGAGGAGGACAAGGAGAAGGACGUAUCCUCAAAGGAGUAUCUCAAGAAAAGGAUGGACAUCGAGCAACAAUUUUUAGCCAAUCAUCGAAAAUCCUGGGAAAAUGUGUGGGGCAGCAGGAUUGGACGGUGCGGUGGAUUUAUGGAUACAAGUAAGUAACUAACUUUCUGCUCGUAUCUACUAGUUUUCGUAAUAUUUUCAUGCACCACAAUGCUUCCUUUUCUGUGAUAUUCUCUCGCUGUGAUCCUCAAAUGUUAGUUGCACAAUUGUUGAAUCCAUUGGAUCUUUAGGGUCGCCGUCUUGUCGCAUUUACAGAUAUUUUGUGCCUGCCAUGAUAAAUUUAAAUUGUGCAAAUGCUGAACCCAUUGGAUCUUUAGGCUCGCUGUCUUGUUGCAUUUAAAGAUAUUCUGUACCUGCCAUGAUAAAACUGUCAGGUGGGUUGUGUAAUAUUGAAUAAUUGACUGAAAAAAAUGUUAUCAAUUGUAAUACUGCGAUACCUUUGGACUGGUCUAGUAACAGGACAGCAUGGACACUUAUAAGUGUCCCCCUCUGCUUGAACCUUUUUCCAGCAAUCCUUGCAACUUCUGUGCCACAAGUCGUACGUGAAAAUCACCUCAGUAAUUCGAAUCUUGAACUUACAGCGUUCUCCCUUUACGGAUAAAGCAGAAUUUUUUUAUCGCGAAUUAAUUAGAAACACUGUAUGCAGCAUUAAUAUAUAGUAGUAAACUCCUACAUAUUAUACUUGUGAAUCAGUCAACAGCCUGCUAAAUUAACAAGUUCUAAUUGUAGAAGAUGAAACUAUCCUUUCAAGCACUGUGGCAAUUUUUGGAGUAGGAAUAUUAAUGUUCCAUUUGGUAGUUGACGACGAUUUAAAUGCAAGCAAGCAAGCCAGUGGUGUAAGACAGAUUAACACAGCUCACACUGAUAAUCAACAAAGAAGUAAUAACUCCAUCCUUAGUAGAGCAAAAAUGACCCUCCUAAGAAAUAACCUACAGUAAAGCCAACAAAGAGCGGUACCAUUGGCUCUCUACAGAGGCAUCCCGUAAUCCAGUAGCUUGGACAGCAAGGGCAUGUGCUCCCCAGAGCAUGACCACAGCAACACGACUGCACAUAAUAGGUAAACAUGUUAUAAUUCCAUCUAAAAUGCAGUAAUACUUUUGUUCAGUUUAGAGCUGAAAACCUAUAUUGCUUACCUGCUGUCUGUUAUGUAGACAUUGUGCGUCUCCUUUUGACUGCUAGAUGAUGUCGCUUACUUGUCAGUAACCUCAACGGUUAGUCCAACAAACAUCUGUUGGAUAUAAAAGAAAUAGCAAGCACAGGUUAGAAAUAAAUGCGAUGAAAAAUAAUUUUGCUUAUCAACCUGAAAGCAUAGUGGUCUGCUCAGCACAAGCCUCCAGCAAGGAGCAUUGUGAGGAAACAGAGGAAAGUUUUCUGGCUGGGGUUUGUUCACCCCUAGUCUGGUAUGUAAAGCAUAGCCUAAGAGGGCGAUCCAAACGCCCGUGCUUUUGUCUAGCAUCAUAUAAGCUUAAGUUUUCAACUAUGUGUAUGCAAAACAAAAAUGUGUUUUCUUCUUGUUAUAUGGAACAUGACAUACAUAGGGUAACAACCUGACGCUCCAAUAACACCAAGUAAAUUUUGUAAACGUCGCUGUGUUGAAGUUUGUCACUAACCAUACUCUGCUAAACUAUGAGCAUCCAUGUGUAUAACUGCUUAGUUACGUGAUCCUAUAAAAGUGGCCCUUCCAUAACUGGCAAUCAACCUAAAAAGGUAGGAGUAACAGAAUUCCACAACUGGCAAUUAACCUAAACUGCUUUAUUUAUUUUCAUUCUUAACCUGUACACUAUCUGUAUAGUUAUCUUGUUUUGAAUAAUAAUUCAAACAUUUAGUACACCACUAACAAAGUUAGCAUGCAUAUUAAUCUCUAACUAUGAGACAAACACGCGUAACAGUAGGGGGGAUGUGUGUAACUGUACAUAUCCUAUAGUUUUUUGUGUGUUACUUGUGUGGAGUAACUAUGAGAUGCAGAUUUUGUAUAAUAUGUCCUAUAAUAUAGAAAUAAUGUAUAUAACAUGAAAAUAUAUAAAGGAGCUUGUUAUUUGUUUGCGUAAUAGUCACCCUAGUCGUAAUAAUUCAAAACUGUAUAUAUAACGGGAUGGACUAACUAGGUGAUGCAAGUUUGUCUUUUUGUAGACAUAUCUUGAUUUGCUCAAGUGGCAAGAAGAGAACAACAGGGAAUUAACUAACAAAACUACACUUCAAUUUUUUAAUGUGUCUAAUACAUGGGAGGUGAGAGCACAACCAAAACACCAUGAAGACAUGACUUGUUUGAAGAGCUAUCGUAAGCGCCUCGUCAAAUUUUCGCUCAGAUAUUAGUCUGAUUAGCUCCUUCAUUGGAUCCGCUGGAACAUCAAUCUAAAACAUCCGUUGGCAAACACCUUUAGUGGUAAAAAUCUGGGCAGUAGUUUCAGCAACAUAGGGGGUCUGUACUUUGCUUACUUUAUUUGCUUAUCCAUAUAAGAAUUCUGACAUUUGACGCUUAUCUUUGGUGCUGCAGCCAUAUUGAGCCCUAUGCAAUUUACACAUCACACACCUGGUAGCAUCUUUUCCCCUGCUGCCAUCACCGGUAGUACCUUGCAAAUCUAUUCAAUCAAGAUACAGAGUAUAAAAGGCUUGAACUGGCCACUCAGAGUGUAUGGCGAGGUUGCUGCUCGAGACACUGUGGACCGCAACCGCAACAUUCUAUUUUCUCGGUCAAGGUUUGACUACCAAGAACUCAAUGGAUGUACAUGUUACCGAAGGGGAUUGGCCUUUUAAGCAUGGAUGCCGAGUUGUGUGUUAUUGGUCUCCUGCUGUGGCUGCUGCGCCGACAGAUGUCAUUGGUAAGACUUGCAGGCGAGUUGUGCUUCUUGAUCACCGUGGUAAAGGAAUGCACAGAAGACCAGACAAGCACCUUCAUCUCUCAAGGAGAGUCGUUUCAGUGGAAUCACAUGGAACGCUGAGAGUGUCCAUAGAAGCAUAUGGAAAAUCUCGUCGUUAUAUUGCUCGAGAAGGUCACAUCAACUUCCCUGUUCAGCAGUGCCAAACAAGAACGAUUGAGUGUCAAGUUGGCGACUCCAAGGUGGAGGUUGCUGUAGGGUGGUCGUUGCUUGUGAAGGAAAAAGCGUGCCUCUCGCUCGGUUGAUUGCCUGACACCCAGGCAUGCAUAUACUGCUACUAGUACUAAGGUGGACCGACUUGUGUGGUAUCGCCAGAUCACAUAACUACUACCUCCGUCCCAAAAUUCUUGUCCGUAUCUGGCAAAUCUAAGACAAGAAUUUUGGGACCGAGGGAAUAUCUAUCUUGUGCUGGCCACAGUUUGUAUGAUGUGAAUCAUUCGGAUUUGUUCAAAAUCUGAGCACUUUCAUGUCUGAUUGUUUUUCUUUCUAUUGACGACUAUUGCUCAGAUCGUUAUAUGCCCCUGCCACCGCUAGAUGAAGCUGCUGUACUGGCCUUAGUACAAUGGUAGGUGCUUAGAAAAAUAAAUCUGUUUUUUAAGCAUCAGUGCCUAUUUUUAAAGGAGGGACGCCUAAUUAAGCGUUUACCUGUAUAAAUAAACACCAGUGUUUAAGGAAAGACUGGUUUAUUUCUCUAAACAUCUCCUCUAAGCAUUUUGCAUUGUACAAGGCUGAUGCGCAAGCUAAAGCCUGUUGGCGAGCGAGCCGCAGCUCAGCUCGUCCCCGUUGGAAAACACAUCAGGCUGCAGCACCACCGCGAGAAGUCGGUCUCAUCAAGCAGCGACGCUGUCCGCUGCUCCGUGUCAGUCCCAGCUCCAUCACGCACGCGUUGGUUGCAGCUUGCAUCCGCAUCGGGAGCGGUGUGCGUGCCCACCAUGCCCUGUGCGUGGUCGACUGGCCACCCGACUUCGACUGUUUGACAUACACACCGCGCCCACCAUGCCGUGCGCGUGGUCGACUGGCCACCCGACUUCGACUGUUUGACAUAUUUCUUUGAUGUAUGUAUGUUUUGUGAAUUCACAAAUAAAUAAAUAAAGCGUUGCAGGCCGGAACUCACCGGUCACAUCAACGGGCCCACACACACACCGCUUCAGCUAUCCUUAUCCCGUCACACAUGCGGUUUCUAGCCAUUUAUUAUUCCACCGUUGAGUGCCUGAGACCAUCUCCAGUCGUUCGGUCCCCUUAGAUAACCGGCCGAAACUCCGCCGGUNNNNNNNNNNNNNNNNNNNNNNNNNNNNNNNNNNNNNNNNNNNNNNNNNNNNNNNNNNNNNNNNNNNNNNNNNNNNNNNNNNNNNNNNNNNNNNNNNNNNCAUUCAUUUUUCCACCGUUGAGUGCCUGAGAGCAUCUCCAGUCGUUCGGCCCCUUGGAUGACCGGCCGAAACUCCGCCGGUCACAUCAACGGGCCCACUCACACACCGCUUCAGCUUUCCUUAUCCCGUCACACAUGCGCUUUCUAGCCAUUCAUUUUUCCACCGUUGAGUGCCUGAGAGCAUCUCUAGUCGUUCGGCCCC